rnacentral:lncRNA from 1 species
CUAGCUUAUUUAGAAAGAGCUGACCAAAUCACCCUCUGAUGAUGAUCUUGUUGCAAUAUUACUGUUUCCAUUGACCCUCCUGCAGUUCAAUCUAAUCUCCCCUUGAUUUCCUGUCAGUGGUUUCAAAUUGCCCAUUCUUAUCAUUGAGGUCACAAAGUUUUUAAAGAAAGCAGUCUGGUUCCUCCCAAAGUCCUGGACAAUGGCAGCGGUAUCGGCACCAGGAGUCGAAAACAACUCUUGAUCACUCUGCAGAAGGCCUUUGCGGCCUCUAAGAUUGGAGAAGUAUUUGUUGUCGAAAACAUCAGGUGUCGUGACAUCAAAAUUAGCAAGAACGCCGCCGUUUCCACCUUGUGGGCAUAGUUUCCUCAGUUGUUGUAAGAAGGUUGCGUCUAGGGUUGGGUCUGGCUUGCCAGUAUUGUUAAAAUCGUAUAAUCUGCCCCUGAAAAAUUGGCACUGAGCCCUUCCGAACGUGUGAGCUCCUGAAAAAACAUGCAUGACCAAAUCUUUGUUAUUUUUACUGAAUUCACAUACGAGGAACAAUAAUGAUAAUUUUAUUGUUAGGGAUAUUAUUUAAAUAUUGAGUUAAGUAAAUAUAAAUUUAAGGCACCAACACUCAUUUCUUGAAUUAACUUUUGAGUAUGAGUUACUAUUAGCAGGCAGUUUUGACUCCUAAAAGUUUACUCUCAUAACUUUACUCAAGUAACUAAAAGGAUGUAGAAGCAAUUAAUAAUUACCGGAGAGUGCAACAAGAUCAAACUUGUCAUUGAGGCCAACAUUUCUAAAACUAGAUUUGAGCACAUCAAGAGUAUCAAAUGGUCCUGGAAGAUUCUGAUUUGCAAGAGCUCUGUUUGCCGUUCUGCUGUCCCUUCUUCCCAAUGGAACUGCCCAUGACGGACCCCCUGACUGUAACCAAAAGCCAUUCACUCAAAAUCAGCAAUAAUCUUAAGAGAUGUGCGUUUGGGGCGGACUAUUUAAUUUGCUAGCCGUUGAAUCAAACUUUGUCGUAUAACAAAAGAAGAAAAUUUUAAGUUUAAAACUAAGGCCUUGCUACGAUGCACCAGCGCAGUAAAAAGUGUCUCACUAUCAGUAACAAUUUAUCCGUUAAUAAUCACUAUAUUGACAUAUGUGUAGCAAUUUUGGUACCAUACAGUGUAGCUGAUGCACUAUAGUCAAUGGGAGAAAUUUGUGGUGUAAUUGUGGUACCGUAUCAGUUAUAUUCAGUCGUUGGAUACUAAUAGACCUCAUCAAUUUAAAUACAUUUAACGACUGAAUAUAAUUAUAACACGGUACCACAAUAUCAUACCACAGUUGCACCAUAGUCUGAUCAUGUCUGAUCAUAGUCCAUGAGCCACCACUUUUAAAUAAUGGAGUCCACCACGUCGUCCGAAUUUAAAAAUGAUGGGUCCAACAAUGAAUCCCUUCACUUAAAUCAAUUUCCACAUGGUGGGGCAGUUUUGUCGUUGAAUAGCAGCGCAAUAACUAGCAAAGGCUAAACAUGUGGACUCAGAUCUUGCACAUUGUUCUAUGUGAAUAAUUAUUUAAUUAAUGUAUUCUUCUAAGGAUAAAGUUGAACUCACGGGUUAUUUAAUUAACUGAAAAAAAUAAUAUAAAAACACGUUAAAUUUAUAUGGGUUAUUAUUAAUUGAAAAAAUAGUUAAAAAUUACAUUAAUACUGCAAAGAUUUACCAUUAUUCUAUUCGCUUAUUCUGAUACCCAUAUUAAUUUACUUCUAAGCGUAAAAUAUUAACCAGGAAGAGGAGUUGGUAAUAGAAAUUCAUACCAAAGCAACGGAUCGUUCAGCCGCAAUAGUAAGAAUAUCAGCGCAGGAAACAACCCUUGGACAUGCCUUUUCAACGGCAGCUUUCAUGUUAUCAAUAACUUCAAAACCCCUCGCCGAAUUAUUAUUUGGCGCAGCAAAUUUCUCGCUGUCUAUGGUGUUAGUGCUGUCCAGCAAAAUCGAUGCAUCACACCCCUGAAAAAAUAAUAUUAAUUAACAACUUGCUAUGUUAACAGUCCAUUGUAUUGUUACUUUAACAAGUAGAUAGAUUCCUUCUUAUCUUAUGGACAGGAAUUCAAAAAAACUAUAUAAAUAAUGCAAACUCUUCUUAUUUAAAUUGUCUUAUUAUUACAUAAGUUUUUAAGACUAGGAUUUCCUGUUGAUUUAAAUUUUUCGGUUGGAAGAAUAUAAAACAAGUGUGAUUUAUUUUCAACCAUACACCAUUAAUAUUGGACCCAUGAUCAUUAAAAGCACUGAGCAGGGAUGAGGCCAUGAGAUGGAUUUUAAUUCCUGUUUUGGACCAAAUCUUUGCUAGAUUUAAAUUUCUAGUGCAUGAUGAAAACCCCAUAUUAAAAUUUAUUUAUAUAAAAAAAAAUUAAAUGGUCUUCGGUACAUCUAAAUUAGAGAGGAAAAUUUUGUUGUACGGCUGAAGCGAAAAAAUCAGAUCUUUUAGCUUGGGGUUGGGGGUGAGGAUCUCUACGUGCAUGAAUAUGCGGUCAGAAGAGAAUGCAAUGAGUAGCAGACAGAUAAAAGAGAGAAGAAAAAAAGGUAUAUAAAAAUGGUUUUGGAUGUUGUUGAACUUAAAAUGAUAUAUUCAAACUCUUCCUUAGGCUUUAUGAAAACUCUAUAUUUUGUUUAAUGCCAUAAAAAAUUAUAAAGAUACUGUUCAUUGUCAUACUUGAAACUAUGUUAUAUCAGUAAGUACAUAGACAGAGAGCUUGAUAAAGUAAAGAAGAUGAAAAAUGAGCGAGCAGAGAUUGCUUCACAUCAACAAAACAGUCAUGGAAAUGAAGCCUGAUGAGGCUGGCACCGAUCCGGAUAUCGGACGAGAAAGCUUUCUUAAGCACAUCCUCGAUAGUGUUCAAUACAUUAGGGCAUGUGGAAGAAUAAAAAGAGGGAGAAAGUUGAGCUUGAGAUGGUGAUCCCUCAAGCACAAAAGCAACAAGAAGAGCUGCUGCAAGAAGAUAACGAAGUGAAGCCAUUUUGUCUAAGAGUUACUAGAGAAAGGCCUCUUUAUUUAUAACCAAACAAACCAGAUUAGUAUUAGAACUUUGCAGCAACCUCGAAGUUCCUCGUUUCACUGUUUGAAUAGGUUAGUUUCGUUAUUAAUUCUCUUAAUUAGGUUUAUGUGAUUUAUUUCUUUUUGAAACUACCGUGGCCCAUGUGACCAUCUAAGUAAACUAUAUGGACGUAGAUUUUUUUUUUAUUAGUAAAAUAAAAUUACUAGUUAAUUUUCUUUUUUAAAUUUCAUUCAAUUUUUUCUUUCAUGUUUAAAAGCUUAAGUCUUCAAUUAGAUUCUUCGAUUUUAAUAUUUUUUUCAAAUACAAUAUACUAAUUAUGGUGCAUUUGAAAUUACAUGUCUUAUUUUCAUAAUGAUCUUGAAAUUUACAAAUAACCUUCGUUUUUGUGGAGAGAAUAUAAGAAAGAGGAAUAUUUGUUUGUAAAAUUUUAUUUAAAAAAAAGUAUAAAUGAACGUAUUAGAAAUGCAUGUAUAUCAAACUUAUUUGAGAAUAAAAACUUAUUAAAAUGAAAUCCAAAAUCCUGAGUAAUUAUUCAUGAAAAGAGGGACUAAGUUGAUAAUUCUUGAAAUGGUGCCUUUAUUAGGUAGGGGCGGCGACGCCUUGAGUCGCUUUUGUUUAAUGCCAGCUUACCUGCUUCGUUUAUCGUAUGUGUGAAUGCGGAGCAUGUGGCGUGUGGAUUCCACGUAUUCGAAAUCCUUCAUUUCAACCUUUUGGAACUUUUCAUUUGUUUACCGACAUAUCAAAUAUCAUUUUGUCAGCUUACACAUAGGUAGAUGCGAGAUUGAGACUCAGUAACGUUUAAGUCAUAGUUAUUAUAGGGAAUAAAAUAAAUUAUUAAAUAAAAAUCAAUAAUAUAAUAUUUAAAUAAUAGUUUUGCUAGAAGUAGUAAAUAUAUUAGAAAAUUUUCAUCGUGAGUUUAGAUCAUCUUAGUUUUUAAAGUACAGAAAUAAGCGGUGGUUCUCUCACGCGGACACCCGCAGCUUAAAAAAUAUGCGGACACUCACGUUUUGAAUUUGACCGUUGGAUGCCAUCAACGGCUGAAUUAAGUUGUGACGUAAAGACAACUACUGACAUUUUCAGCCACUUUGGCCGGGUGGUCAGGGCUGUUGCCCUCUAACGUGGAGGGCAACAGUAAGAACCCCCACGAACGAACAUAUUGUGAGAAUAUUUUUUUUCUCAAUUAAAAUUGAGUGAAGAUAAUUUUUUUUUUUUAUCUGAGAGUGAGGAGUAUACAUCAUUCAAAUAUUUAUAAGGGUUAAAAUCUGGACAGAACUUUAUUAAUAUUGAUAUAAAUUAAUUUCAGUAAUAAUCUAUUUUAUAAAUAUAAUGUAAUAUAAUUUAUAAUUUAACGAAUAAUAUCAUGUAAUAAAAAAAACUACUGACAUUUUCUGCCUGUGGGCCCGGUCUUCAAAACUUUGAAAAAAAAAAACCAUUUCUUUCUUUUAUUCAAUGGCACCACGUGAGUAUAAAAACACAAGGACAAUAAUUUCUAUCCUUUUUUUCCCCAAAACUAACUUGUUGAUUUUUAUUUUUCAAUUUUCAAAGAUCAAUAUACAGUCAUCAUCACCACCAUUUUUGCUUCUCCAUCUUUCCGUCAUCAAAAUUAUCCUUCCGAUCAAAGAAGAUGAAGCAAAGAAGAAAAACACACUUCGGUAAGUCACCUAAAAAAAAAAAAAACUUAACGACCCAUCUAAAUAAUCAAGCUGAAAGGUAUCUCUAACAGAAGGUUUUCUAAAAAAAAAAAACAAAAAAACAAAAAUUGAGGAAAUUGAAGAAGGAAAAACACAGGCCAGGACAUUCUUAAUUAAGAAACUUGAAAGUUCAUGAAAGAAGAGCAAGGCAUUUAAGCCACAGGUAAGAAAUAUUAGAAGAUUAACAUGUUGGACACGUCAUCUCCGGCCACAUUGCCGUUGAUGAUGAAGAUGAUCCAACGAUUUGGCUUCCUGGGUGUGGGAAGAUGGAGUUGGGAGAAGAGAGAGAAAUUUAAAACUAGUAUAUUGUGUUUUUCUAUUCACAUGGUCCCCAUUAAAUAAAAGAAAUACUUUUUUUUUCCAAAGUUUUGAAGACGGGCCCACACAGAGAAAAUGGCAGCAGUUGUUGCCUUCACAAUUUAAUUCAGCCGUGGAUGGGAUCCAACGGCCAAAACGUGAGUACCCACAUAUUUUUUAAGUCGGAGGUGUCCGCGUGAGAGAACGACUGUAGAAAUAAGUAUUUAUGAAAUAAUUUAGUAUUAUAUUUUAAAAGGUACAGCGGUCUUACUUUAAUUUCAAACGAGGUCUUGAUUAAUUGAAACCACAAGUAGGAGUUAAAUAAUUAAGAAACGACAGGAUGACUUUUUGAAAUAGGUAAAAAAUGAUUUUGUUAAUGAUCAUGAAAAAGGUAACUGUGGCUACUGGCUACUAAUGUUUUCUUUUCUGGGGAAAAAGGAUCAUAAUAAUUGCGAAAUGGUUUAGUGAAAUAGUACGGAGAUUCUAUUGGUUUUAGAAUUUAUAUAGGCUCUUUUUUGGUACACACAGACCCCAAAAAUUGUCAAAUAGAUUUUUAAAAUUUGUCCAAAAAUAAGUUUUGUUAUCCCAUAAGAAAAGUGUGUAUUGAGUAUUUCUGAAAAUAAAAGAUUCUUCCCUACUAUUUUGUCAAACUACGGAUGUUUGACAAAAAGUACAAAGAAAUUUGUAAGAAUAAGGUGUUUUUCCGGUUAGUAUUUUAAAGCUAGAGGAUAAAAUGGACCACUAAAAACUGAAAAAUGACUCAAAUGACAAUGUGUAUCGAUGACAUAGGAAAAAAAAAUACACAUGACAAGGAUUUCUUUUUUUUUUUUUGAAUACUGAUUAAACAUCAGAUUACUGCAUUACACAGAUAUUUACAACAACUGCUAUUAUAGCAGAUAUAUUACACUGAUAAUUACAAUCAAAUAUACAUAAUUGGGACUUACAUUAUUACAUUGAAUUCUCUGAAGUAUAUGCCCAGACAAAUAACCCCUCACAGAGGAAGGAUGUCCAUACUCCACUCGCAUUUCGCAAGGGAGAAUGAUUUUUACAUAUUAAGAACAUUUAGCCCCCACAAUGCUUUUGUGGGGGCUAGAACCGCUGCCCUCACAAGCCUUGUGAGGGCAGCAACCCACCACUUCGGCCAAGGCCGAAGUGGCAUGACAAGGAUUUCUGAUACAUAGAAAGCAAGGAUGUGAAUACACAAACACAACCUUAGUUUAUUGAAAAUAAAAAGCAUGUUUCAGGCAAAACAUAGGAGUAAAUUCACGAGUUUGUAACCCACAAACUAGCUUAUUUAGAAAGAGCUGAUCAAAUCACCCUCUGACGAUGAUCUGGUUUCUAUAUUACUGUUUCCAUUGACCCUCCUGCAGUUCAAUCUAAUCUCCCCUUGAUUGCCUGUCAAUGGUCUCAAAUUCCCCAUUCUUAUCAUUGAAAUCACAAAGCUUUGAAAGAAAGCAGCCUGGUUGCUACUAAAGACAUUGACAAUGGCAGCGGUAUCGGCACCGGGAGUCGAAAACAAUUCUUGAUCACUCUGCAGAAGGCCCUUGCGGAUUUGAAGAUUGAAGAAGUAUUUGUUGUCAAACAAAUCAGGUGUUGUGACAUCCAGAUUAGUUAGAACGCUGCCGUUUCCACCUUGUGGGCAGAGUUGCCUAAGUUGUUGUAAGAGGGUUGUGUUAAGUGUUGGGUCUGGAUUGCCAGUGUUGCUGAAAUUGAAUAAUCUAUCGCUAAAAGUUCGGCACUGAGCCCUUCCAAAUGUGUGAGCUCCUGAAAAACAUGCAUAGCCAAUCUUUGUUAUUUUUACUCAAAUUCAUACAAAUUAAGGAUAAUAACUGAGUUUCAUUAUGGUGGUUCUCACUUUUCUUUUUGGGAAGCAAUUCAAAUUUCAUGAUGUGAUUAAGGGGAGUAAAUUUGUCAAACGUUUUAACAUAUUCCUAAUCACCAAUGUCAAACUUUAAAACACAGUUUCUUCGUAUCAUUAGGAUAUUCAGACAAGCCUCCUAGGUGCUGUAGAGUAUGAAUGUGCUUUGUGUCGGUGGUCGUCUUAGUAAGAGUAAUAAUGAGAAAAAAAAAUUGAUAUUUAGUGGAUGAGAUUUCUCAUCCUUUUCAAAAUUUAUUUUUUCUUUUUAAAUAAGAUAUUCAACAUUUAAACUAUCUCUAAGAUUUCAAGACUCAGUAUUGGCAUUAAAAAAUUUUCCACCUCCAGAUUUCUAAUUCUGGCUCCAAUACUGCUUUAUCCCAAAAGACUCCAAGGUCUGUUUGUACUCAAGUCAAAGGGCGUGAAAGCAAAUAUUACCGGAGAGUGCAACAAGAUCAAAAUUAUCGUUGAGGCCAACAUUUCUGAAUCUAUCUUUGAGCCUCGUAAGAUUAUUGUUCGGUCCUGGAAGAUUUUCAUUUGCAAGAGUCCUGUUUGCUGUUCUGCUGUCUCUUCUUCCCAAUAGAUUUGUCCAUGAAGGACCCCCUGACUGUUACCAAAACCACGAUCAUUAGUCAAAAGCAUCACUUGAGAGAUGCAUAAUAAGCAAAUUUAACUAAAAUCAGAAAUUGGUCUUGUUGCACCCAAAAUUAGCACUUUCCCGGCGUUACAAUUUUGAGUGAACGGUUCAACCAGACUGUAUCAUAUAAAGAAGAUAUUUUUUUUUUUAAUUUUCAAAAUAUAUACUGGAACCCAACACGUAAAACUGAUGUGUCCUCGAUGAAUCUCAUCACUUUUUUUUCCGGGGGAGGGGGGGAAGGAGAAGCCUUCCCUUUUCAUACGGUAAAGUUUGUUCAGGCACUAUCACGAAGUCAACAUGGUAAUGUCGGUGGACUGUGGAUUCAUCUAGUUAAAGUACUCAGGGUCUGAAAAUUCCAACACGAAUGUAAAGUCAAACUUACUCUCUGAUACCUUAGAAAUUUAAUCACUUUUAAGCUUAAAAUAUGUAGUCGAGCAAGAUGAUGAGUUGUUAAUAGAAAUUCACAUAUACCAGAGCAACAGAUUCUUCAGCUGCAAUAGUAAGAAUAUCAGCACAGGAAACAACGCGUGGACAGGCCCUUUCAACGGCAGCUUUCAUGUCAUCAACAACUUCAAAACCCCUCGCCGAAUUAUUAUUUGGCCCAGCAAAUUUCUCGCUUUCUAUGGUAGUAGUAUUGUCCAGCAAAAUCGAUGCAUCACAGCCCUGAAAUAACAUCAAAAGCUUGUUGUGAUCAACGUCUGUUGUAUCGUUAAUUUAAUAAUUAGGUAGAUUCUUCUUAUCUUACGAUUAAGAAAAAUAAUGCAAACUUGUGCAUUUUCUUUUUGGACAAAUUUUCUUAUUGUAUAAUAAGUUUUUAAGACCAGGAUUUCCUCGUGAUGUAACCUUUUUCUGAGCUUAAUUGUGAUUGUUAGAAGUUAAGGAUAUAAGUGUACGUAGUUAUAUUUCAAUCAUAAAUUACUAAUAAUAGACAUGUUACACAAGAUUUUUUAAAAUACUAUGCAAUACUCAGAUUAAGGGAGGACCUUAAUUAAUAUUUUAAAAUAUUAAUUGAAAAAGAAGAAAAACUAAAGAGUAGAGAUUGAUUACAUUAACAAAACAGUCAUGGAAAUGAAGCCUGAUGAGGCUGGCACCGAUGCGAAUAUCGGACAAGAAAGCAUUCUUAAGCACCUCCCGAAUUAUGUUGGUUACAUUAGGGCAUGUGGAAGAAUAAAAAAAGGGAGAAAGUUGAGCUUGAGCUGGUGACGAUCCCUCAAGCACAAAUGCAACUACAAGAGCAGCUGCAAGAAGAUAACGAAGAGAAGCCAUUUUGCAAUGAUGAGAAUGAGAGUUAUAUCUGAGCCUUCUAUAUACGCGCCUCUUUAUUUAUAGCCAACCAAGCUAAACAGGAGUAGAACUUGGCAACGACUAAGAAGUUUCACAUUAUAUUGUAAAAGUCUACUGUUUGAAAACAAAGGCUUAACUUAUAUGAUGAGAUAAUUACAUUAUCGAUUUUCUCCCUAAAGUUUGGUGAAAGCAUAUUUUUCUCCACAUACUUUUGAGGUGGUAAUGAUAAUUUAUUAUUUGCAUCUCAGUAUUCUAGAAGUAUGUCAAGUGUAGCUCGGUUGAUUGUGAAUGCAUUUUGUGUCUGUGAUCACCCAAGUUCUAAUAAUAAUAUGGGGCAAAGGUGGUUGUUUAGUGGAUGGGAUUUCUUGUCCCCAUAAGAGCUUUUUCUUUCUUUUUUCUUAUUAAACAAAAGAAAAGGCCAUACAACAUGGAUAUUAAAAAGGGACAAAACUCUGGUGUAACUGUUGUACGGUGUCACUAGUUUGUCUCUUUAUCUUUUGAUCCCUACUUUAUUUUUUUAUUUAUAAGUUAUUUAUAAAUUUAUCAUAAUUUUAUUUUUUCUCUUUUUCUCUUUUCCUCUAUUUAUAUUAAGAUAUUCUGUACAUUUUUUCUCCACUUAGAUAAUUAAUCAAUCAUUAGUCAGCAACUCCUUUCAAAUUAAAGUAUUAUCAACUAGCCGACUACCUCAAUUAUUUUUCACAUCACAACUAAGACAAAAUGGAAAAUUUUAAUUUGAAUAUUCGAAUGACAAUUGUGAGGUCAUGGCAAUUGAAUAAAUUAAAAUAAUAAAUCAAAUCUAUCAGUUAUAAGUGAUUGAUGUCAUAUUGAUUUAUAUCUAUAAAUAAAGUUUGAGUUUUAUUAUUUUUGAAUAACUAAUAACUUUCAAAUUAAAUUUUAUUGUAGUUAUUUUUUUAUUUAAAGUCUAGUAUGCAUAUAAUUUAAAGUGGUGAUCAAAGUGUAAGGAAAGAAAAUAAUACAUUUUUUUUAUAAUUAUUUAUUUAAUAUUUUAUUUUAAUAAUGUCAUGUUAGUUUUAUUUUUAAGCUAAUUUAUUAAUUGAAUUUUAAUGUGAAGUCAUUACUUAUCUCAUUCCUUUAAAAAAAAAUAGAAUUAGAUAUUGAUGUUUAGUUUUAUGUCUGACUUUUUUAACUUGAGACAACUUACCCAUUUUUUAAUUGUUUAAAUUAUUCACAAAAAAAAAAUCUGUGAGGAUAUUUCCACUGCGCUUUUUAUGUAACAACACCCUAUCUUUUUAUAUUUUUAUAAGGGUAAUUUUUAAAAACCUCCCCUGAGGUUUGGGCUUGUUGCAAGUAAAUGGCGAGAAUUUAUUUAUUUGUAAAAAAUCCCCUACCGUCAGUUAACUUUAACAUUGACUGUUAGUUGACUGUGCAAAGACAAUAUUACCCUUAACAACAGUUUGUAGACGGAAAUAACUAAAAAAAAUUAAAAUUGUUGGCGCGAAAAGCACAAACCCUAUUUUUUGACAAUUUUAUCCUUGUCAAUUCCAAAGAUUUACAAUAUCAUAGGUAAAGAUUAUAACUAUUUCAUUUUUAAGUUUUUAAUUUUAUCUUUUUUGUAGGAACUUUAAGAAAAUAUUAAUAAUUUAAAGAGGAUUUUUCAAAUUUUUAAUUUUAUCUUUCUUGUAGGAACUUUAAGAAAAUAUCAAUAAUUUAAAGAGGGUAAAAUAGCCAACAAUUAGGAUGAAUAUUCAAUUUCAAUUUUAAAAUUUUGUUUAUAUACUGCUGAGCUGGUUUCGUAACUGAUGAAAAAUUUGUUUUAUUAGGCAAGAAAAGUUUAAGAUUUUACAGUUAAAAUUUAUUUAUUUAUUAUUACUAGUAUUUUCUGUUAUGUAUGUACAUGUUCUCCCCAGAAUGCAUUUUGAUUCAGAAACUACUGUCUGUGCAAUUAGAUGCUGCAAUGUAUGUCAUUUAUAUAUGGACAUGUCCCUCUUUUAAUUAAAAUGAUUCAUGGCAUGGCAAUAUUGGCAGAGUCGUUUAUGCAUGUCCAUUUUGAUGCCAUUGAAACUUUAUUGAGCUACAAAGCAAGAAGUGUUUUUUGGCCAAACUUUGUGCAAAAAAAAAAAAAAAAACGCAAUUGGCCCCUAUUGUAAUUUUCUGGUGACUAAGGGUGAGAAAUUAAAGAAGAAUAGUUCCCCCUUUCUAAUAUCCAAAAUUUCAUUUGUUUGUAAAAAAAAAAAUAAUAAUAAUAAAUAAAUCAGCUUAAAUUCUGAUCGACUUAAUGAGGGUUGAAGAAUUCAACUUUUUUUUUUUUUUUUUUUUGAUGAUAUGAGACUAUUGCUCAAAUUACAACUCAUAUUAUAUGAGAGUAUAACUGAUACGUACAAUCAUAUAUAUAUACUGAGACCUAUUGACAUUAAUGCUGAUAUGACACUGCUCAGAUUUUUGUAACCCUCUCAAAUAUUCGAGGGACGUCAAACUCCCAUCCUAGGAGAAAGACUGUCUUCACUCGAGCUCUGUGGCUCCAAGAAAGGAAAUAUAAAUUAAACCCCUACAAUACGACUGCAGAGAUUCGAACUCUUUGAGAGUGACUCUAGCCACUUGAACUAGCCCAAGUGGUUUGAAGAAGAAGAAGAAUUCAACUUUGAUAAAUGAUAACGUUGGAUUUAGUCCAUGCCAUCGCCAUGCCAAUGUGGACUGUACGAGGCGUGUGGAUUCCACAUACUCGAAAGUCGAAACCUUUCAUUUCAAGCUUGUAGACUUUUAUCCUUUGGACUCGACUAGCUUACAGAAUCUGUAAGGUACAGACUGCAGCAUCAGCCGUUGGAUGUGGUUGGAUGUGGAGUGAGAAACUGAACAAUAGAAAAUCGGAUGGUGGGAUGACGGGAGAUGUUUGUUACAGAAUCUGUACCAUAGACAGGUCCUUAUCCUUUUUUCUUUAUAUUGAAUUAUCAUUUUUGUCAGUUUAUACAUAAAUAAUUGAUUGAGACACACGGACAGGACCUUGCUACGUUACAGACUGUGUAUGUAACGUAGCAAAUGGGGAGCAUCCGCACAUUGCACGAGAGAGGAAAAAUUGCGAAAAAUUAGCUGAUACAAGGCCAGUUUGCACUGAACUGUUACAUACAGAGUAUGUAACGUAGCUUUGUCCACACCGACAAUACACAAGUAGAGUCAAAUAAUUAAUUACGUGACGGAUGACAUUUUGAAAAUGAUAUGUUUUUGCUUUUUUUUUUUUUUUUGAGAAUGGUAUGCUGUUAAUUUUUUUCGUAGUUGUUUUCACAAAUGAAAAUUGAUGUUUAUUUGUGAUUUCAAAUCUCGCCUCUGAUAAAGUAUUUUAAAAAUUGUAAUCUAAAUAAAUAAAUACCAAACUGGCUUUUGAUUCCCGGACCUUUUAUUUUAAGUUAAGAGAAUUACUAAUUGAACUGAUUUGAACGCACAAUCUAAAGAAUUUUUCAAUAAAGAAAUAUGUUUAAUAUAGUAUUUGAAGAAAGAAAAUGUUAUGCAACAAGUACAAAAUCGUAAAAGCAACAUUAAUUUGUGCUGCUUAGGCUUUCAACUUUUCUUCAAAAAAAGUAAAAAAUAAAAAGUAAAAAGUAAAAACACCAUUCUGUCACUUUACAUAAAUCCUUCCACAACUCACCGAAUUUUAUUCUGGCCUUAUUCUAUCUUUCCUUUUUUAUUUUCCUAUUUAAAUGGAAAAUGGUUUUUAGUUUGGUGAUGAGGACAAUAUCUAAUAUCUGCCAAAAAUAGAAAAAUUAUCCCAAAACUACUUUGAAAGAACUUUGGGAUAAUUAAUUAUAUGUAAUUGAUCAAUUUUCACAUCUUAAAUUUUAAAACUCAUAAAAAGCCAAACUCAUAUAUAAGUGAGUUUAGACUAUCUUUUUAUGUGAUAAGAACUAAAAGAAAAUGUUUGACUUACACGUGACAAGGAGUGAUGGAGAUCGGAGCAUAUUUCACGACUUAUCUGUAGCUAAUAAAACUAUAGCGUUUUUCAUGCUCUUGUACGUGGAGACUCAUUAAUAUUUUGAAUUCACUUGUAUGAACAAAUCUGAAUUAUCUUUACCUUUCCAUAAUGAAUACUCCUAAUUAAAACAAAAGCGAAAAAGAAAAGAACAUAAAAAUUGUAUUUUCUUACUAAAACUUCAAAAAUUUCUUGGAAAUAGUUAAAAUGAUCAAAUACAUUUGAGGCAUCAAACAACAAACUUCGACCAUAAUCGGAUUGAUUUUGCAAUUAAACACAACGGAUUUUGUUUCUAUAUAUCACCGAAAGUUCAAAGACUUAACAUAUUAUAUGAGUAUUGUAACUCAAAGUUCAAAGUUUAAUUUUUCCUUUUGUUUCGAAACUCUCACCUCCUGCUCUUAUUAUUAUUAUUAUUAUUCAGCCUUCUGGUACGCAACUAAGACCAAAAAUGUCUGUGACUCUGUGGUAUCAUUAUUUGCAGUUUAAUUAUAUUUAAAAUAAGACGAUUGAAUGACGCGUGUUCAUGAAGUGUAUAUAAUAUAAUAUGAAUAUGAUUACGACAUUAACUGAAAUUUAAGGAACUGAUAAGUACAUAAUCUGUUUAAAUAAUAUUGUAUGAAAGAUUUCCGAUUAUAAUUUAAAAUAUAUGUUUCUUUCAAUCUUUUUCUAUAAUUCAUUGUUCAUAUGACCCUACGUCAAGAAAAUAAAAUAUAGAAUAUCUAAUAUCUCUAUCGAUAGGCAAACAAUUUCAAGAUUUUCUGGUUAACUUGUUAUACAAAGUGUUGAGAUGUGAGUAAAUUAGGGUAAAAAUUUAUUUAGUUUCUAUAUUUUAAGAUUAGUAUUCAUUUAGUCCCUAUAUUUUUAAAAAUGUCUUGAAACAUCCUUGUCGUUAAAGUAUUGAUACCCCUACUGUUACUUUUUAUUUCUUUUGGCUUACUUUUAUAAUAUUACCCUUUUAUAAUAAUUUUUUUGUUUGGACAUUAAUAAAAAAAUAAUUAAAUUACUAAUUUAACCUUAAAAAAUUAUAUUAAUUUUUAAUUAUAAAAAAUUAUAUGCAAACUACCAAGUGUGCAAAUGGUGCUUGCAAAAAAAUUAAUAUAAUUUUUUAGAUUACAAUUAUUGUGUUAAUAUUCCUAAAUAAUCUUAAAACUAAAAGUUUGUCGAAUGACAAGAUCUUAGUUAGAUGUUUAUUUGUCAAUAAAUUAGUUAACCUAUUUUGUAAUCUGAUGACUAAGCUGUAUAUCUUUUGCUCACUCAAAUACAGGCAAAUCUUCAAUGCUUGGAAACUCUUAUUAAUAAAGAAAUGCAAAUAGCUCUUUUCAAAUUAAAUAAAGACCAAUUAUCCAACAAUGCUUACUAUUUUCUUAAGUACCGUGAUUGUGCUAAUAAAGUUAUGUGGGGAGAAAGAUAUCUAUAUGCCUAUCUGGAUGCAUGCGCCUGGUUGGACAGUAAGAAAAUGAUCGAAAUUAAAUGCCAAAGAAGUAGAUGAUGCAAAUAAAGAGGAUUUAUUGUUGAUAAUUGUAUGAGUUGACUAGCCCGUUUUACACGUGGAAAGUGGCUUCGAUUGGUGCAUGCAUGAGAUUUGUUUGAUUUUCCUGAUUUUAGAUGGUGAUUUCAAUCAUUCAGUUUGAAUUUAAAAUUUCAAUAAGUUAGAAAUAACGAUGCGCCACGGUAUAUGCGUGGAAUAUAUCUCCCUUUGGCCCUUUACUCUUUCAUGAUUUCAAUUAAUCAAUCUUGUAAUUUAUUUAUAUCUUAAUGUGAAGCAAGUGUACAAGGUACAUAUAUUUUAAGAAUUUUAAAAAGGUACGUGACAAACAUAUUUUUAAAAUUUAUUUUUGAUAAUAAAUUUCAUCCUUAAUGCAAUUCUACCUAAUUAGUUUUGUCUGAUUUACUUUUAAAUUCCAACAAGAACAUCUAAUUACCUACUUCAAGUGAAAAGUGCGUUGAGUGAAUUUCAACAUAAAUAAGGAUGGUUUGAAUAAUUUUUAAAAAUUCAUAAGCUAAUUACAUAAUUAGCCGAAACCUAAAAGACUAAAAGAGUGGUUACCCAAAAAAGCUAAUUAUCUAUUGCACUAAACUAAAAGCUCUUAGCACUUUCCAAUCGUCAACGUUCUCCGAAUUUGCCAGUCCACGAUUUAUGCAUUCUCAUUAAUUUCAAUCUUUGCUAAUGAACGUGAGAAACCAACUUGGUUCAUUUUAGUAUUCCAUUAUUUUAAUUAAAUUUGAUUAAAAAGAGAUGAUGGUGACAAGUACCAAGAAAGAUUUGCAUGAUAAUGAAGAUUUGGUGAUUGAAAUUCUUUGUAAAAUCUCUUUGGCGAUUCAAGUUUGUUUGUAAAUCUUAGUAUUGUUUAAUAUACAGGAAAUCUAAGUUUCAUUACAAAGCACCUAAAAAAGGUCAAAACCCGCUAAUUUGUCAUUUAGAUAGUUGAGAAUGGAGAUUCAUAUGAUUAUCCUAGAAAUUUUUUUUUUUUUUUUUAUGUUUCCUGAAGAUACAUUAAUAGAUUUAUCACUGCAAUAUCUUGAUGAGCAUCUCUCCAGACUUGUUACUGGAGUCCAUCUUCUGUAUUAGUAUAUUUGGAGCUUAGUGUUGCGGACUGCCUAAAUUUUCAGCCCAAGUGCCCAAGAAUUCGGGAUAAGAGCCCAAACAUAUGCCAAGAGUGCUAGUUUGGCCCGAUUGUAGAAUUUUCCAGCAAACUCUAGCACAUCUCAAGCUUGUACGUAUUUAAAAUUCUCUACACUUUUCUAACACUUGUAAAUAUCUAGAUAUUUUAACAAGUUGGUAAAAUUCUCUAGAACUCUAGAGCUUGGCAAGCCUCCCUAUAAAUAGGGCAUGAUAUUUGGCAUUUAAGCAUCAAGCUAAGAGCAAGCAACUCAAGCACUCUUCUAAACUCUCUUGUAAACACUUUGCGAGUAAUACAAUUUUAUGCUUUCGGCUCAAUUGCUCUCUUCUUUCUAGCUUUUUUGAAAACCUCCAAGUUUAGCUAGUCGAGAAGCUCAAAUGCUUAUUUAACAACUUUCGACAAGAGUUGUCUAAGUGUUGCACGGGUUCAUUGUGCAAAACACUUAUCCGUGACGUUAAGAUCACUUAACGGAAUCUCACAACUAUAGAUUACUGAAUUCUCCCAUGUUAUAGAGCUACAUGUCCACUGAAAAUGAACAUGUACUGCACUUAUUUUAGAUUUGAUUGAAUCCCAAACGUAAUGACCAAAAGUUGAUUUCGAUUAACUCAUUUCGCUAUAAAAGCACAAAUGAUAUGGACUUGCAUUUGCAUGAAUUCUCGCUUUGUACAAUAUAUAAAACCUAAGUACUAACUCUUGGAGGGAAUUAACAUGCUUCGAAUAAAAUCAUUUUGAUAUCUUUUUUAAUUUACUGUGCAAAAGCUUGGAUGGACUUUGUUACUGUUUAUCGAAUUUGAGUGAUAAUAGUAACUACGUACCUAAUGAUUAUUUCAUUUAACAUGGCAAUGAGUUGUUCCAAGAGAUUUAAUGCCCAUUCAGUAUUGCUGGAUCACCUUUUGUGAUGAUCAAUAUCCCUUUUUACUACUUUAAAAGCCAUCAAUGAUCAAGAUGUUGAAAUAUGGGAGGAAAGAGAGGAUUUGGAACAAACUAUUAUCCAUUAAUCUCAACGGAAACAUGAUAUUAUAUGAACCACACUUGGACUUAGAAAGAAUGAUUUUUUUUUUUUUUUUUUGUUGGUAAAAUCAGGCUCUCCAAGUGAACAACUGCUGUUGUAUUAUCCUGAUAAGUGGUACCUAAGAAUUGAGAGAUCUUGGACUAAUAAGUGUUUUUCUUUUUCGAUUUAUAAAUUUAAAGAGAGUCUAAUUUUUGUCAAGGGAGAAGAUCCAUGUGUUAAGAAUUAAGUGUUGAUUCAUCAUUGCUGAGCUGUCAUAGUAUCGUUGCUGAAUAACCAUGUUGGAAGGUCGUUAUGCAUACUAUUGAGAGUUGUUAGUUUCCUUCCAAAAGUUUGUUAUGUAUAGUUGGAUGUGAGCACACGAGUUUGUUGCUUUCAGAAGAUUCUACACUCAACUAUAUAAACAAUAUUGUAAUCUCAAAUUACAAUAUGUAGAAUGAAUAUUUUUUUAUUUCUAAUUUCUCUCAAUUAAUAAAUUUUCUCUUUAUUUUCUAUGUAAACAAACAGAAUUCUCAAAAAAUAUUUCACUUUAACUUGGUAUCGGAGCUCAAUCUAAUGGCCUUAACAAGUUCCAAUCAACAACCUAAUGGCACUACCAUAACCUCUUUCACCUUUACAAAUCCAAUCAAGCUUGAUUGCAAGAGCUACACAACUUGGAAACAACAAGUACUCUCUUCAAUUCGUGGUAAUGGUCUCGAAGGCUACAUCAAUGGAUCAAGGCUCUGACCUGGUCAAUUUCUUCCAUCAGGAUAUGGAUAUGAAGGUUCUUAUUCAAAUAUUGAAGGUCAAGAAAUCCAGAAUAUACAGCAUGGAAAUGUCAAGAUCAACUCUUACUUAGCUGGAUCAUGUCAUCUAUGAGUGUUGAUAUCCUCAAUGUUGUGGUCAUUUCUAAGAUUUCCUUUAAGUUGUGGAAAAUCUUGAAAAACAAUUUGGAUCUAAAUCCAUAGCCAAAAAAAGUUCAUUUAAAAAUGCUUCUAAGCAAUCUGCAAAAAAGAUCCUUAACAAUGUCAGAAUAUUUCACAAAGCUUAAAACAAUUACUGAUGGCCCAGCCUGCCUUGUGAGUGAUUAGGAUCUGAUUACUCAUCUCAUUUUUUAUUUAGAUCGGUCAUGUUAUCUUGUGGUUGUUUACAUUGAGGCAAACAUGUUAACUAUGGAUCUUAGUGAAGCAUAUACUAUGCUUCUCACACAUGAGGUUAGACUUGACAAUAGUAAGCUUCAUGACAACAAAGAAAUUAAGAAUAACUAUGCAGCCAAUAUAGCUCAAGUUGGAAAUUUUUCAAAGAAAGGUAAUAAUAAUGCUCAAAAUAACUGGAACAAGGCUGAGGGAAAUAAUUGGAACACUAAUUCUGGUGGAAGAGGUGGCUUUGAUGGUAAUGGAAGAGGAGGUUACCAGGGACCAAAUCGAGGAAAAUGAAAUUAGAAUAAUAACUUCAGAGGAUUUGCUGGUGGAUUUAACAAUGGAUUUCCUGGUGACUUCAAUAACAACUAUGGCAGAGGUGGAUUUAACUCAAGAGGUUCUGAAAAGGUUUUGUUUAAGGAGGUGUUGCUUGUCAAAUUUGCUUAAGGUUUAACCACACAGCAGCUGAGUGUAGAGACAUGUUCAACAAGAAUUUUGUCCCAAAUUUUCCUGCUCCAAGUCAUUUUUUCAAUCAAAAUCAAGGAUCAAGGGUAGCUUUUAUGACUACAUCUGAAUGAGUUACUAAUCAAGGAUGGUAUCUAAAUAGUGGAACAACUCACCACUUAACUAAUACAGUUCAGAAUUUGAAUGAUGGUAAGAUCUUUUUUAGCUCAAAUUUACUAAUUAUUGGUAAUGGUCAAGGUCUUCAAAUUACUCACAUAGGUUAUACAUGUCUCUAUACUUUUUUUUGGUACUUGUUUACAUCUGCAUAAUGUCCUGUAAACCUCCAAAAUUACCAAGAACCUCAUUAAUGUUUUCCAAACUUCUCAUGAUAAUGAUAUUACCAUUGAAUUUUUCUCUGAUGUUUAUUUCCUAAAAGACAAUGUGAAUGACACUCUGUUGGCUCAGGGGAUUGCUAAAGAUGGUCUGUACAAGCUACUGUCAUAAGAGAAACUUAUCUCUUCUUCUUCUAUGCAAGUGUUUUAACCUAGUUCUAUAAUGUCAAUUUUCUCUUUCAAUGAUGAUGUCACUUCUGUUCAAGCCUUUAAUAGUGACUUAUAUUUCUGUUUAGAGUCCAAAUCUCCCAUAAGUUUUCACACUUAGGUUAUGUGUUAGCAAAUAUAUUGCAUAAUAGGCUUGGUCAUCCAAGCAAACAUGUUAUAUAAACUAUUUUAAAGAAUAAUUAUUUGCUGUUUGCUCAUGUUGAUAAAUCAAUCCUUUAGUUUUGUGAUGUUUGUCAGCUUGAAAAAUUACAUCAAUUACAUUUUUUAGUUACUAAAAUCAAAACAAAAUGUCUUUUAGAAUUGAUUCACACAGACUUACAUGGACUAGCCAUGUUCUGUCCAUGGAUGGUUAUAGAUAUUAUAUCUCUUUUGUUGAUGAUUUCACUAGGUAUUGUUGGAUUUUUCCUUUAGUUUUUAAGUCUGAUGCUCUUACUACAUUCAAACACUUUAAAUGCUUGAUUGGAAAACAAUUCAAUCUUUCUAUUAAAGCUUUACAAUUUGAUAUGAGAGGUGAAUUUAAAAUUUUUGCAGUCUUUUCUUCAACCAAAAGACAUCUAAGCUAGAUUUAGUUGUCCUCACACACAUUACCAAAAUGGUGUUGUUGAGAAAAAGUAUAGACACAUAGUUGAAACUAGUUUAACCCUUCUUACCCAAGCUAAAAUGCAUGUUUCUUUCUGAUGGGAGGCUUUUCAAACAACCUCUUAUCUCAUUAAUAAAAUGCCAACCUCUAUUCUCAAUAAUUUAUCUCCUUAUCGAAAACUUCAUUACCAAUCACCAAAUUAUCAGCUUCUUAGAGUGUUUGACUGUGCUUGUUACCAUUUUCUUAGACUUUACAAUCAAUACAAGCUUGAUUUUUACUCCAAAAAAUGUUUGUUCUUAUGUUACAGCCCUCUUUAUAGGGGCUAUAAAUGUCUAGUCAAAUCUGGCAAAGUUUAUAUUUGCAGCUCAUAUCAUUUUUAAUGAGUUUGAUUUUCCAUAUUUUGAAUUAUUUUCAUCCUCAUCAUCUUCUUCUGAGUCCUUCCUAAUUUACUCUCCAUUAAUUUUCAUUUUCAAUGAUAGUGGCUUCAAUCAUUCGUCAAUUAUACCUCAUACCUCAGUAGUGUUACCAUCAUCCUUCUUUCCACCUUUACCUCAACAAGUUCUAUAUUUUCCUUCUUAAACCUCUAAUUCCUCAUCCCUUCAUUAUGUAUCCAAUUCACCUGUAUCACAACCACCCUCUCAACUAGUAAUCCCAACUUAUCUAAUAAUUACUUGAGCCAAAUCUAGCAUUUUCAAGCCAAAAACCUAUUUUACAACUACACAGACCUUGAGCCAGUGAGUGUUAAAAUUGCUUUAGCUGACAAGAAGUGGCAUAUGGCUAUGCAAGAUAAGUAUAAUGCUUUGUAGAGAAAUGGUACUUGGACAUUGGUUUCAGUUGAGAUAGCCAACAAACUUGUUGGAAAUAAGUGGAUUUUUCGAGUUAAAUACAACCCAGAUGAUGGCAUUUCAAAGUAUAAAGCUCGACUAGUUGUAAAAGGGCUUCAUCAAACUUUUGGAGUAGAUUUCUUUGAGACAUUCAGUCCUGUUGUAAAACCUUGCAUUGUUCCAGUUGUUCUCAACUUAGCAGUCAUGAAUUAUUGGUCUAUAGCAAUUAGAUGUCGACAAUGCUUUUCUCAAUGGCUUACAUAUUGAAUAUGUGCUCAUGCUUCAGCUAGAAGGCUUUAUUAAUCCUCAAUUUCCCAAUUAUAUCUGCAAGUUGAAUAAAGCCUUAUGACCUUAAACAAGCCCCUAGGGCUUGGUAUGACAUAUUAAAAGGAUCUCUAAUUUAGUAAGGAUUCAGGUCUUCCAAGUCAGAUACUUCAUUAUUUUUCAAGCAUAUUAGAUGUGAUAUUUUAAUCAUUCUUGUCUAUGUGGAUGAUAUUCUAAUAACAGGUUCAAGCAAUGCUCAAAUAACAUGGGUUAUUAAUUAGGUUAGAUAAGAAUUUGCUCUCAAAGACUUGGGGAAUUUCAAUUAUUUUCUUGGAUUGGAAGUGACUCCAUCUAUUGAUGGCUUACAUAUAUCUCAAACUAAGUUUGUUGGUGAUAUCUUAAGGAAAGCUCACAUACUUGACAGUAAAUGUUGUAACACACCUAUAUGUGUUGCUGAUAAAUUGCAAAAAAAUAAAGGUUGUUUGUUUAAAAAUCAUUCAUUGUACAAAAGCAUUGAUGAUUCUCUACAAUAUUUAACACUGAUCAGUCCAGAUAUUGCAUUUACAGUCAAUAAGUUAAGCCAAUUUUUGGCUGCUCCAACUACUUUAUACUGGCAGGCCUAUAAAAGAGUGUUGAGAUAUAUGCGAAGUAUAGCACAUUUUGGACUUCAGUUCUUCAACUCAGGUUCUCUAACCUUGACAGCCUAUUUUGAUGCAGAUUGGGGGUCUGAUCUAAAUGGCAGAAGAUCUAUUGGAGGAUAUUGUGUUUAUCUUGGAACUAAUCUUAUGUCAUGAUCAUCUAAGAAACAAAAUAUUGUCUCUAGAUCAACUGUUGAAUCCGAAUAUAGAGCUUUAACAUUAGCCACAUCUAAAAUUUUAUGGAUCAAUUAUCUAUUGAAGGAACUCAAAGUAUCACCCAACAAGCCUCAUGUUCUUCAUUGUGAUAAUAAAAGUGCAGAAGCUUUAGAAAACAAUCCUAAAUAUCAUUCUAGAACUAAACAUAUAGAAUUGGAUCUUUAUUUUGUUAGGGAACACGUUGCCAAUAAGGAAUUGGUCAUUGAACAUGUAUCCAGAUCUGAUCAAUUAGCUGAUGUGCUUACAAAGCCUCUUAGUUUUGAUCAUUUUGCUUAUAUGAGAACUAAGCUCAAUGUCUGUUCAAGACCUUGAGCUUACAAGGGUAUGUUAAGAAUUAAGUGCCGAUUCAUCAGAGCUGAGCUGUCAUUAUAUCAUUGCUAAAUAUCCAUGCACAUUGGAAGGUCAUUAUGCAUAUUGUUAAGAGCUAUAGUUUCCCUCUAAAAGUUUGUUAUGUAUAAGUGGAUCUGAGCACAUGAGUUUGUUGCUUUCAGAAGAUUCUACACACAACCAUAUGAACAACAUUAUAAUCUCAAAUUACAUUAUGUAGAAUGAAUAUUUUUUGGUUUCUAAUUUCUCUCAAUCAAUAAAUUUUCACUUUGUUUUCUAUGUAAACAAACAGAAUUAUCAGAACAUAAUCAAAUAGACAGAUGAGGAUUUUGACCUGAUAUGAGAAAAGUUAUAUCCGCUCUCCAGUGAUUAUAGGGGUGCUUUGCUCUUCAUGAUGUCAAGAUUUCAAAGAAAUGAAUCAAAUAAUAACCUAUUUGGCAUCGUUAAUCCUUGACUUGUAUCAAAUUUUUGUGAAUUUCAAUUUAUCAAUAGUUGUUUUGAAAGUUGAUCGAACACAUCCGUUGUUUAAAUUUGUAUUGACGAACGUGAAGGCGAUAGCUGCGCUUAAUUAACACUAUUUCUUUGCCUUUCUUUUUAAUGUUACCCAUUGUGCAGCUGAAAACUCUUUUCAAGUCGGUUUGCCAAAUGGAAUAAGCUACCCGAAAGCCGAAUACAAGAAGGCAAUAAAAGUUUAUAAUAUUAACCCGAACUAAUGUGACGAUUUUUUGUAGAAGUCGCAUCAAGUCAAACAUACUUUAACAUAUAUUAAUAACAUAUUAACUUGAUGUCACAGAUUCAGGGUUCCUUACAUUGCUAAAUUAAAAAUGGUUAUAAGGAUCUUUUAGAAGUAGUAAUUACAUGCGUGGAUGCCCAAACGAAGUAAGAAAUUUCAAUCCAUGGCAGCAAUACAAAAUUGAUGGGAAGAGAUGAAAAUGUGAACCAUCAACUUAUUCGACCCAAUUAAGGGACUGUCUCCUCUGAUGAAGUAAAAAAUAAUCCGAUUUUGGUGCCAUUAAGAAUAUUGUAUAACUAGUUUUAGGAGUGGCAAUUUGGGUUAGGAUUCGUUUACUCGAUUUGAUUCGAUGCAAAUUAAAUGAGUUUGGAUUUGAAAAAAUUGUUUCGUUUAAUAAAUAGGUGAAUUCGAUUCAAUUAAUUAAUUAAAUGGAUCUAAUCUGGGUUUUAGAACAUUGAUUCAUUUAUUCGUUAAGGAUUCGUUUAGUAAAUGAGUUAUAAACGAAUCGAAUAUAAUCCAUUCGUUUAAAUUCAUUUAAUUAAAUUAUUUAUUUAUACUUAGUAUGAAAAAACCUUAAAGUGAAGGCUAAUAUAAUAAUUAUAAAUGAUAAUAAGUUUGUAUUUUGUAGGAUCUUAAAUUUAUGCUCUUUUUAUAUUUUAUUUUGUUUAAUUUUUGUUUAUUAAUUAUAUUUUUGUAAAUAAAUUCAUAUUCAAUUUAUUCCUUAUCGGAUAAACAAAUUGUAAAGGAAUCCAGAUUCGAUUUGAUUCGUUUAUUAAUUCUACUAAAUGAAUUAAACGAAUCGAAUCGAAUCGAAUAUUUGUUUAAUAAAUGACACUACAACAAAUAUGACUUUUGGUAGCAUUUGAUAGUAGCACUUUUUUCAUAAUGUUACGAAAUGUCAAUCUAUUGUAGCAUUUUUAGAAGAAAGUUACAAUAAGUUGUUCAAAUUGUAACAUUUAAUUUUUUGUAACAUUUUAUCUUUAAUUAGUAGCAUAUUUCAAAAUGCUAUGUAUGCUUAUAAAUAAUAUAGCACUUUAAAAAUGCUACCAAAUGUUGUUAUUUAUAGUAGCACUUAAAUAUAGCUACAAAAUGAGGAGAAAUAAAAAUGAAACACUACGUACCGCCAAAAUGAAAAAAUAAGCGGCAACCAAAUAUUUUGAUCUUCAAAAUAUGCAACAUUGGGAGGGAAAGAAAACAAAGCCCCUUCUUUAUUUCCUUGUCUCCUUACUGAAAUUUUUAGGCAUAAGCAUUCAGAUCUUUAUUUGAAGAACACACAUUGAAAAAUCAUAGCUUAAUAUUCAUCUAGAAUCUCAAUUCUUAAUUCCUUUCUCUUCAAAGUCUCUAUCUUUUUCAUUUCAUUGGCUUAUCUUAUUUUAUGGUUUUUUGAGAGGUUUCAGAUUAUGGAGUUGAAUAACCAUGGAUUCAUAUUUACGUUAAUCACCAUCAAAGGUGUGGGCUCCUUUUUCCAACCAUUAUGAGAUUCUCUAUCACUUUUUUUUUUUCCCUCCAAAAUGUAACUCUUCCAUGUCUCUUGUUCUUGGUUUAUGAUGCAUUUGGAGAUUACCUCAUUACAACCAAAUGAAAACGGCUUGGAGAAGUACUGGAUGAACUACGCCAUCAUCGUCGUCCUCCAUUGUGAUGAUAAGGAGCAUUUGGAGAAGUACUGGAUGCAAAAUGAAGAUAAAAAAAAUAUUUUUUAUUUUUGUUUGGUGUGUAAUCUUUUUGAAAAAUUAUGAAUUACAUGUAUAUGCUUUAGCAUCUUUUUUUUUUUAAAUUUGUAAUCUGAUUAUGAAGUUUAUUUUUUGUUAUUUUGUAUUUAUUUUUUUGUUUAUCAAUGGAAUUGGUUAAAUGUUUUAGUAAUUCAAUUAUAUUAAUUUAUUUGGGUAUUCUUACUAAUAAAAUUAAAAAUUUAUCAAUUCCAAAUAUUGUAGAUUUUAUUUAAUGUUAACAACAUUUGUUACAAAUACUAAAAUAUUACAUAUUCUCAAUGCAGUAGAAGUAGCAUUUCCAAGUGCUGCAAAAGAUUAUAACAGUAACACUUUCGUCAUGAUUUAAAUGUCAUUAAGUAGCAAUUUUUAAAUGUUAUUGAUGUUAAAAUGGUAGCAUUUAUCUAAAGCAAUCACAUAUGAUUGUGUAGCUUUGUUUCAGUGCUAUGUUUUCAAAUUUGUAGCAUCCGAUAAAUGCUACUAACUUGUAAGAUUUUUAGUAACAUGGGCUAACAUAGCAUUGCUUAAAAUGCUACCAUUCGCUUUUUGUAGCAUUUUUUGAGUGCUACCAUAUCUCAAUUUUGUUGUAGUGUGAAUUGAAUCCGAAUCCUAAGAUUUCUAUUUCUUUAAUGAACGAAUCAAAUUCGAAUAAACAAAAUUUUGACCCAAUUCGUUUACAAUUCGAUUUGAAUAUGACUCGUUUAUUCGUUUUGCCAACUCUAACUAGUUUAUUGUGUUUUUGAUUAAAUAUUACAUAAACUACACACUAUCAACGUUAUAUUGUACUUAUAGUUUUUUUAUUAUUUUACUUUAAGUGUACAACGUGUAAGUAAGCUAAUUUUCCCAGAUCUCUAUAUUGGGUUUUGAGUGUAAAAUGAUAAAAUGAUUUGACAUACAAAUACGGUUGGAAAAGUAUCAUAAUAAAUUACUAUUUUAAAGCAUAAUUUUGAGUGGACCUACUUUGUAUAAGUGAGAGGUAAUAAUAUGUUCUUUUAUACUUAAAAUGAUGCUUGGGUGAAUAACAAUGCACAAAUUACACCAUUAAUUGCAUUGAGUAAGAGUUGGAGUUACAAAAAAUUGUAGUAGCUAGUUAAAUUUAAAAUUAAUUACGAAAUUAAUUCCAGAAUAUAUCACUUGUAAUUGCCAAGUAAUUCAGAAUUUAUAAUAGGCAAUUAAAUUUAUAUUUUAAUAUGAGAUUAAAUCUCGAAUUUAAUAUGUGGUUAAUGAAGCCGCAUUUACAUUUUGAAUUUAAUUUAAGAAUAAAAUAAAAGGUUUAACGACAACAAUUAUACUUUUAAUUAGCUACUGUACCUAAUAAGAAAUUAAAUACAUCAGUUACAAAAUUUUAGCAGUCAAAUUUGUGGAUAAAAAUGCCUCUCAUACAAUUAUAUGAAUUGACAUUCUUCUUCACUUCAAGAAAAUGGCUAGGAAUAAUAUAAGAGAAAUAAGGAUAGAAGAAUAAGAAGACAAACUUCAAUACCUCCUUUGUCAAUGUCAUUAUCAUCAAUGUCAUUUAUCCAAUUUCCAUAAAGUUUAGAGACAAUGGAACUUUUUUGUACAAUAACCUCUUCGUGCGCUAGAAUUAUUCAUUACCAUUGUGUCUUGGAAAAUAGGCACUGUUCAAAACCUCAAGCACUUAAUAGCAGGAGGCGAAUUUAUUUUAAUGAAGCUAUAAUAUUAUGCAGGUAGGGAUGACAAAUUACGAGCUUGGGCUAGAUUUUUUUAAGCUCAUGCCUAAGUUCAUGUUAUUAGUAAUAGGUCCACAUUCUCUAAAAGUCCAUCCAACUUGGACAGUCUGAGGCUGGGCCGGACUUGAGCUUCCGUUAAAUUUUUAAAUAAAUUUUUAAUAAAGUCAAAAGUUAAAAACAAAAUAUUUAAAAUAAUAAUUAUCUAAUAUAUAAUAGAUAAAUAGUCAAAUACAUAAAAUAACACAAUAUAAUAAACCACAAAUAAUAUUUAUAAAUUAUAAAUUAUAUUUUUUUAAUUUAUAAAUUAUAAAACUCGAGCAUUUUCCAUAAACCAUUAAUUAAGUUCAUUCACAUCUGACUUUAAAUUUUUUUACCCAUGUCUAUGGUAUCACAAAGCAAGCAGGGCCUAAAGCCCAUGACCUUAAGCUGGGCCGACCCUAACUUUUUUACCCCACCCUACAUCGAGGUCUUGAUUUGCAUUCUAUUUUUAUAUCAUAUUUUAUUUGUUAUCUUAUUAUUGUAAUCACUAUUUUAAUUGCUAUAUCAUUGUUGUAACUGUAAUCAUUGUUAUUUGUAAAGUCUCAAUUUAUGAUUUGUAAUUUCAGAAUGCAUUCCUCCUAUUCCAUUGUAUUUCCCUUAUGAAUACUUGGACAAAGAUAGAAGCUAUUGGACCAAAAAAUUAACACCAAAUCCGAAUUUUGUUACUAAGAUAUAAAAAUUCUCAGUUUCCUAUAGUUACAAAACCACCAUAUAUAAGUAAGAAUUUCAAGUCCCUAAAUGUCAAAAUUUGGUAAAAAUGCGAGGAUCAUCAUUACCAAGUACGCUGUGAUUUUAUUUUCAUUAGUUUGCCGAAAGCUUUGAAACAAUUUUUCUUUUUGCCAAAAUAUGAAUCCGACGGCAUGAAACAAAGCACCCUUAUCAUAUUUUCUCAGAAGAGAAUCUUGGCUUGUUUGUUCGAUACAUCAUCUUCUUCCUUAAUUGAUAUUAGACUGAAUAGACUCUCUUCAAAUUUAUGAACUGACAAGUGAAAACUUCUUAGUCCAAUUCUCCAAGAUCUCUCAUUUUUCCCGGGGAUUAGGAUUGUAUAAGAGCAGUCGUGGAAUUGAAGAGUCGGGUUCUGAAAAAAUCCAAUUGGCAAAUAUUUGAUAUUAACGAAUAAAAGUUCGCCCCAAAUCCUCUCUUUCAUCACCUAUAUUUCAACAUUAUCAUUAAUGGUAUUAAAAAAUAAUAAAGAUAGAUUGUCAUCGUAUAUGUCAAGUGACACAGAAAGUAAAAAUAGGAGGAUAUUGAUAAAACAACAAUAUAAAAUAAACAAUGUUGAAUAAUUUAAAUGACAUUUGGAACAAAAAUCAUAAAUUUUUUUUUCAAGCUUCGGGCUUUGCGGUUUUGACUUGGUAUGGGCUUAAGUUCACCCAAAUUGCUAAUCUAAGGAUGCAAUUCCUUAUGAGCUGAUCAUUUACAUCCUUCCGAGAACUGUGAGAUAUUACAUAUCCUAAUUUCGUACAAAAAACAUUGGAUUAUGUGUUUCUAUUUAUAAGUGUGCAGGUUUUGUGUUUUCUGUGAUUUCUUGAAUUAAGACUGCAAUAAAAGAUUUUCCCAAUUUUACUUCUCAAUAUGUUCAUUAAUUGGAUCAAAUGAAAUCAUGCAUGAACUCUUAUGAUAACAUUUUUUGACCUACAUUUCUCAUUAUUGGUUUUGGCAGUCUCUUCUUUUAGCGAACACUGGCAACACAAAAAGAAAAUUAAAAAAGGGGGAAACUGUUAAAUUUGUAAUGGCCUAUUUGGUUAAUUUUAUGUAUUUACGUAACUUAUAUUAUAGUAGUUUCUAAAUUAACAAGCCUGUCUGGUUAUAUUCAAGAAAAUUGAUGUACUUAGAUAAUUAAUACUAUAUGUAAAGUUACUAAUAUAACCUUUUCCUGUGCGGCUCUGGUACGCGUUUCCUUUUCUUACUACAGUUUUAAUUUCAUUUAGGAAACUAGUUUCCUAUUCAAUUAGGGUAACCGUUAUUACAUAAAAAUCUAAUGGGAAUAGGAAACUAUUUCCUAAUUCAGUACGGCAAGUUAUUGUCACAUUAUAAAUACCCGUGCAGAAAAAAAAUUUGGUUCCAUAUAUCGCACUGAAAAAAAAAUGGAGCAAUACGAAAAGAUCAGAAACUUAUGAUAUUUUUAAGGAAGAUGAAUAAUCAUCCCAACAUUGUCAAGUUGAGGAAUCUUGUCAAAGAACACGAAGACGUAUUCAUUGUGUUCGAGUACAUGGAAUCUGAUCUUCUAAAACUUAUGAAAGAAAGUGCGGGUCAAAAUUUCUCUGAAGAUGAAGUCAGAAACUUGUGUUUCCAAGUGUUUCAAGGUCUCCAUUACAUGCACCGACAGGGUUAUUUUCACCGUGACCUAAAGCCUUCCAACUUGCUUGUUUCGAAAGGUGUGAUCAAGAUAGGGGAUCUUGGAAUGGUGAAGGAAAUUGAUUCCAGUCUGCCGUGCACUGAUUAUGUUACAACUCGCUGGUAUCGAGCUCCUGAAGUGUUGCUUUUAUCCGAGAUAUGUGGACCUGAAGUUGAUAGGUGGGCGAUGGGUGCUAUUAUGUUCUCGAUGUUGAGUUUCAGGAGUCUUUUUCCGGGAAAAAAUUCAGCUGAUCAAAUUUACAAAAUCUGCGGCAGAUGGGUGGCGUGAAUCUACGUGAGUUGUUACCAUCAGCUAGUCGAGAAUCCAUCAGCUUGAUUUCAUGGCUUUGUUCCUGGAAUCCACGCAUGAGGCCUACGGCUGCGGAAGCUUUGGAACAUCCUUUCUUCCGGAGCUGCCAUUUUGUUCCUCGAUCGGUGCCUCUUCUUUGCAAUAAUUUUGAAGCUGUUGCGUUUCCUACUGCCACAGUCACAAUGCAAGGACGUUCUUUGACAUAUUCUCAGGUACCGAAUGAUGGGCAAUUAUGUUUGUGCGUCAAAUGUGAGAUGCAAAGGACUAACCAUGAUCACAUGAUCAUCAACUCUGCCAAACCGGCAACCUCCGUGAUUUGUAAAACUGGUUACGCGACUAGAACUGAGAUGUUGGCUUCUCGCAUGCAAUCGUUGCAGCAGCUGAUGAUGUCGAGGCCUCCCGGAUUUUGAAGAAAACGUUAAGGCUGGUUAUUGUAUUUGUACUUAGAAACCUAACUACGUACGUACUGAUUGUACUGUCGAAGAUUAUUCAAUGCAUUGAUAUUCAUCUCCUCAGCUUCCCUAGUGUCUUUUAUGUUGAAUUCAAUGAGUGUAAGUCCAUGACCAUUUUUUUUUUUUAAGUUAUGGUCAAAUGUGAGAUGCAAAGGACUAAUAAUGAUGAUCAUAUGAUCAUCAACUCUUCCAAUCCAGCAACCUCCAUGAUGCAUAAAACUGUUUAUACAGCUACAACUAAGAUGUUGGCUUCUCGGAUGCAGCCAUUGCAGCAGCUGAUGUCGAGGCCUCCUGGAUUUUGAAGAAAAUGUGAUGGCCGAUUACUGUAUUUGUUAUAAAAAAACCUAGCUACGUACGUAGUAUCUCUGUUGUGGAUAUUUUAAUAGCUUCAUUCAUUCAAGUAAGCAAAAAUUAUUCAAUACUGUCAUUUUUUCGAAUAAUUUGAUACCACUGACCCUAGAAAGGACAUUAACGGGUAUUCAAUGCACUGUCAUCUUCUCAAAUUAGCUAUUGUACCUAUACAUUGAUUUCACCGAGUGUAAGUCCAUUUUUUUUUUUAAAUUGAAAAAAUAUUAUUUAGAAGAUAAAAGAGUGCAUGAGAGUGAUAAAAGUUACGACAAAUGAAAAUUAGGAACACCAAAAUUCUAGAAGAAGAGGCUUCUGAAUUGAAUGGGGAGGUAGAUUCCAUAGUGGAAAAAUGAUAACUAAGACUAUCGUUAGUUAAAGUAUCCACCACUUUGUUACCUUCACGAUAAAUAUGUGAUAAAUUAUUAUAUUAAGCGAAGCAAGUAAAGGCAAUUAAACCAACUAGUGUGGAGUUUCCAUGGAAGAGAGUAGCCAAAAUUCUGAAGACAUUGAGUCAUAGACAUGGCGUCACAUUCAAUCCGAAGUUUAUGCCAACCCCUUAACCAUGCUUGUCCAAUAGCAAGAAUAACUACCAUAAAUUCAGCAUAAAAAGAGGAUUCAUGACCAAUGAACGUAAAACUGCCAAGGAAGGUUCCAUGAUGAUCUCUAGAAAUUCCCUCACAAGCAGAUAACCGGGGAAUAUUAUUCUUACUGUUGACCUUUAUCAAAGUUGGAGGGGACGCCAUAUCACUGUAGCUAUUUUCGAAGCUUUUCCAAAGCUUGGAUCAUUACCCAACCGGGCAAAAAUUGCCAAAUCAUGAAAGUGUGCAAGAGUACUCCCUAGGCAAGAUUGACAAAGAGUAAAUAUUAAAUUUUUACAGUAAGCUAUGGCAUUAUGAAAAGGGAGAGUUACAUCUUGAAAUCAAAUAUAUUCAUUUUUCGUUUUUAAAUUAUAGCUUAAUGGCAACCCAGAUAGCUCCACGUGAGUGGAUUCAAACCCCAAAUCUAUUAUUUCAAAUCAAAAGAUUAAAGUUCACCAAUUGAUCAACUAUAUAUCUGGCGUCUAACUAUGACCAACCUCAAUUAACGGACGUCCGUCAACUAGAUUAAUUCUCAAAAACCUGCUACUUUCUAGUCUGUGGAAGAAACAAAGUUCUCAAAGAAGAUAACUUCACAAUACAUACAACUCCUUGCUAACUCAAAUUUAAGCCAACGCCAUGUUUGAUGAAAAUUUAUGGUUGCGGGUUGUGAUUCCAUUUAUGCCAUAAGAAAAUCAAAAGGGUAUGUUUCGAAUUAUGAUUGCAAAAUUCCAAUCAAAAGGGAAAAGUUUUGGCAUGGACCAAAAGUUUUUUUCCAUUCAUUUCUUAUCACAUUUAUAUUUCAACUAACUAUAAUAAUAUAUAUACACUUAAUAAAUAAUAAAUAAAUAAAAUGUAAUAUUUAAAUAUAUUUUGGAUAGACCACUCGGUCUUUGGCCGAGUGAUGGAUUACUUACUCUCACAUUUGUAAACAUUUGUGAGAGCACCAGUUUGAGAUCUUAAGGGCUCUCCCUUAAUUAAGUAUGAUUGAUUGGAGUCAAUUGUAACUUUCUCCUUUGUAAAUUUUAAGUGAAGUGGACAACCCUCGAAUAAUUGUGAAGGUAGACAAUUUGGUGGAGCGGACAACCCUCAGAUAUAUGUGAAGAUAGACAAUCUGAACAAGUAUUUUAUAAAAUUUAAUGUACGUAAAGUUAUAGUUUCACUAUGUAAUUAUAAUAUCUGAUUGUAUUAUUAGUAUUUAAAAAAAAAAACUCUUCUGGAUAGAUAUUAAACCUUUCAAAACCUUUACGUACCAAAUAAAGAGUAAACUAAUUUGAGCUCUUGUCCGGUAGCUCCAAAUAUUUUUCAUGCUUGAAACAAUGUUGAGUUGGAAUAUGUUUUUGAUUACCGAAGCUUAAUCACUUUGAACAUUACAGCUGAAGAGCAUAGAGGAUUUGUCAUAAUUGAAUAAUUUUCCAGAGGUUGUAGUGUAGCAAUUAAAAAUUCUUUUCAAAUUUUGACAAUCUGUAGCUGAUGCCCUAGUGAAUACAAGACUGUCAUCCACAAAAAGAAGGUGGGAGAUUUUAAUGUCAUUGCCAAAUGACAGCCCAUGAAUGAGCUUCUAUUGUUCAGCCCACACCAGCAAAGAAGAAAAAGCCUCUGCACAUAUGAUAAAAAGGUAUGGAGAUAUCAUACAUAUUUUCCUUAGCCCACGCUGAGGUUUGAUUAGUCCGCUAAUCAUACCAUUUAUAAUUACAGAAAAGAAGCAGAGCUUAUACACCUCAUGACCAAUCGUACAUAAUUUUGAAAAAAGCCUAGCUCCAACAUGGUUUGCUCAAGAAAAUUCCAUUCUAAUCUAUCGUAGGCUUUACUAAUAUUGAGCUUCAUAGACACAAGGUCAUUUCUUUUCCCCUUACCAUGUCUUAUUUUAUAGGAGCAUUUGUGACCUACAGUGAUAUUGACAAUUAUCAGCCUAUUAUGAAAGCACUUUGCAUUAGGGAUAUGGCUUUGGACAGGGUUUGUUUAAGCCUAUUUGCUAUUGUCUUAGCAACAAUUUUAUAGAUAACGUUACAAAGACUAAUAGGCCUAAAAUCACUGACUUUUAUAGGUUUUCCAAUCUUAGGAAUUAGAGCAAUAUAUGCAUGAUUGAGAGGGCCUAUAGUACCUUGCUUGUUGAGGAUGUGGAGGCAAGUAGUGAUAACUCCGGAUUUAAUCGUUUGCCAAUGUUUUUGGUAAAAGACUGCUAGCAAUCCAUCAGGCCCUGGAGUCUUCGUUGGACACAUCUGUGAUAAGGCUUCAACAAUUUGCUCUGUUGAGAAAGGCUUGUCCAAUUGCUCGUUCAUGUCAUUUGAGAGCCUCAGUGUUAUCCCUGAAAGAGCUGUUGCUAUUUGGUUCUAGCUCGGUCUGGAUGUGGUGAAGAAAUUUGUGAAAUAAGUGCAAAACUCAUGCUCUACUUCUUCAACAUUCUCAAUCCAUCUUCCUGUUUCAUCUUCAAUUCUCCAUAUUUCCAGGUCCUCUUGCGUUUCCCUCUAUCUCAUGCUUCUUUUUGCCGCUUGUUUGCUGUGUCAUUGUUAUUUCCAACACGCCAUUCAUUAAACGCUUUUCACCUACUCGUUCCACCUCAUCACCUAUAGCUAAUUCAUUAGUUUGACCCAUCUCUUCCUGAUUUGGUUUUGUCAACUAGGUUACUUUGACUCUGUUGAGGUUGUUGCGAGCAGCCGUAGUGUUCUGAGUUUGCCGAAUUACUCACUAAUUUGCCACUAUCCCUAUUCUAUCUCUCCUUGAUAUGGUGCUUCUUUGAGCGUCCUCCCACUAUAACUGCCUUCAUCCACACCCCAUAUGGACGUUCCUCUUUUCGUUGACCCUAAUACUUAGCACACUCCUUGAACUAGUGGCUAAUAACUCCACAAAUGAAAUAAAAGUCAGGCAAUCGUUCAUAAUCUAUAGACAUUAGAAUAUCUGCAUCACCCUCUUGUAAGAUCUUUUCUAAUGGCUGAGUCAUUUUGAUCGAAAUUCUAACUCUUAUAAAUUCCCCAAUAUAUUUACCAUAUUCGUCUGUUUCAACCUCCUUUACUAUUCUAAUCUUCCCUCCCAAUUCUUGGAGAAAAUAUCUUUCCAAACAGGCAACUGGGACAUUUCGAAUCUGCACCCAGAAUGUUGUAUGAGUGAAAGACUGUUUUAUGAUCUCCCCAAUUCCUUUUGGUUAUGUAAGGACAAUUAAGGCCCUAUCAAAGUGCCAAGGGCCUCCUGUCAUCACCCUUCUUUUAUCAGCUUCAUCUGCAAACUUGAACAUAAAGAUAUGAACACCCAAGCUCUCUAUCUUAACUUCUUUAAUUGUCCUCCAAACUUGCUGUAAUGCCAUCUUCAACCCCUCCUUAUGAACUCCUCUUGUAAGAAGUAUCUUGCCCAUCAAAUAGCCAGCCAAAACCUUCUCUUUUUUUUUUCCUUUCAUUCUCACUUCCAAAGUUACUAUAUUUUUCUUCUUUCUCUUUGAUAGUUAUCGCUUUACAUUUACGAAUUAAUUCCUCUGUAUCCAUAGCAUUUAAGACCUUUCAGAAAUAAUUGUUGCAUUCACUGUUCUAAAAGUAACCUUGUGUUUAAAUCCCUUACCUGUAACACCCUAGGCAAAUCCCACAUCGGCAAAGCACAGGAUAGAUAUUGGGUUUAUAAAGGGUGAUCUACACCUUAAUUGGCAAGAUGCGUUUUGGGGUGUAUAGGCGCCGUAGAAACAAACUUGUGCAAAUCUUCUUAAGGCCCAACGCGAACAAUAUCUUGUCAGGUCUGGGUUGGGUCAUGACAUUAUGGUAUCAGAACGGCUCUGCGUAUCAUCUUGAGCGAUGUUGGGGCAAACCUCAGCGAGGACGCUGAGUCCCCAAGGGGUGUGUGUGUAACAUCCUAGGCAAAUCCCACAUCGGCAAAGCAUGGGAGAGAUGCUGGGAUUAUAAAGGGUGAUCUACACCUUAACUGGCAAGACGCAUUUUGGGGUGUAUGGGCGCCCCAGAAACAAAACCGUGCAAGCCUUAUUAAGACCCAAAGUGGAUAAUUUCUUGUAAGGUCUGGGCUGGGUCAUGACAUUAUGGUAUCCGAGUGGCUCUGCGUGUCCUCUUAAGCGAUAGUGGGGCAAAACUCAGCGAGGACGCUGAGUCCCCAAGGGGGUGUAUGUAACAUCCUAGGAAAAUCCUACAUCGGUAAAGUACAGGAGAGAUGCUGGGUUUAUAAAGGUUAUCCACACCUUAAUUGGUAAGACGCAUUUUAGGGUGUAUGAGCGCCCCUGAAACAAACUCGUGCGGGCCUUGUUAAGGUUCAAAACGGACAAUAUCUUGUUAGGUCUGGGUUGGGUCAUGACAUUAUGGUAUCAUAGCGGCUCCAUGUGUCCUCUUGAGCGAUGGUGGGGCAAACCUCAGUGAGGACGUUGAGUCCUCAAGAGGGGGUGUAUGUAACACCCUAGGUAAAUCCCACAUCGGCAAAGCACAUGAAAGAUGUUGGGUUUAUAAGGGGUGAUCUACACCUUAAUUGGCAAGACACGUUUUGGGCCUUGUAUAGGCGCCCCAGAAACAAACAAGCACAUCUAUUUUUUUCAAAAUUAAUAGUUGAGUCUUAAAUGUGAACUUAUUUGGUGGCUGCAAAUUAUGAACCCAUUUUUGAUUUCGGUGAAAACGAAAAUGUAAAAUGCAAAACAGAAAACGUAAAAUGAUAUGAUGCAAUAAUUACAUAAUUAAUGUUUUCCCUAAGAUAUAGUAAAAGCAUAUGUUUCACCAAAAAAAUUUGAAGCCUUACAGGUCCUCCCAGCCGUUUUAUUUAUUUAUUUAUUUUUAGUAUUUACAGAAAUGAAACUAAAACUCUCCUCACCCACAUGAGUGGUUGAAUCUAAGCCACUUAAAGUUAAUAAUUCAUGAAAUGGUGCCUUUGUUUUGUGGCGGUCGCGGGGCCUUUGCCUCUGAUUAAUAUUAUUCUUUUAGCGUGUGGAUUCCACAAAUCGAAACCCUUCGGAAUUUUAUUUAUUAUUUACUGAAAUAUCAUUUUCCCUAUGGCUUCUACAUAUUAUGCCUAUAGCUAGUGAUUGUUACGUAAUUCAUAUAAAAAAUCAAUUUUAGAAUUGUAACUAUUUUAAUUAACAGAUGCAAGGUAAAUUCCUUAACAGAAAAAUUCAUCUAUGUUCUCUUAGAUUAUAAAAGAUGAAAGUAGCGUAAUUAAGUUUAAGAGAAAACUGAUUUUAUUAAAUUUCAAGGACGAAACGAAAAAAACAAUAAGAGAGAUAAAAAGAAUUUCUAAGAGAACGAAAGUAUCAUUCGACAAGUAAAUUUAAAUUCAUAAUUUUUUCUGCCCGAUCUAAUGUUAAUUCUUAGCGGCAAGCCUACGGCACAAGCCACAUAUAUGGAAUUAUGCAUAAUUUUUAUUGGUUAAAACGUGACAUUGAUGAUGUUGAAAGAACAAAUAAUAAACAAUAAUACAAUAAAACCUCCAAAUAGAAAUACUUUAUAUAUGAAUAAUUUCUUUAUAGUAAUAAAAAUUUUGAUCCCAAGUUGGGACCAGUUAUAAUUAAAAAUAAAUUUCACAUUGUAAUAAGUUAUAUUUUUUAUAGGUCCCGACUUAAUAAACUUACUUUCACAUAGUAAUAAUAUAUCAAAAAUAUAUAUCAUGUUACAUUAAAUAAUUAUUAAUUUAUUAAUACAUGACAUAAUUUACCCCUAUAUCACUUGCAUUAGAGAUAAUUAAGUAAAGACAAUAAUUUUUAUACUAUACUUCUAUUGAGUUAUAACCUCUUUAUUAAAAUAAAUUUCUCCAGUCUCAACAAUAUGAUUAUACAGAUAAUUUACUGUAUCAGGCUUUUUGAUGCGUAUAGAAAGCAGGACGAGAACACAAAAACACAAGUUUAAUUAAUUUAUUUGAAAAUACAUAACAUGUUUCAGACAAGAAAAUUAGAUUAAACUCAAGUUUGAUAGUUAAUUUAUUUGAAAACACAUAACAUGUUUCAGGCAAAGCGAUAAGAUUAAAUUCGAGUUUGUUAAGCACAAAAACUCUCUCGCAUAUGCCGCAAGCUAGCUUAUUAGAAAGAGCUGACCAAAUCACCCUCCGAUGAUGAUGAUCUUGUUGCAAUAUUACUGUUUCCAUUGACCCUCCUGCAGUUCAAUCUAAUCUCCCCUUGAUUUCCUGUCAGUGGUUUCAAAUUGCCCAUUCUUAUCAUUGAGGUCACAAAGUUUUUAAAGAAAGCAGUCUGGUUCCUCCCAAAGUCCUCGACAAUGGCAGCGGUAUCGGCACCAGGAGUCGAAAACAACUCUUGAUCACUCUGCAGAAGGCCUUUGCGGAGUCUAAGAUUGGAGAAGUAUUUGUUGUCGAAAGCAUCAGGUGUUUUGACAUCAAAAUUAGCAAGAACGGCGCCGUUUCCACCUUGUGGGCAUAGUUCCCUCAGUUGCUUUAAGAGGGUUCUGUCCAGUGUUGGGUCUGGCUUGCCAGUUUUGUUGAAAUCGUAUAAUCUGUCCCUGAAAAAUUUGCACUGAGCCCUUCCAAACGUGUGAGCUCCUGAAAAACAUGCAUGACCAAACCUUUGUUAUUUUUGCUGAAUUCACAUACGAGGAACAAUAAUGAUAAUUUUAUUGUUAGGGAUAUUAUUUAAAUUUUGAGUUAAGUAAAUAUAAAUUUAAGGCACCAACACUCAUUUCUUAAAUUAAUUUUUGAGUAUGAGUUACUACUAGUAGCAGGCAGUUUUGACUCCUAAAAGUUUACUCUCGUAACUUUACUCAAGUAACUAAAAGGAUGUAGAAGCAAUUAAUAAUUACCGGAGAGUGCAACAAGAUCAAACUUGUCAUUGAGGCCAACAUUUCUAAAACUAGAUUUGAGCUCAUCAAGAGUAUUAGAUGGUCCUGGAAGAUUCUGAUUUGCAAGAGCUCUGUUUGCCGUUCUGCUGUCUCUUCUUCCCAAUGGAACUGCCCAUGACGGACCCCCUGACUGUAACCAAAAGCCAUUCACUCAAAAUCAGCAAUAAUCUUAAGAGAUGUGUGUUUGGGGCGGACUAUUUAAUUUGCUAACCGUUGAAUCAAACUUUGUCGUAUAACAAAAGAAGAAAACUUUUAAUUUUAAAACUAAGGCCUUGCUACGAUACACCAGCGCAGUAAAAAGUGUCUCACUGUCGGUAACAAUUUAUCCGUUGAUAAUCACUAUAUUGACAUACUUGCAGCAAUUUUGGUACCAUACAGUGUAGCUGAUGCACCAUAGUCAAUAAGUCACCCCUUUUAAAUAAUGGAGUCCACCACGUCGUCCGAAUCUAAAAAUGAUGGGUCCAACGAUGGAUCCCUUCACUUAAAUCAAUUUCCACAUGGUGAUGAUGGGGCAAUUUUGUCGUUGAAUAGCAGAUGCAAUAACUAGCAAAGGCUAAACAUGUGGACUCAGAUCUUGCACAUUGUUCUAUGUGAAUAAUUAUUUAAUUAAUAUAUUCUUCUAAGGAUAAAGUUGAACUUACGGGAUAUUUAAUUAACCGAAAAAAAUAAUAUAAAAACACGUUAAAUUUAUAUGGGUUAUUAUUAAUUAAAAAAAUAGUUAAAAACUACAUUAAUACUGCAAAGAUUUACCAUUAUUCUGUUCGCUUAUUCUGAUACCCAUAUUAAUUUACUUCUAAGCGUAAAAUAUUUACUGGGAAGAGGAGUUGGUAAUAGAAAUUCAUUACCAAAGCAACGGAUCGUUCAGCCGCAAUAGUAAGGAUAUCAGCGCAGGAAACAACCCUUCGACAUGCCUUUUCAACGGCAGCUUUCAUGUUAUCAAUAACUUCAAAACCCCUCGCCGAAUUAUUAUUUGGCGCAGCAAAUUUCUCGCUGUCUAUGGUGUUAGUGCUGUCCAGCAAAAUCGAUGCAUCACACCCCUGGAAAAAUAAUAUUAAUUAACAACUUGCUAUGUUAACAGUCCAUUGUAUUGUUACUUUUUCAAGUAGAUAGAUUCCUUCUUAUCUUAUGGACAGGAAUUCAAAAAAAUUAUAUAAAUAAUGCAAACUCUUCUUUAAAUUGUCUUAUUAUUACAUAUGUUUUUAAGACUAGGAUUUCCUGUUGAUUUAAAUUUCUCAGUUGGAAGAAUAUAAAACAAGUGUGAUUUUUUUUCAACCAUACACCAUUAAUAUUGGACCCAUGAUCAUUAAAAGCACUCAGCAGGGAUGAGGCCAUGAGGUGGAUUUUAUUUCCUGUUUUGUACCAAAUCUUUGCUAGAUUUAAAUUUCUAGUACAUGAAAACCCCAUAUUAAAAUUUAUUUAUAAACAUAGAAUUACAUGGUCCUCGGUACAUCGAAUUAGAGAGGAAAAAAUUUUUGUAAAGAGAAAAAAAAAAGAUAAAUAAAAAUGGUUUUGGAAGUUGUUGAAAUUAAAAUGAUAUAUUCAAACUCUCAAUGAAAACUCUAUAUUUUGUUUAAUGCCAUAAAAAUUAUAAAGAUACUGUUCAUUGAUAUACUUGAAACUAUGUUAUAUCAAUAAGUACAUAGACAGAGAGCUUGAUAAAGUAAAGAAGAUGAAAAAUGAGAGAGCAGAGAUUGCUUACAUCAACAAAACAGUCAUGGAAAUGAAGCCUGAUGAGGCUGGCACCGAUCCGGAUAUCGGACGAGAAAGCUUUCUUAAGCACAUCCUCGAUAAUGUUCAAUACAUUAGGGCAUGUGGAAGAAUAAAAAGAUGGAGAAAGUUGAGCUUGAGAUGGUGAUCCCUCAAGCACAAAAGCAACAACAAGAGCUGCUGCAAGAAGAUAACGAAGUGAAGCCAUUUUGGCUAAGAGUUACUACUUCUCUAUGAAGAGAAUGAUUAGUCUUAGGACUUGGAAAACAAAGAGAAAUGCCUCUUUAUUUAUAACCAAACAAACCAGAUUAGGAUUAGAACUUUGCAGCAACCUUGAAGUUCCUCGUUUCACUGUUUGAAUAGGUUAGUUACGUUAUUAAUUCGGUAAUUCCCUUAAUUAGGUUUAUGUGAUUUUUUUUUAAACUAAUGUGGCCCACGUGAGCAUCUAAGUAAACUAUAUGGAUACAGAUGUCUUUUUUUCUUUAUUAUUAAAAUAAAAUUACUAGUUAAUUUUCUUUUUUAAAUUUCAUUCAAUUUUUCUUUCGUGUUUAAAAGCUUAAGUCUUCAAUUAGAUUCUUCGAUUUUAAAUUUUUUUUUUCAAGUACAAUAUACUAAUUACGGUGCAUUUGAAAUUACAUGUCUUAUUUUCAUAAUGAUCUUGAAAUUUAGAAAUAACCUUCGUUUUUGUGGAGAGAACAUAAGAAAGAGGAAUAUUUGUUUGUAAAAUUUUAUUAAAAAAAAAAGUAUAAAUGAACGUAUUACAAAUGCAUGUAUAUCAAACUUAUUUGAGAAUAAAAGCUUAUUAAAAUGAAAUCCAAAAUUUUGAGUAAUUAUUCAUGAAAUGAGGGACUAAGUUGAUAAUUCUUGAAAUGGUGUUAGGUAGGGGCGGCGACGCCUCGAGCCGCCUUUGUUUAAUGCCAGCCUACCUGUUUCUUUUAUCGUAUGUGUGAAUGUGGAGCAGCGUGUGGAUUCCACAUAUUCGAAAUCCUUCAUUUCAACCUUUUGAAAUUCAUAUAAAAAACAAAACCUUUUGAAAUUUUUUAUUUGUCUACCGAAAGAUCAAAUAUCAUUUUGUCAGCUUAUACAUAGUUAGAUGCGAGAUUGAGCUACUCAAACUUUUUAAGUUAUAAUUAUUAUAGAAAAAAUAAAUUAUAAAAUAAAAAUUAAUAAUAAUUAUAUAUAUAUAAUAUUUAAUAAUAAUUUUGAUAAAUAAUAAAAAUAUUAUAAAUUUUUAUCAUAUAAGUGUGGGUUCAAUCAUCUUAAUUUUUAAACUCUAAUAAUAAAUGUUUGUUAAAUAUUUUAAUAUUUAUCCUAAAAGGUAUAAUUGUUUGCCUUCGACUUCAAAUGGGGUUAGAUUAAAACCCCAAGUGGGUGCUAAAUAAUUAAGUGGUGGCAGGAUUAUAUUUGAAAUGGGUAUAAGAGUAAUUUAGAUUUCUAAUUCAAGAAGGGACCGAGAGCAAAUGAAAAAGAUAGAACACGCUUAAGUUCUAGAAGGAAAAAUGAUUUUAUUAAUGAUCAUGAAAAAGAUAACCAUUGUUACUACUUUUAGUUUGGGAAAAAAAGAUCAAAAUAUUUGCCGUGGUUUAGUGAUUAGACACGAAGAUUCCAUUACUUUUAGAAACUAUAUAGGCUCUUUUUUGUGCACAGAGACCGCACAAAUUUUUUGAAAUUUGUCCAAAAACUAAGUUUUCUUAUCCUAAAAAGAGUUUGUGUAACCAUUUUUAAAAAUUACAAAAAAUUCUUCCCCACUAUUUUGUCAAACUACAAAUGUUAGACAAAAAGGAAAAAAGCAAUAUGUAAAAAGAAAGUGUUUUUCCGGUUAAUGUUUUAAAGCUAGAGGAUAAAAUGCAAAUGAAAAUACAUAUCGAUGACUUCGGGAGAAAAAAAAGAAAAGAAAAAAGAAACACAUACAAUAUGACAAGGAUUUCUGAUACAUAGAAAGCAGGGCGUGAAUACACAACCACAACUUUAGUUUAUUGAAAAUACAAAGCAUGUUUCAGGCAAAACAUAGGAGUAAAUUCAUGAGUUUGUUACCCACAAACUCUUUCUCUCGCGUUAGCUGCAAACUAGCUUAUUCAGAAAGAGCUGACCAAAUCACCCUCCGAUGAUGAUGAUCUUGUUGCGAUAUUGCUGUUUCCGUUGACCCUCCUGCAGUUCAAUCUAAUCUCCCCUUGAUUUCCUGUCAGUGGUUUCAAAUUGCCCAUUCUUAUCAUUGAAGUCACAAAGUUUUCAAAGAAAGCAGUCUGGUUCCUGCCAAAGUUAUUGACAAUGGCAGCGGUAUCGGCACCGGGAGUCGAAAACAACUCUUGAUCACUCUGCAGAAGGCCCUUGUGUAUUUGAAGAUUGAAGAAGUAUUUGUUGUCAAACAAAUCAGGUGUUGUGACAUCAAGAUUAGUUAGAACGCUGGCGUUUCCACCUUGUGGGCAUAGUUGCCUAAGUUGUUGUAAGAGGGUUGUGUUAAGUGUUGGGUCUGGAUUGCCAGUGCUGUUGAAAUUGAAUAACCUAUCGCUAAAAGCUCGGCACUGAGCCCUUCCAAAUGUGUGAGCUCCUGAAAAACAUGCAUAGCCAAUCUUUGUUAUUUUUACUCAAAUUCAUACAAAUUAAGGAUAAUAAUUGAGUUUCAUUAUGGUGGUUCUCACUUUCUUUUUGGGAAGCAAUUCAAAUUUCAUGAUGUAAUUAAGGGGAGUAAAUUUGUCAAACGUUUUAACAUAUUCCUAAUCACCAAUGUCAAACUUUAAAACACAGUUUCUUCGCAUCAUUAGGAUAUUCAGUCAAGCCUCCUAGGUGCUGUAGAGUAUGAAUGUGCUUUGUGUCGGUGGUCGUCUUAGUACGAGUAAUAAUGAGAAAAAAAUUGAUAUUUAGUGGAUGAGACAUCCUUAUCAAAAUUUAUUUUUUUCUUUUUAAAUAAGAUAUUCAACAUUUAAACUAUCUCUAAGAUUUCAAGACUCAGUAUUGGCAUUAAAAAAUUUUCCACCUCCAGAUUUCUAAUUCUGGCUCCAAUACUGCUUUAUCCCAAAAGACUCCAAGGUCUGUUUGUACUCAAGUCAAAGGGUGUAUAAGCAAAUAUUACCGGAGAGUGCAACAAGAUCAAAAUUAUCGUUGAGGCCAACAUUUCUGAAUCUAUCUUUGAGCCUCUCAAGACUAUUGUUCGGUCCUGGAAGAUUUUCAUUUGCAAGAGUCCUGUUUGCUGUUCUGCUGUCUCUCCUUCCCAAUAGAUUUGUCCAUGAAGGACCCCCUGACUGUUACCAAAACCACGAUCAUUAGUCAAAAGAAUCACUUGAGAGAUGCAUAAUAAGCAAAUUUACCUAAAAUCAGAAAUAGACAUGCAAUUACUCUUUCCCACUUUAUUUGGCUAAUAUUUAUAUGGGUCUUGUUGCACCCAAAAUUAGCAGUUUCCCGACGUUACAAUUUUGAGUGAACGGUUCAACCAGACUGUAUCAUUUAAAGAAGAUAAUUUCUUUUUUAUUUAUAUAUAUUUUUUUCAACAUAUAUACUGGAACCCAACACGUAAAACUGAUGUGUCCUAGAUGUCUCAUCACUUUUUUUUUUGGUUUUGGUGGGGGGGGAAGGAAAAGCCUUCCCUUUCCACACGGUAAAGUCAACAUGGUAAUUUCGGUAGACUGUUGCCGCCUAAAACUAAGCAUGUGGAUUCGUUUAGUUAAUGUACUCAGGGUCUGAAAAUUUCGACACGAAUGUACAGUCAAACUUACUCUCUGAUACCAUGGUAAUUUAAUUACUUUUAAGCUUAAAAUAUGUAUUAGGGCAAGAUGAGGAGUUGUUAAUAGAAAUUCAUAUAUACCAGAGCAACAGAUUGUUCAGCUGCAAUAGUAAGAAUAUCAGCGCAGGAAACAACGCCUGGACAGGCCCUUUCAACGGCAGCUUUCAUGUCAUCAACAACUUCAAAACCCCUCGCCGAAUUAUUAUUUGGCCCAGCAAAUUUCUCGCUUACUAUGGUAGUAGUAUUGUCCAGCAAAAUCGAUGCAUCACAGCCCUGAAAUAACAUCAAAAGCUUGUUAUGAUCAACUGCUCUUGUAUCGUUAAUUUAAUAAUUAGGUAGAUUCUUCUUAUCUUACGAUAUGUUAUAUCGAUAUAGUAAAUAGAGAAAAAAUCAAAGAGUAGAGAUUGAUUACAUUAACAAAACAGUCAUGGAAAUGAAGCCUGAUGAGGCUGGCACCGAUGCGAAUAUCGGACAAGAAAGCAUUCUGAAGCACCUCCCGAAUUAUGUUGGUUACAUUAGGGCAUGUGGAAGAAUAAAAAGAGGGAGAAAGUUGAGCUUGAGCUGGUGAUGAUCCCUCAAGCGCAAAUGCAACUACAAGAGCAGCUGCAAGGAGAAAACGAAGAGAAGCCAUUUUGCAAUGAUGAGAAUGAGAGUUAUUUCUAAGCCUUCUAUAUAUGCGCCUCUUUAUUUAUAGCCAACCAAGCUAAACAGGAGUAGACUUGGGAACGACUAAGAAGUUUCACAUUAUAUUGUAAAAGUCCACAGUUUGAAAACAAAAGCUUAUAUGAUGAGAUAAUUACAUUUUCGAUUUUCUCCCUAAAGUUUGGUGAAAGCAUAUUUUUCUCCACAUAGUUUUGAGGUGUUAACGAUAAUUUAUUAUUUGCUUUUUAGUAUUGUAGAAGUAUGUCAAGUGUAUCUCGGUUGUCCCCCCUUAAAUACUCCAACCACCCCAUGAAUUGGUUAUUAAAUUAAAUUUAAAUUAUUUUACUUCUUCUUUUUAUUUAACUUAAGAGUAAGAGAAGAAAAAAGAUUUCUUUGUUCAUUGGAUAACGAACUCUUUUUAAAAUCAUGGGAUUUCUUUUUGAUUUUUUUUAGUCAUGAAAACUAUCUACACAAAAACAUUAGAUAUAAUAGCUUCGGCCUUGUCCGCUGAUAGAGAGAGAACGAAAUCGGGAUAAAUACCAAUACCUAUUACGGGUAGAAGAAUCGAGAUCAAAACAAAUAACUCUCGUGGUCCAGAAUAAAAAAAAAAAAAAAGAGUUUGGGGCAUUAAAUAGCUUGUACUCAUAGAACAUUUGCCGUAACAUAGAUAAUGAAUAAAUAGGAGUUAAUAUCAUUCCAAUUGCCAUUACAAAAGUGAUUACUAUUUUUGGCAUUAAAAAAAUUUUUUGGCUGGUAAUUAUUCCAAAAAAUACUAUCAAUUCUGCAACAAAACCACUCAUGGGGCAAAGGUUCUUGUUUAGUGGAUGAGAUUUUUUGUCCCCGUUAGAACUGUUUUUACCUUUUUUCUUAUUAAACAAAGGAAAAGGUAAUAACAACGCCGAUAUUAAAAGGAUGAGCUAAUAUAAUUCAUCCUACUUCUAUCGCAAUUGGAUCUAACUUUUAAAGUCGGUAAAAUAUUUUUUAUCUUACAUGGAACUUAAAAUUCAAAUAAAUCUGCAUGUUAAGGUAAAAAAGGAGAAUAAUUAAGUAAAUAAUUUUGACUAAGACAUAUAUUUUUAAAAUAAUUUUUAAAAAAUACAAAGACUAGCUAGAUAUUUGACUCAAAUCUUAAGGAUCAAAAGAACAUUUAUCCCAAAAAGAAAAUUGUGAGGAUAUUUCCACUCCACUUUUUAUGUAACAACACCCUAUCUUUUUAUAUUUUAUAAUUAUGAUUUUAUAAAUAAAUUAUUCGAAACUCGUGCACUUAUCCUUAAAUCAUAUAUGUUUAACCAAAGAGAAUGAACAGGAUUUUUCUACGAAAAAAUUAGAUUUCUUAGUUUAAGAAUAUACAAUAUUUAUCUUCUUGCUUUCCUUAUAUCUUUCAAGGAAUAAUUCGCUGAAUUGUGAGUAUAUAGUUUUGUGGAUGGAAAAUUAGAAUGAAUAUUCAAUUUCAAUUUUUAAAUUUUGUUUAUAUACUGCUGAGCUGGUUUCAUAACUGAUGAAAAAUUUGUUUUAUUAGGCAAGAAAAGUUUAAGAUUUUACAGUUAAAAUUUAUUUAUUUAUUUAUUUGUUUGUUUGUUUAUUAUUACUAGUAUUUUCUGUUAUGUAUGUACAUGUUCUCCCCAGAAUGCAUUUUGAUUGAGAAACUACUGUCUGUGCAAUUAGAUGCUGCAAUGUAUGUCAUUUAUAUAUGGACAUGUCCCUCUUUUAAUUAAAAUGAUUCAUGGCAUGGCAAUAUUGGCAGAGUCGUUUAUGCAUGUCCAUUUUGAUGCCAUUGAAACUUUAUUGAGCUACAAAGCAAGUGUUUUUUGGCCAAACUUUGUGCAAAAAAAAAAACGGAAUUGGCCCCUAUUGUAAUUUUCUGGUGACUAAGGGUGAGAAAUUAAAGAAGAAUAGUUCCCCCUUUGUAAUAUCCAAAAUUUCAUUUGUUUGUAAAAAUAAUAAUAAUAAUAAUAAUAAAUAAAUGAGCUUAAAUUCUGAUCGACUUAAUUAGGGUUGAAGAAUUCAACUUUGAUAAAUGACAAUGUUGGAUUUAGUCCGUGCCAUGCGAAUGUGGAGUGUGGACUGUAUGAGGCGUGUGGAUUCCACAUACUCGAAAGUCGAAACCUUUCAUUUCAAGCUUGUAGACUUUUAUCCUUUUUCUUUAUAUUGAAUUAUCAUUUUUGUCAGUUUAUACAUAAUUAAUUGAUUGAGACACACGGACCUUGCUACGUUACAGACUCUGUAUGUAACGUAGCAAAUGGGGAGCAUCCGCGCAUUGCGGGAGAGCGGAAAAAUUGCUAGAAAUUAGCUGAUACAAGGUCAGUUUGCAGAACUGUUACAUUCAGACUCUGUAACGUAGUUUUGUCCACACGGACAAUACACAAGUAGAGUCAAAUAAUUGGAGCUAGCUACGUUACAGAUACUGUACGUAACAGAAACUGAAUUGACAAACGACUAAAUUAUAUGCAGCCACGUGUAGGGACGCGUGACAAAUUGACCGGUAAUUAUCCGGUCAAAAGAAAACCAACAAACUUCCAAUGCUUGGGUAAGGAUUAAUUUCAUAUUUACCCUAUUAUUAUUAUUAAUCAUUGGCACACACUAACUUUGAUGUAAGCCUUCAACCCCACCCCCAAAUAGUCAAAUUGUUGUCCUACGCGGUUAAGUUCAAUUACUGGCCAUUUCUAACUAGCACAAAGACAUUAAUGCCCUUAAUUAGACAUUAGGUCAAUGUAAAAAAAUAAACAUAAAUUUAUUUUUUUUAAACUAAAAUUUAGACAAAUUAGUAGUGUAAUUAAUGAAUAAAAUUAUAUUUUAUGUCAUAUGAAUAUAGGGGUAAAUUUUAUUGCAUGCUCAAAUAUACCGAUUACUGUUAAUCUACUCUUGGUAAAGUAUCUUUUUAUUUUCAUUCCUCUUUUUAUGCUACUUUUUUUAAUUUCUUCUUCAACUCCUUAAGGUUUUUUUUCGAUGAAUCUCUCGAAAAACCACUUUGUUGUUCAAAAUAGAAGAAUACACUCAUAUCAGAGAUUUUUUUUCAACUUUAAUAGUGGUGAGUAGAGGUUUCGAUAGCCCUAUAAUGGUGGUUUUUGUGUAGGUUCUACAAGGAAAAAUUUUGUAGGGCGACUUGUUAUUGGGGAAUUUUUUUUUCUUGUCUACUUGUUUUUAUUUUUUAUUUUUUGUUAUUUUAAUGAUAGCUUAGACGUUCAUAAGGGGAAUUAUUUGAAUGAUAUUGAUUUUGGUGAAGAAGCUGCCUUGUGUUUUGGCUUAUAGCUUGCUAGUAACAUUGAUUUAUCUCCAUUGAUUGUUAAGUCAGAUUCGAUAUUUGUGGUGUGUCAAAGUAGGAUUUUCAGGUUCAUUAUAUCUCAAGGAUUUAACAUUAUACUUUAAGUUGUUCAAAUUCUUUUAUAAGGAUGGAAGAUCAUUCAACUUGUAAUCUUUAAGUUUUUGAAUGAUAUGAAUUGUAAUAGUUUCCAUUAAAAAAAAAAAAAAACUCUUGGUACUUCAAACAAUCAUUACUCCAACUUCAUGCAAUUAGUUUUUCAGUUAGCUUGAAUGGUCGAUAACAAUUGAUUGAUGCUUGUAUAUAUUUGCCAUCAAUAUUAUUAAAUGUCAAUAAAAAGACAAAUACCCUUUGGUGAUUUUUUUUUAAUUGGAUAGAUUUUGCAUAAGAAGAUUAGAAGAACAUAUUCUUAUACCAAUUAAUAUAUUUCAAAUUCACCAAAUAAUUAAAGAAAGGGCGGGGUUCUUUAAACCCGUCAAAUUUCUUUCGAAAUCCAUUUUUAAAUAAACCCAUAACUAAAAUUUUAAAAUAUCAAUUUAAUUUCUAUUCAUUUGAGAAUUUCAAAAAUAACCCUUCGUAGAAUUUCUAUACAUUAAUAUUUUUCUAAUUGUUCUUGAUUUGAAUUAACAAAGAGACUUGACUUUGUCAAUUUGAAAAACAUUUGACAUCAUGAAAAGAUAAAUUUCAAUUAACAUUUUCAAUCAAACCUUCUUUGAAUUAUAAAAUCAAUUUUCUAGGUUGGUAUUUACACUGAUAAUUCUUUUUGAAGGGGAGAGGAACUUGUGCGUUUCCAAAUAUUCGUUUAAGAAGUCACAAACCUAACGAUUUACUAGUGUUUAUUGUUUUACAUAAACUCCAGGAAUUGAAAAAUCAAGAGAUAGUUUCAUCUUGUGACACAAUUUUUUUUUUAACCCACAAAAAAUAUUUUUGAUAUACCAUGUAUGCAAUUACAAGAAACUAUUUUAUAUGUAAAUUUGAAUUACAUUUCUCUCAUCAACUAUCAUAUUUUCAAUAUCAAACUAAAAAAAUUCACACUAGUUUAAAUAGAUGGAUGCUGAAAUAUGAAGUAAUUUUGAUACUAACAUGUUUAAAUAAGUAAUUCUAUCAAAGGAUAUUUUAGAGAAAAAAAUAUGUUGACUAAAGAUAAACUCUAGUUGGUUAGUAAACAAGUUCAUUUUUUUUAAAUAGUAUACGAGUUAAAUUUGAUUUUAAUUUGAUUUUAGAACUUUUUUGUUAAAAAAAUCUUACAACUAAAUAAAAAUAAAAUUGAUUUAACUAAAUCAAAAAAUUUGAUUACUGAAUAAAAAAUAAAUUUGAUUUUACUAAAUAUUCGUAUAUUUUACUAUAAAAAUUGACAAGUUAUAAGAUAUAUUUUACUUGAUCAAUUUAAUUCGAUUGAGGCAUGAUAGUUUUUUAAUUCAAUAGUAGAAAAGUUAACGGGUCGGGUAUGUAGUUUUACAUAAAAAGUUAAAGGGUGCAUAUUGAUAUUUGUCAAAAUAUUUGGGUGUGCAUGGAAAUGAACCCUUCUAAAUGUUAAAAACGGUUGCCCGUGAUUAAUUUCUAUUCUGGCCUUUAAUCCCAACCAUCCAAUUUCAGUCUCUAGAUCCAACGAAUCAAAAAUGCAUGGCUGUUACGUACAGUUUCUGUAACGUAGCCAGCUCCCAAAUAAUUAAUUACGUGACGGAUGACAUUUUGAAAAUGAUAUGUUUUUGCUUUUUUUUUUUUUUUUUGAGAAUGGUACGCUGUUAAUAUUUUUCGUAUUUGUUUUCAAAAAUGAAAAUUGAUGUUUAUUUGUGAUUUCAAAUCUCGCGUCUGAUAAAGUAUUUUAAAAAUUGUAAUCUAAAUAAAUAAAUACCAAACUGGCUUUUGAUUCCCGGAUCUUUUAUUUUAAGUUAAGAGAAUUACUAAUUGAACUGAUUUGAACGCACAAUUUAAAGAAUUUUUCAAUAAAGAAAGAGUAAUGAUAUAACUAUAAAUUCUUAUACAAAUUGAUGUGAUAUGAUAAAAUUAGUUGAAUUAAAUAUCUCUUGGCCCACAUGAUUUAUUUAUAUUAUUUUAUAUUUUUAUUCAACCAAUAAAUUACUAUCAUAUCAAUUUACAUAAAAUAAAUUUAUAAAAAAAAUUUAUGACUAUAUCACCAUUUAUAAAAAAAAUAUGUUUAAUAUAGUAUCUGAUGAAAGAAAAUCGUAAAAGCAACAUUAAUUUGUGGUGUUUAAGCUUUCAACUUUUCUUCAAAAAAAGUAAAAAGUAAAAACACCAUUUCUGUCACUUUCCAUAAAUCCUUCAACAACUCACCGAAUUUUAUUCUGGCCUUAUUCUAUCUUUCCUUUUUUUUUUUCCUAUUUAAAUGGAAAAUGGUGUUUAGUUUAGUGAUGACGACAAUAUCUAAUAUCUGUCAAAAAUAGAAAAAUUAUCCCAAAACUACUUUGAAGAACUUUGGGAUAAUUAAUUAAAUGUAAUUGAUCAAUUAUUCAAUUUUCACAUCUUAAACUUUAAACCCAUAAAAAGUCAGACUCAUAUAUAAGUGAGUUUAAACUAUCUUUUUAUGUGAUAAGAAUUAAAAGAAAAUGUUCGACCUACAUGUGACAAGGAGUGAUGAGGAUCGGAAUAUAUCUCACUGACUUAUCUGUAGCUAAUAAAACUAUAACGUUUUUCAUGCUCUUGUACGUGGAGACUCGUAAAUAUUCUGAAUUCACUUGUAUGAACAAAUCUGAAUUACCUUUACAUUUCCAAAAUGAAUACUCCUAAUUGAAAUAAAAGCGAAAAGAAAAAAAACAUAAAAGUUAUAUGUUCUUCAAAAAUUUCUUGGAAAUAGUUAAAAUAAUCAAAUACAUUUGAGGCAUCAAACAACAAACUUCGACCAUAAUCGGAUUGAUUUUGCAAUUAAACACAACGGAUUUUGUUUCUAUAUAUCACCGAAAGUUUAAAGACUUAACAUAUUAUAUGAGUAUUGUAAAUCAAUUAGUCAUUUCCCCCACAAAAUACAUGUCCUACGUACAUCAAGAUUUUUUUUCCCUUGGUCCUGUCCUUGAAUUUUGUACUGAGCUUAAAAACGGUUUUUAAUUUUUCCUUUUGUUUCGAAACUCUCACCUCCUGCUCUUAUUAUUAUUAUUAUUACUCAGCCUUCUGGUACGUAACUAAGACCAAAAAUGUCUGUGGUAUCGUUAUUUGCAGUUUAAUUAUAUUUAAAAUGAGACGAUUGAAUGACGCGUGUUCAUGAAGUGUAUAUAAUAUAAUAUGAAUAUGAAUAUGAAUAUGAUUGCGACAUUACCUGAAAUUUAAGGAACUGAUAAGUACAUAAUCUGUUUAAAUAAUAUUGUAUGGAAGAUUUCGGAUUAGAAUUUAAAAUAUAUGUUUCUUUCAAUCUUUUUCUAUAAUUCAUUGUUCAUAUGACCCUACGUCAAGAAAAUAAAAUACAGAAUAUCUAAUAUCUGAUAUCUCUAUCCAUAGGCAAACAAUUUCAGGAUUUUCUAGUUAACUUCUUAUACAAAGCGUUGAGAUGUGAGUAAAUUAUAUUUGGCCACUAUGUCACCAAAGUAUAUGUCUUUUUCUUUUUGGCUUAGAUUACAAUUAUUGUGCUAAUAUUCCUAAAUGAUCUUAAAACUAAAAGUUUGUCGAAUGACAAGAUCUUAGUUAAUGGUUUGUUUGUCAAUAAAUUAGUUAACCUGUUUUGUAAUAUGAUGACUAAGCUGUAUAUCUCUUGCUCACUCAAAUACAGGCAAAUCUUCAAUGCUUGGAAACUCUUAUUAAUAAAGAAAUGCAAAUAGCUCUUCUCAAAUUAAAUAAAGACCAAUUACCCGACAAUGCUUACUAUUUUCUUAAGUGACGUGAUUGUGCUAAUAAAGUUAGGUGGGGAGAAGAUAUCUAUACACCUAUCUGGAUGCAUGCGCCUGCUUGGACGGUAAGGAAAUGAUAGAAAUUAAAUGCCAAACAAAUAGAUGAUGCAAAGAAAGAGGAUAUAUUGUUGAUAAUUGUAUGAGUUGACUAGCCCAUUUUACACGUGGAAAGUGACUUCGGUUGGUGCAUGCAUGAGAUUUGUUUGAUUUUAGAUGAUGAUUUCAAUCAUUCGGUUUGAAUUUAAAAUUUCAAUAAGUUAGAAACAACGAUGCGGCACGGUAUAUGCGUGGAGUAUAUCUCCCUUUGGACCUUUACUUUUUUCAUGAUUUCAAUUAAUCAAUCUUGUAAUUUAUUUAUAUCUUUAUGAAAGCCAAGUGUACAAGGUACAUAUUUUUUAAGAAUUUUUAAAAAGUAGGUGAAAAACAGAUUUUUAAAAUUUAAUUUUGAUAAUAAAUUUCAUCCUUAAUAUAAUUCUACCUAAGUAGUUUUUCUGAUUUACUUUUAAAUUCCAACAAAAACAGACUAAGGUGGCGUUUGUUUUUUAACUUAAUGACUUAAAGUAACUUAACUUAAUUAAUUAAGUUAAUUAGAGGUAUUUAUUUUUAUAACUUAACGGGACUUUCUAGAUAAUUUUGACUUAAUAAAAUAAGCUAAUUUUUUUAGCUUUUUACUGAAUGAAAAAAUCUGAAUUAAGUCAGUUACUUUCUAAUGUCAAAAAUAUCCCUACUUUAUAAUUUAUUUUUCAUGUCUAUUCCAAAACUCACCCACAAAUAUUUACCCCACAUAAUAAUCUUAUCAUUAUUGUUUUAGCCAUCAUGCAAUCCCUCCUCACUUUGCUUCUCUCGUCUAGUUCUUGAAUCUCCCAUUAAUUUCUCUUGAAUCUCCCAUUAAUUGCUCACCGGGCAAGCACUUUUUUUUUUUUUUUGAUUACAUGAGACUAUUGCUCAAAUUACAACUCAUAUUACAUGAGAAUAUAACUGAUAUUUACAAAUCAUACUCUAACUGGGACCAACAUACAUCAAUACUAAUGGAGCGCUGCCCAGAUUUUAACCCUCUCAAAUAUUUGAGGGAUGUCUACUCCUCACACUUGGGUAAGGAAGCAGACUGCCUUCACUCAAAUUUACUUGAGGAAGGAAGACCCCCACAAUGCAUUGUGGGGGUUCGAACUGCUGCUCUCCAAGUUGGAGAGCAGCAGUUCUCACCACUCGGCCAAAGGCCGAGUGGCUACCGGGCAAGCACUUGACUUGGGCCUUUUUUUUUUACUUUUCAAUUACCUUUUCUAGCAUUCACUUUUAUUAUAUUUGACUUUUCAAUUACGUUUUCUAGCAUUAACUUUUAUAAUAAUCAAUAGCUUUGCUACUCUUUUUGGAUCUGACGCACUUUGUUAUGCGUUUUGGGUAUUGUUUUAUUUAUAUGAAUAUAUUUUGUUAAUUUGACAGUGAUUUAUUUGGGAGAAUUUUCGCUCAUCUGUUUGAUUUCAUUUUUCUUUUUUAUAAUUGAGAUGCUGUUGUGUAUGAUCAAUUGACUGAAUGCAGAUAUGACAUUGCAUUUUUUUUUUUUUUUGUAAUUGGUUGAAGUAGUUUUAAUAGAGCUAUCUUGGGUGGUUACGAAUUUUCCAGUCUCUUUGAAUGAAAUUAAUAAUUGCAAUUGCUGAAAUUAAUAAUCCACAAUUGGUUCCAUUUGAUUGUUUUUUGCGGAACUUUCUCAUAGAUGUCGUCACAAGGGGAGAGAGCAAAUUGGACUGAUCCAGCUUAUAGGAAAUAUUUUAUUGAUCUCUGCAUGCGUGAAGCAAACAAUGGAAAUAGAUCUGGGGCAACCUUGAAGCCUACUGCUUGGAACAGGAUUUCUCAAGAACUGAAAACAUUGACAGGAAAAUCUAUUACCCCGAAACAACUUAAAAAUGGAUGGGAUUAUAUGAAAAGGCAAUACCUCACAUGGCUGAAAUUAACAAUGACAACAGGACAUGGUUACAAUUCUACAACUCGUACUUUUGAUUGGCCACCUGAAAGAUGGGAAGAAUACUUGAAGGUAACAUUUUUUUCUUUUAUUUAAGUGAAUUAUUUAAUAUUUUUACAAUAUAAGUAUAAUCAAUUAUUAUGUUUUGAUUGAACAGAAAUAUCCAGAAGCUAAACAAUUUCGCAAUAAUCCUUUAGCAAAUGUUGAAGAGUUGGAGGCAUUGUUCUCAGGUGCAGUAGCAACAGGAGCUUAUAACUGGAGUUCUGGAAUGGAAGGGAUACCAGAAAUGGGAAAUCUAUCAUCGAUGCUAUCUGAAACUCCAAUUAACGUAGAAGAUAAUGAUUGUGAGGUAAAAACACCAGAUUCAUACACCAAUGUGGAUGAACCACUUCCCGAUGACAUGCAAAGGUGUAAAAAGAAACAAAAGAAAAGCAAAUCGGAUGAAACUCGCGAAGAUAUCAACAAAUUAGUGGCUGUAUUAGAGAAGACUGGUGACAAAGGACCUUCAAUUACUCAGUGCAUGCCAAUUUUGAGAAAGCUACUAACUUAUGACAAUCCCAUGUAUUAUGUGGCUACUAAUGCACUCUGCAAUAAGAGAGAGUAUCGAGAACUAUGGAUGGGCAUGGAGUGUGAUGAAGAACGAAUUGGAUGGAAUUAUAGUUUACCAAAAGGGCCUUAAUAUCUUAUUCCUAGUUCAUUUGUCAAUGUUUUAUUUGGUGUCAUUAUGGAAUUUUUGGAUUAUAUACCUUUUUGUUUAUGCAAUGAAUCAACGUUUUGAUUAAGGUCAUUUGCUGAACUUUUGGUUUGUGCAGUGAAUUGUGUGUUUUGGUUAUUUGAAUAUUUAAUGAAUAUCUUGCUGCUCAAAGUGUGGUUUACGUUGCUUAUAUAUGUUUUUUUUUUUACUUUAUUUUUGUUUUUGUAAUUUCUUAUAAAUUUGUUUAUAUGGUCAGGUUGCUAUAUCCUAUCACAAAUAAAUUGCAGCCUAAGCAAUACUUUGGACUUUAAUAGUAGGUAUGUCAACAUUCAAUUAAUAUUAAAUAUUCUUCUUUAAAUGCUACAUAUAUAAUAUAUAUUUGUUUAUUUUUUUUUGUAUACUAGAUAUGGCUAUGGCUGAUGAAGAAGUUGACAUAAAGAUUGGGGUUAAACGAAUAUUACGGAAACAAUUGAUUAUGUUGGUAAAAAAAUUAUUGAAAGGGUCGACCAAAAGGCAACGAGUAUCUACAUCAUCUUUGACAGGUUCUCUUUACAUUCAAGAACUUUUAAAUGGAUCACCAAUAGUCUGCUAUGAUCUUAUGCGGAUGGAUAAGAAUGGGUUCAUAUCUCUAUGUCAAUUGUUCAAAGAAAAAGGAUGGCUUUCUGAUAGUAAGCAUUUAACUGUUGAAGAGAAAAUGGCUAUGUUCUUAUUUACAAUUAGCCAUAAUCUUCGAAAUCGGUUCAUUAAAAUUAGAUUCCAGCACUCAGGUCAUACAGUGCAUAGGUAUUUUCAUGAAGUACUGUUGGCAAUGAUGAAGUUUUCGAAAGAAAUGAUCACUCCUCCGUCAUUUACAGAUAAUUCAAGAGGCAUCCGUAAUACUCGAUUAAGGCAAAUUUUUAAGGUAUAAAACUUUCUGUAUACUAAUAUGUUGAAGAAUAAAGCUUUUUAUUUUGAUUAUUGAAAUAAUUUAAUUACUAAUAUGUAGGAUUCAGUUGGUGCAAUUGAUGGAACACUUAUUCAUGCAUGUAUUCGAAUUGAUAAACAAGUGCCAUAUAGAGGUCGCAGCAAGGGAGAAUGCUUUCAAAAUGCAAUGGCCCUUUGUGAUUUUGACAUGAUAUUUAGAUAUGUUGUUGUUGGAUGGGAAGGAACUGCACAUGAUUCAAGGGUCUUAACUGAAACCAUUCGUAAUUCAAGAAAUAAUUUUCCUAUUCCACCGCCUGGUAUGUCAUUAUUCAUUAUUUUACCAAUUUAUUCAUUAUAAUUUAUAAUAUUAUAUUUUAUUAGUCACUCAUGUUGAAUGUUUUUUUUAGAUAAAUACUAUUUAGUUGAUGCAACAUAUUCACAUACAAGAGUUUUCAUGGCACCAUACCGUCGUGCGCGUUAUUGGUUAGGUGACUUUCGUAGUGGCGGUCGAGCUAGAGGAAGGGAGGAAAUAUUCAAUCAUGCCCAUGCUAAAUUGAGAAAUGUUAUUGAGCGUGCUUUUGGUGUGCUAAAGGCCCGUUUUCCAAUACUAAAAAGGAUGGCACCAUACUCAUUUGAUACACAGAGACAAAUAGUGGUGGCAUGCAUGGCGAUUCAUAAUUUUCUUCGAAAAAUAUCAGUGGAUGAUGCAUUAUUUGCUCAAUAUGAAAAUGAUGAAGUUGAGCUAGAAAGUGGUCAUGGCAAUCAAAACCACACAACUAAUGCUAUCAACUCCUCAAGUAUUGAAGAUCAAAAUUACAUACGACAACUUCGAGAUGAAAUGGCAAAUCAAUUGUUUCAAGCAUCUUAUUAGUUUUUUCUUUCUUAUAUUAUAUACGAUAAAAUUUGAAAUUUAUGGUAUUUCAUAUAUUAAAAUUCCAAAAUCAUUACGUAUUCACUUAAAUAUAGUUUUACUUAUAAAUGUUAAAAUAUUGUGGUAUUUAAUAUAUUAUUUAUUUGACAUUUAAAUUUAAUAAGGAUACAAAUGUAAAAGUACAUAUUUUCAGCUUUUUCAGUUUAAAAAAACAAACAACUUAAUACUUAUUUUCCGAGAUUCAGACGAAAAAAUAAACAUAUUAUUCAGAUUCAGACUAAUUCAGGUCUAUUUAGAUUUCAGACAAAAAAACAAACGCCACCUAAGUCUUACAUACUUCAAGUGAAAAGUGCGCUGAGUGAAUUUCAACAUAAAUAAGGAUGGUUUGAAUAAUUUUUAAAAAUUCAUAAUCUAAUUAAAUUGCAUAAUUAGCCGAAACCUAAAAGACUAAAAGAGUGUUUACCUAAAAAAAGCUAAUAAUUAUUGGACUAAACUAAAAGCUCUUAAUGCUUUACAAUCAUCAACGUUCUCCGAAAUUGCCAGUCCACGAUUAUGCAUUCUCAUUAAUUUCAAUCUUGCUAAUGAACGUGAGAAAUCAGCUUGAUAUUCAUUUUAGUAUUCCAUUAUUUUAAUUAAAUUUGAUUAGAAAAGAUUUGCAUUAUAAUGAAGAUUUGGUGAUUGAAAUUCUUUGUAAAAUCUCUUUGGCGAUUCAAGUUUGUUUGUAAAUCUUGGUAUUGUUUAAUGUACAUGAAACCUAAGUUUCAUCACAAAACACCUAAAAAAGGUCAAAACCCGUCUAAUUUUUCAUUUAGAUAAUUGAAAAUGGUGAUUCAUAUUAUUAUCCUAGUAAUUUGUUUUUUAUGCAGUGUCAUGCAUCUUCCAAAAAUUGAUUCCGAUCAUCGGCCUAUUCUAGUCAAAUUCCAGAACAUGGAUUCCAGGCAUGGGGCCCGAGGCCGUUUCGGUUUUUGGCUGCAUGGCUCACGAAUGAGAGGUUUGGGAGUUUUGUGAAUGGUAGCUGGAAUAAGGGAGCGAAUUUUCUCGAGGCGGUGGCUGAUUUUACUAAACAAACUAGGCGAUGGAACAAGGAAAUUUUUGGAAAGAUUAUUUAUCGGAAGCGGAAAUUGUUGGCUAGAAUAUGUGGGAUCCAACGAAUUUUGGAAACUAAGCCUAAUCAUAGCCUUACUAGACUUGAAGUUAAACUUCAGAAGGAGCUCGAAGAGGUUCUCACUCAGGAAGAAUUAUUGUGGCUUCAGAAAUCCAGGAGAGAUUGGACUUUGUAUGGUGACAGCAACACUGCCUAUUUCCAUAAAAAAAAAAACUCUAACCAGGCGUCGUCAGAAUCGGAUUACUGUGAUUCAAAAUGAUACUGGGCAGUGGAUAUACGACGUCGAGAUCAUUAAGCAACUUGCAGUCAGAUUCUUUUCAGAAUUAUACACGCCUGAACAAGGGGUGCAUAGCCCAUAUACUUUCAGGGGGUGUUUCCCUGUGAUGUCGGAUGAUAUUUGUUUAAGCUUGAUGUCUGCGGUAAUAGAUGAGGAAGUUAGACAGACUAUUUUCAGUAUGAAUCCCUUCAAAGCUCCCGGAGUUAAUGGCUUUCAUGCUGGUUUUUACCAAGCGCAAUGGAGUACAGUUGGUAUGUCGUUGUGUUCUUUCAUUAAGAAUAUUUUUAAUUCUAAUCAUAUCCCUGCAGAGAUCAACAGAACCUUGCUGGUGCUCAUCCCUAAAGUUGAUCAUCCAACAAGCCUCAAGAUGUUUCGGCCGAUCAACCUUUGCACAGUUCCGUAUAAGACGGUGACGAAAAUUAUUGCAGAUAGGCUACAUGCUCUUCUUCUAGAUCUCAUUGGCCCCUAACAAACCAGUUUUGUACUGGGUCGGCAUAUUACAGAGAAUAUUGUUAUUGCUCAAGAGGUAAUCCAUACAAUGAAGAAAAAGGUAGGGGGUAAAAGAAUGAUGGCCUGUUAAAGUGGACUUGGAAAAGGCUUAUGACCGGUUGAGUUGGUGCUUUAUUCAAGAAACUUUAAAGGAAGUUGGGCUACCAGAGCGAUUUAUUCACCUCAUAAUGGAGUGUUUGUCCACAGCCCAAAUGAAUGUUUUGUGGAACGGAGAAAUGACUGAAGAUUUUCGGCCAGGGAGAGGAAUUAGACAAGGAGACCCCCUUUCGCCUUAUUGGUGGUUGUCGAAGCCAACAAAAAUAAAUUCAUACUCUAAAUAAAUUGUGUAUAGUGAUUGAGUAAGGUCGUGUCCACAAAGAUCGAUAAUUAUUUAAAUCCUUUUAAAAUGUAAAACAUAAAAUGGGGGUUUUGUUGACAAUAAUAAAAAUCAAAUUAAAAUAACAAGAAUGCAAAUUAAAGUUGUAAUUCAAAUUGGAGAAAGCUCUGGUUGAAGGAAUUAACUCAGCUUGAUUCGGCUACUAAUCAUUGAUUCAAAUAUAGAUUAUUAUUACUUAUGAAUAGACCGGUUAUAGCUACUAAGACCCUCUAAUAGCCAAUCUCUCCUUAACUAGUCGAUAACCAAGGUACGACCGUUGGCUAUUUCCCUAAUCAAUAGACAACCCUAGAUACGAUCAUAGGAUUUAAUCAAUUGACAGCCUGAAAGACCAGAGAGACCCAAAUCCUAAUCAACACAUACGAUGAUUCAUUUAAAUUAGAUUGUUUAUUCUCAUAACACAACUCACUGCUAUGUUAUUUGUCACAAACAUUAAAAUCUUCAUACGAUGAAUCCUUUAAUUAACAAUAGAUUAAGUUGAUAAUUAAAUAGUGGCCAAUUACCUAAUUAACAAACAUAAUCAUGGAAAUAAUUCAGAGAAUAACAAAUACCCAAAAAGCAAUAAAAUAAUUAAAGCAUAAAAUAGAUCUCACAGUAGUGACGAAUCAAAACUUCAAUAUCCUUCAACCAGAAAAAUAGGUUUAGUUCUUCAUAGAGAGAAGAGAAAAGUUUAGAUCUAGGGUUUCUUUCUUUUCUCCAAAAGUCCCCCUUUUCACAAUAGAUUCCUCUCUUAAAUACUCUCUCUCUCUUCUCCUCUAGAAUUCUAUUUAAAAUAAAAUACUAAUAUCUGAAAUAUUAAAUUCGUAAUUACAAAAAUAACCAAAAAUACAAAACACGUUAAACUAAAAAUUGUAGGUCCGUAGUUGACAGCACGUGCCCACGCCUUAUCAACAAAGUUCUUCUAACACUCAUAAUUUCUCCAAGAGAACAAUCGUCUUUAAACAUCAUCUUAUAGCUCAAUUUUAUCACAAAUCAAUAGAAUUGCACCUACAAAAGUAAAACACAAGUAAAUCAUCAUUAUUAAGUGCAAAACAUCGAUAUUAAGGGAAGUAAACAAUGCAAAACUAGUGCAUAAAUUGCACUCUAACAAAUUUCCCCACACCAAGAUGAUGCUUGUCCUCAAGCAUAUAACUCAAGACUAAUCCCAAAUCUCCACUCAAUUUUCAUCUCAGCUCAUCCAAAAAUAAUUUUAAGCAAGCAUACCUCAAGAAUUUAAGUGGAUCAACAUUCGAGAGACAAGGAUUUUUAAAGCAUAGAAUCUCAUAAGAUAGAAUAAGAACAUUCAACCACCAAGAAGAUCCAUUCAAAAUUCAAGUGCAACAAGAUUUAAUAGCCCUCUCAUUGACUUCACUCCAUGCACUUAAAGUGUUUAGGGUGUCAUUUAUUCACUCAAAUCAAAUCAAAGAAUGCUAUUACAAUAAGCUUGCUUAUAUAUCACAUCUCAAUCCACAAAACAUGAAUUAAAUGCAAAAAUCUAAGGGUCUUAAAAAGGGUGUAAUGGGGUUAAAUAGGUUAAAUGAAAAAGAAAGGUAUACGAAAGAAAAAGAGAUCAAAAUGAGAAGAAUGAACUCAUUGAAUGAACUUAUGAUAUCAAAAUGCUUAUUUCUACUCACGGUGCUUAGAAUGUAAACAUUUUUUUUCUCUUUUUUUGAUUUUUUUUUUCUCUUUUUUUUUUUUUCUUUUUCUCUUUUUUUUUUCUUUUUCUUUUUUGUUUUUUUUUUAUCAAACAAAAGAAACAAACCUUGCACAAUUUAAUUCAAGCAUAAUGCUUGUUGAUCUAAUUGAGAAACUUUAAUACAAGGUAGAAAAAGCAACAAAAUAUAUAUAAAUAUAUCCACACAAUGAGUCCAAAAAUCUCCUUAAAUUGAGGCUCAAAAAAGAAGAAACAUGGUUAAGUAGACGGAGAGAAUUAGAUGGGUAAUAGUUAAGGCUCAAACAAAGAUAGCAAAUAAAGGUCUUCGGGUAGAGAAAAAAAAAUGUGAGAAUAGAAAAAUGGAAAGUGGUUUGCCCUUAUCAUUUUAAUGCAUAAAAUCCCGUAAUGCGGCUUCAACAUGCAUAACAAAGCAAGUUCUAGAAUAUACAAACUAAGAUUGAUAUUCACAUAACAAAAAUAAUUAGAGCAAAGUGGUUGCUCAUAGGCUCAAAUCCUCACAAAGUUGGUAAAUUUGCCAUCAAAUCAUGUACACUCUUUAAAUGAAUCAACUAUCAAUAGUGGUGUAGAAUGAGAAGAAGGUAUGAGUGAGAUAUAAAAGGAAAGGUAAAAAGGAUAAUAAGCGAGAAAGAUGUAUGUAGUAAAAAAAUGAAAGAUAAAAUGUGAGUGAUGAAAGAGUAUGAUAGAAAAAAAAAUAGAUGUAAAUAAUUUGAGAUAGAUGGGAAAACAGUAGUGAGAGAGAAAGGAAAAGAAAAUUAAUAAUAUAUGAAACAUAUUAACUCCAAAAUCAUUUAAUGAUGAGUAGAGUGAAAAUAAUACUUCCAGACAUCAAUAAUGCAAAAAUCCCUCCCCCAAACCAAGAACUUACAUUGUCCCCAAUGUAAGAUAAUCAAAGCUUACAUAAAAAUUAAAGCGUAAGGAUAAAAGAUUAAAGGCAAAAACUUCCCUGAAUUGUGAGCUUUGAUCCUCAUAACAUCUAUAGGCUUGGCGGAAAUGGUGGGAUAAAUCCCACACUCUCAAAGUAUGCGGCCAAAUUCUGCUCCAUCUUGUUCAGCUUGUGCUCUAUUUUCUCUAACUGAAUGCUCAAAGGUGGUGCGGAUGUAGAAGGAAUAGUCGGCGGGACAACAGCGUCGGCGUCAAACUCGUCAUCAGAGGUAGCACUACUUCUAGCAUAGAGCUUCUUUGGAGGUUGAGUGGGUCUUGGUUCAGUAAACUUUCUUUCUUUGGUUGAGUCAUAAAUGCAAGGCACCCUCCGAGAUUGGAUUCCGCAAGUGGCAAAACACUCAUGUCUUUUCCAUGUUUCAAUCUUUGUCUCAUGGCUUGGCGUGAAUCUGAAACUAUGUUCCAUGGAACUGCAAUCUUGGAUUUCUUUGCGACGAGUGUCUUUUUAGAUGACUUGGAAGUUGAUGCUUUCCUCUUCGGCAUUGUUACAAUAAUUUCACUCACGGAUUUCGAUUCACCCGGCUGGAAUACAGGGCAUAGGCUGAUUGCGGACGAUUGCUGCUCAGCUAGAGCUUGCUGCGCGGGUUGGGGCUGGUUGGGCACUGCUAGUUGCGUGCGGGAUGCUGCGCGCUGGGGCUGAUUCUGUUGCGCUAAUGGGCUGCUGGAUUUGCGCGCUGAGGUUAAUUGCACACGAGGGCUGGGCUGACGCUGGUUUUGCGCACUGCUGGGCAAAGGCUGGAUCUGCGCGCGCGGGUUGCUGCUCGGCUGCUCGGUGAAGGUUGGAUCUGCGGGCGCGCGGGAUGGAGCUGGUUGCGCGCACGGCUGCUGCUGCUGCAUGGGCUGGUUCGCGAUGGUGGAUUGCUGGUGCUGCGUGGCUGCUCGGUGAAAGCUGGAGAAGAAAACCAAUUCUGUGAAUUAGGGAUUUUGUGAAUAGUAAAUUUGUUUUUUUCGUUUUUUUUUUCAAAAAAAUAUAUAUAUAUAUAAAAAAGAAAGGAAAAAAAAGUUUUUUUUUUCGUUUUUUUUAAUUUUCAAAUAAAUAAAUAAAUUUUUUUUUUUUUUAAUGAUGAACCACUUUGAGACACUAAAAAUUUCAGAAGUACUUUUCAAAUAAGCACGUGGGCAUGCCUUAAAACCAUUUUACUUUAAAAAUCACAGAAGUACUUAUUAGUUAAGACGUGGGCACGCCUUAUCAAAAAUUUUCUUCUGACCAAAAUAAACAAAUCAUUUGGGUUGCCUCCCAAAAAGCGCCUUUAUUUUAUGUCUUUGGUUAGACACAUUUAUGCAUCACUCUCCAUAAUUGGGACUCUCGAGAGCCACAUCCUCCACAAUAUUCACCGAAAGAGCUUCAUAAAAAGAUUUUAAGCGAUGACCAUUAACCUUAAAAACUUUGUCAGAGGUCGGACUCCGAAUCUCAACUGCACCAUGAGGAAAAACAUUAGUAACAAUAAAAGGUCCAACCCAGCAAGAACGUAAUUUACCCGGAAAAAGUUUAAGCUUAGAAUGAAAAAGAAGAACUUUUUGACCAACAGAGAACUCUUUUCUCAAAAUCAUUCUAUCAUGAAAUGUCUUCGCUUUUUCCUUGUAAAUAACUUCCUGCACUAUAGGGUUAAUAACAUCCACAGAAAAUACCGAAUGUUCCUCACUAGAAUAUUUCAUGGCAUCAUUCAUAUUGAAUUCUAUAACCUCUCCAUCAAACUCCAUAGUGAGAGUCCCUUUAUGUACAUCCAUUUUAGUCCUAGCAGUCUUAAGAAAAUGUCUUCCUAGCAAAAUUGGGACAAAAUUGGAGGAGUUAUCCUCUUCCAUAUCAAGUACAUAAAAAUCAGCAGGAAAAACCAACUCAUUAACUUGUACUAAGACAUCUUCUAAUACCCCAUCAGGAUAUGCAUUAAAUCUAUCAGCUAGUUGAAUUAUCACGCCAGUUUCUUUUAAUGGACCAACAUUCAAAGAUGAAUAAAUGGAACGAGACAUGACAUUAAUAGAAGCUCCUAGAUCUAACAAAGCAUUUACAAGGGAUAGUAAACAUACCUGGAUCCUUGCACUUAAGAGGUAGUUUCUUUUGGAGAACUGCUGAAACAUUCUCCCCCAUGUGAACUUUUUCAUCUCCUCUUAAUUUUCUCUUGGAGGUGCACAGUUCCUUAAGGACUUUAGCAUAUCGAGGUAUUUGUUUUAUAGCAUCUAAUAAAGGAAUAUUUACCUCAACAUUGCGAAAUGUCUCAAGGAUAUCUUUCUCUUGUUCCUCCUUCUUGGAUUUUACAAACCGGCUUGGAAAAUGAGGAGGUAUCACAAUAGGUAGGGAUUUCGCUCUGGUGGGUUGCGCAUCUUGAGAUUUAGGCAUCAAUUCAUUCUUCUCAAGCUCAUCUUCUACAUGCUUUGCCACUUUUUUACUAGGCUCUUGCAACUCCUUCCCACUUCUAAGGAUGACAGCACUAAGGUUUUGCUUUGGAUUCACCUCAGAUUGUGAAGGUAACCUCCGUAAUACUUGAGACUCCAGACGGCUCACUGUAGUCGCCAAUUGACUCAUUUGGUUCUCCAAGUUCUGAAUGCUUGUUGUAGUUGCCUGCUGAAAUUGUUGAGUGUUAGUUGCAAGUGAUUUAACAAUUUCUUCAAGAGAUAUACCUGACUUGGAGUUUGACUGUGGAGGUGCUGGUUGUCUUGGUGGAUACUGUUGUGGGAAUCCUGAUUGCCUAACUCCAUAGCUGAAGUUAGGAUGAUCCUUCUAUCCCGGAUUGUAUGUUUGUGCAUAAGGAUUAUACCUCCUCUGAGGCAUGCUUGGAAAUCCUCCAACUGCAUUGGCUUGUUCAACGAGUUCUUCUUGAAAUGUAGGACACAUAUCAGUUGAAUGACCCAUAUUGGAGCAAAUGCCACAAGUCUUUACCUGUUGCACAUUACCUACAGCAAACUUUUCCACAAGAGAAGUAAGUUUAUCUAAACGUUGUUCAACAGAAGAAAUAUUUACCUCAUUCACCGUUCUUGAAGUGGCAUCUUGCUUGCUGCCAAAUUGUUGUGCAUUGGCAGCCAUAUUUGAGAUCAACUCCCUUGCUUGAGUAGGAGUCUUGUUCACCAACACACCUCCACUAGCAGCAUCUAUCAUACUCCUAUCCAUUAAUGAUAGUCCUUCGUAAAAAUAUUGAAUAAGAAGUUGAUCCGAAAUCUGAUGCUGAGGACAGCUGGCACACAAUUGUUUGAAUCGCUCCCAAUACUCAUACAAAGUCUCCCUAGGAAGUUGUCUGAUCCCACAAAUAUCUUUUCUGAUGUUGGCAGCUCUUGAAGCAGGAAAGUACUUCUCGAGGAACUGCCUCUUCAAACCAUUCCACGUUGUAAUCGAUCCAGGAGGCAAGUAGUACAACCAGUCUUUAGCUAGCCCAUCUACAGAGAACGGAAAAGCACGCAGCUUAAUAUGCUCUUCAGUCACGCCUUGUGGUCUCAUACUUGAACACACAACAUGAAACUCUUUAAGAUGUUUAUGAGGAUCUUCACCUGCAAAACCAUGAAACUUGGGUAAUAAAUGAAUAAGACCAGACUUUAGUUCAAAAUUUACCUCCAAGUCUACAUAUUGAAUGCAGAGUGGUUGCUGAUUCAAGUCUGGUUCAGCUAACUCUCUAAGAGUUCUUUCUACAGGUGCAGCUCUAUCCAUCACUUGUUCUUCCGAAUCGCUAGAUGAUUCAAUUAAAUCAGGCACCGUAUCUGUUUCAGAAAGCAAAGGCGAUGAGGAUCGUUGCUUAUCUCGCUUCGUCUGCUGUCUCAGCUGGCGAGCUGUCUUCUCAAUUUUAGGAUCAAACGAAAGUGUACAUGUACGAGAAGAACGAACCAUACACCAAGUAAAACGUAAAAAAGAUUAAAUAAAUUACACCAAUCCCCGGCAACGGCGCCAAAAUUUGGUGGUUGUCGAAGCCAACAAAAAUAAAUUCAUACUCUAAAUAAAUUGUGUAUAGCGAUUGAGCAGGGUCGUGUCCACAGAGAUCGGUAAUUAUUUAAAUCCUUUUAAAACGUAAAACAUAAAAUGGGGGUUUUGUUGACAAUAAUAAAAAUCAAAUUAAAAUAACAAGAAUGCAAAUUAAAGUUGUAAUUCAAAUUGGAGAAAGCUCUGGUUGAAGGAAUUAACUCAGCUUGAUUCGGCUACUAAUCAUUGAUUCAAAUAUAGAUUAUUAUUACUUAUGAAUAGACCGGUUAUAGCUACUAAGACCCUCUAAUAGCCAAUCUCUCCUUAACUAGUCGAUAACCAAGGUACGACCGUUGGCUAUUUCCCUAAUCAAUAGACAACCCUAGAUACGAUCAUAGGAUUUAAUCAAUUGACAGCCUGAAAGACCAGAGAGACCCAAAUCCUAAUCAACACAUACGAUGAUUCAUUUAAAUUAGAUUGUUUAUUCUCAUAACACAACUCACUGCUAUGUUAUUUGUCACAAACAUUAAAAUCUUCAUACGAUGAAUCCUUUAAUUAACAAUAGAUUAAGUUGAUAAUUAAAUAGUGGCCAAUUACCUAAUUAACAAACAUAAUCAUGGAAAUAAUUCAGAGAAUAAACAAAUACCCAAAAAGUAAUAAAACAAUUAAAGCAUAAAAUAGAUCUCACAGUAGUGACGAAUCAAAGCUUCAUUAUUCUUCAACCAGAAAAAUAGGUUUAGUUCUUCAUAGAGAGAAGAGAAAAGUUUAGAUCUAGGGUUUCUUUCUUUUCUCCAAAAGUCCCCCUUUUCACAAUAGAUUCCUCUCUUAAAUACUCUCUCUCUCUUCUCCUCUAGAAUUCUAUUUAAAAUAAAAUACUAAUAUCUGAAAUAUUAAAUUCGUAAUUACAAAAUAACCAAAAAUACAAAACACGUUAAACUAAAAAUUGUAGGUCCGUAGUUGACAGCACGCGCCCACGCCUUAUCAACAAAGUUCUUCUGACACUCAUAAUUUCUCCAAAAGAACAAUCAUCUUUAAACAUCAUCUUAUAGCUCAAUUUUAUCACAAAUCAAUAGAAUUGUACCUACAAAAGUAAAACACAAGUAAAUCAUCAUUAUUAAGUGCAAAACAUCGAUAUUAAGGGAAGUAAACAAUGCAAAACUAGUGCAUAAAUUGCACUCUAACACUUAUAUUUUUGUGCUUUGUAUUGAAAGAUUAAGCCAUGGUAUUAUUUAGGCGGUUAAUCAAGGUAGAUGGAAGCCCAUUCGGCUGACUAGAAUUGGCACUCCUCUAAGUCAUUUAUUUUUUGCGGAUGACCUGCUUCUCUUUUUGGAAGCAAUUACGGUCAAGUUGAUGUAUUGAAUGGCGUGGUAGAGAAUUUCUGUAGGAGCUCGGGCGCUAAAGUUAGUAAACAGAAGACCCAAAUUUUCUUUUCCAAAAACAUCUCGGUCACUUUAGCUAAUGGAAUUGGCAAGGCUUUAGGCUUCUCGAUUACAAAUAAUUUGGGCAGAUAUCUUGGCAUGCCUCUUCUACAUGAUCGAGUUUCGAAGAAAAUGUAUCAGAGUAUCAUUGACAAAAUUGAUCAGUGGCUAUCAGGAUGGGCAUCAAAGCAGUUGUCUCUAGCAGGGCGAGUUACUCUUGCCCAAUCGGUGCCUCAGGUAAUUCCGAUUUACGCUAUGCAGACCACGCAUCCCCCGUCUAGUGUCAGAGUUAAAAUUGAUCAACUAUGUAGAAGAUUCAUUUGGAGUGGGGCUGGUUCUCAACGUAAGUUAAGUCUGGUUAGUUGGAACAACAUUUGUAGGCCCAAGAGUAAUGGAGGGCUCGGCUUCAAGGACAUGGAAAUUAUGAAUAAAGCCUUAUUAAUGAAAGUGGCUUGGGAUUUAUUCAUAAAUCCUAGCAAGCUGUGCUCCCAGGUUUUAAUCUCUAAAUAUGCUGCGCGUUGUGAUAUGCCUAUUACUGAUGUUCCACCCAAAAAUGGUUCCUAUUUAUGGCGUUCUAUGGGUAAGAUUUGGAAAGACUUCCAGAAGGGUUUGCGUUGGAGUAUUGGAAAUGGCCAACGGGUGAAGUUUUGGGAUGAUAUUUAGGCUGUUAACAUAUAUGUUUCCACAAUGUUGAUUUUGAUGAUAACAAACAAGAUUAAGAAUGAUUAAUCUUUUAAGCUCAAAUUAUUGAAAAAUAUAUUUUGAAUAAAUCAUUAUUUUUACAUUAUAAAUGUUUUAUAUUUAAUGGAAAAAUGAUUUUAUGAAAUUGGUUGUUUUUCAAAGUUUAUGAUUUAAUUGAAAGAAUUUUGAAAACUUUGAAAUAAACAAGUAUUGCUUGAAAUUUUGGAAAAGGACUUAUUUGAAAAGUGUCAUAGCAUUUUGGUCUAUAUCAUAAUUUCAGAAAGUUUUAGGAUUGACAAAGUAUUAUUUAAAAUUCUGAAAUUGGACCUAUUUGAAACUAUUUAAAUAUUUUUGGGUCAUUCUAUAAUUUCACAAAAUUUGGGCAAAAUCAUAAUUUCAGAAAGUUUGGGAUUAACGAAGAAUUAUUUAAAAAUUCUGAAAUUGGACUUAUUUGUAAAGUUUCAUAACUUUUUGGGUCAUAUUAUAGUUUUAUAAAGUUUUGGGGUCAAACUAAAAAUAUUGGAAAAUUUUCACUGUAGCAGGUUACUGUAGCAAGCGGCUUACCGGAUUCAGAAAACCGGAAAUCCGGAUUCGGGGCAGUAAGCAUCCAGAACGAAAACGGCUUACCGGAUUCCUGAAUCUGGCAAACCGAAUUUUGCCUUAACGGUAACAUAAAUCCGGCUUACCGGAUUCCAUAAAACGGUAAACUGGAUAGCCCAGAAUGUGAGUAACGGCUAGUUUUCGAGCUCAAGCUAUAAGAACUCAAAUCCAACUCAUUUUGAAGCUCUCCAACAAGCAAGAACAAAAAGCACACAUGAUAUCUUGAGCCUUCAACUUGUAAAACACAAAUCAUUGAAUCAUUCAUUGUUCUUCAUCUUUGAAUAUCUACUCAUUGAGUGAGUUUCAUUGUAUCUUUCAUUUCUUCAAUUCAUUUGUAAGAGUUUGAGUGUGUGAGACAUUUUAGUGAAGAGAUUGGGAGAUAAUCUCUUUGUUGUAAAGGUUUAUUGACACCUCGAAGUCAAUUGUAAUUGUUGAAGCCUUGGAAAGGCUUGGAUAGUGAAAUCCUCAAGCUUGGAUCGCUUGGAGGCGUGGACGUAGGCGGGGAUUGCCGAACCACGUAAAAAUUCGUGUGUUUGUUUCUCUUCUCCCUUACUCUUUAAUUAUUGUGCUAUUAUUGAACUUAUUGUUUUCAAUUGUUGUUAAGACAUUAGAUUGCUUGUUGUGUGGAUUUGCUUGGUUAAUUUUUAAAUUUCCAAUUCACCCCCCCUCUUGGGUUGCACACUUAUAUUUCAUAGGCUACUAAUGGUGAUCCCUUAAUCAACUAUACGGUGGCUUCAAUUCCUGAUAGCAUGCGAAAUAUGUUGGUGGCGGAUUGUAUUGAUCAAAAUGGGAAUUGGUUAUGGAACAGAUUCAGCUCUUUGUUGAAUAACCAUGUUGUUUUAAGGAUUGCUUCCAUGGCUCCUCGGUCGGCAAUGAGAGGCGAUGAUAGGGUGUAUUGGGGUGCAUCAAAUACUGGCAUUUUUACAGUCCAAUCAGCUUACCAAGUGCUUACGAAUUUUUGCCCCAUUGAAGACUGUCAAGACUGGCGGCAUUUGUGGCAAUGGAAGGGGCCUCAAAGCGUAAGACUUUUUUUAUGGUUAUUAUGCCAUGAUCGAUUGAAGACGGGAUAUGAGCUUGCUAGAAGGCAUCUGGACAUUGAUCCUUUAUGUAGGAGGUGCCAUGCAGAAGUUGAGAGUUCUUUGCAUGCAAUCCGGGAUUGUGCUUAUUCGAGAGGUGUUUAGAGGAAGCUUGUUCCUGUGCUUAGACAACAUGACUUUUUUAGUUAUCCUCUUCGGCAAUGGAUCAUGACAAAUCUUAGGAGCAGGUCCUGUGAUAUGGGGAGUUUAUUUUGGUCGGUUAUGUUUGGUGUUGCUGCUUGGAGAAUUUGGUACUGGAGGAAUCAGGUGAUGUUUAACAAUAAGAACUGGAAUGGUGAUUUGAUCGUCUGGGAUAUUAAGGCAAGGGCUGAGAAUAUUUGUUCUACCCUAUCAAGCGUAGUCUAUCGAAGAAAUAGAAGGAUUCAGAAAUGGAUUCGUUGGGCUCCUCCACCAUGGCCUUUCUUGUGCUUAAAUAUGGAUGGUGCAAGGAAAGGAAAUGGAGAGGCGGGUGCAGGUGGUCUGCUGUGGGACUGCCAUGGUAAAUUUAUUCAUGGUUUCAACGCAAAUCUUGGAGUAUGUUCGGUUAUAAAGGCUGAACUUUGGGGUGUCUUGCAUGGGUUAAGAAUGCCAGAAUGGUAUGGGACCUUGGCUAUAGACGUAUCCAAGUUGGAAUAGAUAACUGUAGUGCGGUGCAGCUUAUAAAGGAGAAUAAUGCUAAUGUCAAUGAAUUUUCGAAUAUAAUCGAGAUGAUUAGGGAACUCAUGAGGAGGGAUUGGAGGAUUCAAAUUGAUUACAUCUACUGCGAAGCAAAUUCGGCGGCUGAUUUCCUUAUUACGCAUGCUUUGAGUUUGCCUGUUGGAGUGCAUUUUCUUCAUUCUAUCCUUUUAGGUUUGAGCUAUAUUUUGUAUUCGGAUAUGUAUGGGGUGGCACACCCCCGUUUUGUGCCCCUCUAGGUCUUCUAUUUUAGAGCCCUCUUUUUAUCAAAAAAAAAAAAAAAAAAAAAAGGUAGAACUGCCAAGGAAGGUUCCAUGAUGAUCUCUAGAAAUUCCCCCACAAGCAGAUAACCUAGGAUUAUUCUUACUAUUGACCUUUAUCAAAUUUGGAGGGGACGUCAUAUCACUGUAGCUAUUUUCGAAGCUUUUCCAAAGCUUGGAUCAUUAACCAACCGGGCAAAAAUUGCCAGAUCAUGAAAGUGUGCCACAGUACUCCCUAGGCAAGAUUGACAAAGAGUGAAUAUUAAAUUUUUACAGUAAGCCAUGGCAUUAUGAAAAGAGAGAUACAUCUUGAAAUCAAAUAUAUUCAUUUUUCGUUUUUAAAUUAUAGCUUAAUGUACUACAAGAAAUUUGACUUUUUAAGAUGAUAUUUUUUACAACGCUUUAAAAUUUGGUCACGAAAUGAUAUUAUUGUGAUGAAUUUAUGAAAUCAUAUCCGAUAAUUUUGUCCUGACUUGUGUUAUAUUUUGUGACCAAUAAUUUUAUUGUGGGACACAAUAUUUGGUAUCUAAUUCAACCUUUGUGUGACAAUCUUUAUUUUAGUCACAAAAGAACAUAGUAUUUUGGCGCAAAAAUUUCCCUCCAAAUUUGAAACAUUUUGGGACAAUAUUUCUUCAUUUAUGACCAAAGAAAUGGUCGCAAAAAUAUAAGUAUAGGCGACAACACUAUUUCGUAACUAAACAAUAAGUGUAAAUUUAACCAAACUAUCCAUGACGCAUAUAUUUGUGUCCAUCUUUUGGUCGUGGAUGAGUAAUUACAGUAACAAAACUAAAAGUAGUAGCCGAAAGUUUUGUCUUGAAUAAAUCUUUAUUUUUGUGACCAAGUUAUAUCAAUAUAUAGUAAAUAGAAGAAAAAAACAAAGAUCAGAGAUUGAUACAUUAACAAAACAAUCAUGGAAAUGAAGCCUGAUAAGGCUGGCACCGAUAUGAAUAUCGGACAAGAAAGCUUUCUGAAGCACCCCAAUAAUUAUGUUGGUUACAUUAGGGCAUGUGGAAGAAUAAAAAAAGGGAGACAGUUGAGCUUGAGAUGGUGAUGAUCCCUCUAGAACAAUAGCAACUACAAGAGCAGCUGCAAGAAGAUAACGCAGAGUGGCCAUUUGAAGAGAAUGGUGAUAGUGAGAGCUAUCCAUAACUCUCUUGCAUGACUAUUUAUAAUCUGAAGCAAACAGGAUUAGAACUUGCCAACAACCAAGAAGUUUCACAUUGUAUAUUGUAAAAGUCAACUGUUUUAAAAUAAAGUAUAGUAGCUUAUUGUGGGUGUUUUUGCACGUAUAUUUUAAUAUAGAAAUAAAUUGUUUUUGGUAAAUUUCAAAAUAAGUUGGGUAACUAAUUUUAAAAUAAUUAUGUUUUAAAUAACAAUAGUAAUGUAUUUGAUAUUUCGUUUGAAAGAAUUUAAUAAAAUUAAAGAUUUGUGGGGCCCGUCUAUUUUUUUAAAUUAAUAGUUGAAUUUUAAACGUGAACUUAUUGCCACUUGAGCUUUAACCGGUAGUGAAUUAUUGCCCUUAAAGUUAAGCAUGACUUUGAGGGUAAUGGUUCAAGUCCCCAUAGACUCAAAAAAUCUCUCUCAAUUAAGCUUCAUUGUGUGGAGAUAUUUGUAAAAAAAUUUUCCCUUGUGAAAUGCGAGUGGGGUAGAGGCACCCUUCUCAAUGAGAAUUAUUUAUCUGAGCAUGUAUUUUAUAUAAUUAAAUUAGUGUGUUACUUUUUCUUUCUCUUCAGCUAAACACUAAAUUUGGCUGCUCCCGAUCUGUCCUAGUUAUAUACAUGAUUAUAAAUAUCAGUGUAUUGCUUUUUCUUUCUCUUCAGCUAAGCACUAAAUUUGGCUGCUCCCGAUCUGUCACUUCAAAGUGUUGGUUGACUAAUUAUGUGGUUAAAUUGAUUGACUGUUUUUGUUACCUCGCAUUUGUAAAAGUAAUCAUAUUACAUAUUAAUCAACAGUGAAUGCGAAUACAAAUAUAGAAAUAAAAAAAAUGAUUUAACUAUGUAGAAAAAAUAAUUUGAUUAGUUAAACAUUAAAAAUGACGUGCCUUACAGUUAUUUAUCAUUAAACAUUCUUCAAUUUUCACUCUACAAUUAUAACCAUCAACUUUUACUCAAUUUUAUAAAUAUAUGUGUAAUACAAUAACCUGAUACUUAAUCAGUUAAAAAAAAAAAUAUGAACUUAUUUGGUGUCUGCAAAUUAUGAACCCAUUUUUUAUUUCGGUGAAAAAGAAAAUGUAGAAUGCAAAACAGAAAACGUAAAAUGGUAUGAUGAAAUAAUUACAUGAUAAAGUUUUUCCCUAAGAUUUAGUGAAAGCAUAUUUUUCUCCACAUAUACCGAUCCUCCCUGCUGUUUUAUUUAUUUAUUUAUUUUUAGUAUUUACAGAAACGAAACCAAAACUCUCCUCAGUCCUCAACCACAUGAGUGGUUGAAUCUAAAGCCACUUAAAGUUAAUAAUUCAUGAAAUGGUGCCUUUGUUUGGUGGCGGUCGCGGGGCCUUGGCCUCUGAUUAAUAUUAUUUCUUUUAGCGUGUAGAUUCCACAAAUCGAAACCCUUCGGAAUUUUAAUUAUUAUUUACUGAAAUAUCAUUUUGCCUAUGACUUCUAUAUUAUGCCUAUAGCUAGUGAUUGUUACAUAAUUCAUAUUAAAGUUAAUUCCAGAAUUGUAACUAUUUUAAUUAACUGAUGUAAGAAUAAUUCUUAACAAACAAAUUCAUCUAUGUACUCUUAGAUUAUAAAAGAUAAAAGACGGGUAAUUAAGUUUAAGAGAAAACUGAUUUUAUUAAAUUUCAAGGACGAAGCGAAAAAAAUAAUAAGAGACUCUAAUGAUAAAAAGAAUUUCUAAGAGAACGAAAGUAUCAUUCGACAAAUAAAUUUAGAUUCAUAAAUUUUUCUGCCUGAUCUAAUAUUAAUUCUUAGCGGCAAGCCUACGGCACAAGCCACAUAUAUGCAUAAUUUUUAUUGGUUAAAACGUGACAUUGAUGAUGUUGAAAGAACAAAUAAUAAACAAUAAUACAGUAAAACCUCCAAAUAGAAAUACUUUAUAUAUGAAUAAUCUCUUUAUAGUAAUAAAAAUUUGUGGUCCAAACUUGGGACCAGUUAUAAUUAAAAAUUAAUUUCACAUUGUAAUAAGUUAUAUUUUUUAUAAGUCACGACUUAAUAAACUUACUUUCACAUAGUAAUAAUAUUUCAAAAAUAUAUGCCAUGUUACAUUAAAUAAUUAUUAUUUUAUUAAUACAUGACAUAAUUUAUCCCUAUAUCACUUGCAUUAGAGAAAAUUAAGUAAAGACAAUAAUUUUUGUAUUAUACCUCUAUUGAGUUAUAAUUUCUUUAUAAGAAUAAAUUUUUCCGGUCUCAACAAUAUGAUUAUAUAGAGAUUUUACUGUACCAUGCUUUUUGAUGCGUAUAGAAAGCAGGACGUGAACACAAAAACACAAGUUUAAUUAAUUUAUUUGAAAACACAUAACAUGUUUCAGACAAGAAAAUUAGAUUAAACUCAAGUUUGUUAGUUAAUUUAUUUGAAAAUACAUAACAUGUUUCAGGCAAAGCGAUAAGAUUAAAUUCGAGUUUGUUAAGCACAAAAACUCUCUCGCAUAUGCUGCAAGCUAGCUUAUUAGAAAGAGCUGACCAAAUCACCCUCCGAUGAUGAUGAUCUUGUUGCAAUAUUACUGUUUCCAUUCACCCUCCUGCAGUUCAAUCUAAUCUCCCCUUGAUUUCCUGUCAGUGGUUUCAAAUUGCCCAUUCUUAUCAUUGAGGUCACAAAGUUUUUAAAGAAAGCAUUCUGGUUCCUCCCAAAGUCCUCGACAAUGGCAGCGGUAUCGGCACCGGGAGUCGAAAACAACUCCUGAUCACUCUGCAGAAGGCCUUUGCGGAAUCUAAGAUUGGAGAAGUAUUUGUUGUCGAAAACAUCAGGUGUUUUGACAUCAAAAUUAGCAAGAACGCCGCCGUUUCCACCUUGUGGGCAUAGUUCCCUCAGUUGCUUUAACAGGGUUCUGUCCAGUGUCGGGUCCGGCUUGCCAGUGUUGUUGAAAUCGUAUAAUCUGCCCCUGAAAAAUCGGCACUGAGCCCUUCCAAACGUGUGAGCUCCUGAAAAACAUGCAUGCCCAAUUUUGAGUUAAGUAUACAUAAAUUUAAGGCACCAACACUCAGUUCUUAAAUUAAUUUUUGAGUAUGAGUUACUAGUAGCAGGCAGUUUUGACUCCUAAAAGUUUACUCUCAUAACUUUACUCAAGUAACUAAAAGGAUGUAGAAGCAAUUAAUAAUUACCGGAGAGUGCAACAAGAUCAAACUUGUCAUUGAGGCCAACAUUUCUAAAACUAGAUUUCAGCUCAUCAAGAGUAUUAGAUGGUCCUGGUAGAUUCUGAUUUGCAAGAGCUCUGUUUGCCGUUCUGCUGUCUCUUCUUCCCAAUGGAACUGCCCAUGACGGACCCCCUGACUGUAACCAAAAGCCAUUCACUCAAAAUCAGCAAUAAUCUUAAGAGAUGUGUGUUUGGGAUGGACUAUUUAAUUUUGCUAGCCGUUGAAUCAAAACUUUGUCGUAUAACAAAAGAAGAAUACUUUUAAGUUUAAAACUAAGGCCUUGCUACGAUGCACCAGCGCAGUAAAAAGUGUCUCACUGUCGGUAACAAUUUAUCCGUUGAUAAUCACAAUAUUGACAUACUUGUAGCAAUUUUGGUACCAUACAGUGUAGCUGAUGCACCAUAGUCAAUAAGUCACCCCUUAUUUAAAAAUAAUGGGUCCAACGAUGAAUCCCUUCACUUAAAUCAAUUUCCACAUGGUGGGGCAAUUUUGUCGUUGAGUAGCAGACGCAAUAACUAGCAAAGGCUAAACAUUUGGACUCAGAUCUUGCACAUUGUUCUAUGUGAAUAAUUAUUUAAUUAAUAUAUUCUUCUAAGGAUAAAGUUGAACUUACGGGAUAUUUAAUUAACUGAAAAAAAUAAUAUAAAAACACGUUAAAUUUAUAUGGGUUAUUAUUAAUUAAACAAAUAGUUAAAAACUACAUUAAUACUGCAAAGAUUUACCAUUAUUCUGUUCGCUUAUUCUGAUACCCAUAUUAAUUUACUUCUAAGCGUAAAAUAUUAACUGGGAAGAGGAGUUGGUAAUAGAAAUUCAUUACCAAAGCAACGGAUCGUUCAGCCGCAAUAGUAAGAAUAUCAGCGCAGGAAACAACCCUUCGACAUGCCUUUUCAAUGGCAGCUUUCAUGUUAUCAAUAACUUCAAAACCCCUCGCCGAAUUAUUAUUUGGCGCAGCAAAUUUCUCGCUGUCUAUGGUGUUAGUGCUGUCCAGCAAAAUCGAUGCAUCACACCCCUGAAAAAAUAAUAUUAAUUAACAACUUGCUAUGUUAACAGUCCAUUGUAUUGUUACUUUUUCAAGUAGAUAGAUUCCUUCUUAUCUUAUGGACAGGAAUUCAAACAAAUUAUAUAAAUAAUGCAAACUCUUCUUAUUUAAAUUGUCUUAUUAUUACAUAUGUUUUUAAGACUAGGAUUUCCUAUUGAUUUAAAUUUCUCAGCUGGAAGAAUAUAAAACAAAUGUGAUUUUUUUUCAACCAUACACCAUUAAUAUUGGACCCAUGAUCAUUUUUUUUUUUGAAUACUGAUUAAUCAUCAGAUUACUGCAUUACACAGCUAUUUACAACAACUGCAAUUGUAGCAGAGAUAUUACACUGAUAUUUACAAUCAGAUAUACAUGAUUGGGACUUACAUUAUUACAUUGAAUUCUAUGAAGUACAUGCCCAGACAAAUAACCCCUUACAGGAGAGGGAUGUCCAUACUCCACUUGUAUUUCGCAAGGGAAAAAGAUUUUUUAAAUAUAAAGAAUAUUUAGCCCCCACAAUGCUUUUUGGGGCUAGAACCGUUGCCCUCACAAGCAUUGUGAGGGCAGCAGCCCACCACUUCGGCCUUAGCCGAAGUGGCGACCCAUGAUCAUUAAAAGCACUCAGCAGGGAUGAGGCCAUGAGGUGGAUUUUAUUUCCUGUUUUGUACCAAAUCUUUGCUAGAUUUAAAUUCCUGGUAACCUCCUCUUCCAUUACCAUCAAAGCCACCUCUUCCACCAGAAUUAGUGUUCCAAUUAUUUCCCUCAGCCUUGUUCCAGUUAUUUUGAGCAUUAUUAUUACCUUUCUUUGAAAAAUUUCCAACUUGAGCUAUAUUGGCUGCAUAGUUAUUCUUAAUUUCUUUGUUGUCAUGAAGCUUACUAUUGUCAAGUCUAGCCUACCUGUUUCUUUUAUCGUAUGUGUGAAUGUGGAGCAUGUGGCGUGUGGAUUCCACAUAUUCAAAAUCCUUCAUUUCAACCUUUUGGAACUUUUCAUUUGUUUACCGAAAUAUCAAAUAUCAUUUUGUCAGCUUACACAUAGGUAGAUGCGAGAUUGAGAUUCAGUAACGUUUAAGUCAUAGUUAUUAUAGAGAAAAAAAAUUAAUAAAUAAAAAUUAAUAAUAUGUUGUAAAUAUAAUAUUUAAAUAAUAAUUUGGCUAAAAGUAAUAAAUAUAUUAGAAAAUUUUUAUCAUAUAAGUGUGAGUUUAGAUCAUCUUAGUUUUUAAAGUAUAACAAUAAGUAUUUACUAAAUAAUUUAAUUAUGUAUUUUAAAAGAUACAUUUGUCUUAUUUUAAUUUCAAAUGAGGUCUUGAUUAAUUGAAACCUCAAGUGGGAGUUAAAUAAUUAAGAAAUGGCUGGAUGACUUUUUGAAAUGGGUAAAAAAUGAUUUUAUUAAUGAUCAUUGAAAAGAUAACUGUUGCUACUAAUGUUUUCUUUUAUGGGGAAAAAGGAUCAUAAUAAUUGCAAAAUGGUUUAGUGAAAUAGUACGGAGAUUCUAUUGGUUUUAGAAAUUAUAUAGGCUCUUUUUUGGUACACACAGACCAUAAAAUUGUCAAAUAGAUUUUUAAAAUUUGUUCAAAAAUAAGUUUUGUUAUCCCAUAAAAAAAGUAUGUAUGGCUAUUUUUAAAAGGCAAGUGCUAAGUUACAUGCAAUGUAACUUAAAUCACUCAUAUACUUUGCAUAUAACUGUUCAUGUGAGUGGGUGUAUGUUACAUUGCAUAUAAUUUAGAAGAAUCCUUUUUAAAAAUAAAAGAUUCUUCCCUACUAUUUUGUCAAAUUACGAAUAAUUGACAAAAAGUAGAAAGAAAUAUGUAAGAAAAAGGUGUUUUUUCGGUUAAUAUUUUAAAGCUAGAGGAUAAAAUGGAUCACUAAAAACUGGAAAGUGACUCAGAUGACAAUGCGUAUCGAUGACAUAGGAAAAAAAAAAUACACAUACUGUAUGACAAGGAUUUCUGAUACAUAGAAAGCAAGGAUGUGAAUACACAAACACAACCUUAGUUUAUUGAAAAUACAAAGCAUGUUUCAGGCAAAACAUAGGAGUAAAUUCACGAGUUUGUUACCCACAAACUCUAUCUCUCACAUGUGCUGCAAACUAGCUUAUUUAGAAAGAGCUGAUCAAAUCACCCUCUGACGAUGAUCUGGUUUCUAUAUUUCUGUUUCCGUUGACCCUCCUGCAGUUCGAUCUAAUCUCCCCUUGAUUGCCUGUCAAUGGUUUCAAGUUCCCCAUUCUUAUCAUUGAAACCACAAAGCUUUUAAAGAAAGCAGCCUGGUUGCUACUAAAGACACUGACAAUGGCAGCGGUAUCGGCACCGGGAGUCGAAAACAAUUCUUGAUCACUCUGCAGAAGGCCCUUGCCGAUUUGAAGAUUGAAGAAGUAUUUGUUGUCAAACAAAUCAGGUGUUGUGACAUCCAGAUUAGUUAGAACGCUGCCGUUUCCACCUUGUGGGCAUAGUUGCCUAAGUUGUUGUAAGAGGGUUGUGUUAAGUGUUGGGUCUGGAUUGCCAGUGUUGUUGAAAUUGAAUAAUCUAUCGCUAAAAGUUCGGCACUGAGCCCUUCCAAAUGUGUGAGCUCCUGAAAAACAGGCAUAGCCAAUCUUUGUUAUUUUUACUCAAAUUCAUACAAUUUAUGGAUAAUAAUUGAGUUUCAUUAUUUUCUUUUUGGGAAGCAAUUCAAAUUUCAUGAUGUGAUUAAGGGGAGUAAAUUUGUCAAACGUUUUAACAUAUUCCUAAUCACCAAUGUCAAACUUUAGAACACAAUUUCUUCGCAUCAUUAGGAUAUUCAGUCAAGCCUCCUAGGUGCAGUAGAGUAAGAAUGUGCUUUGUGUCGGUGGUCGUCUUAGUAAGAGUAAUAAUGAUAAAAGAAUUGAUAUUUAGUGGAGGAAAAUGCUAAGUAUCAAGAAGAACGAGAGAAAGACGAGAGAAUAAAGCAUGUGCUGAGAGAAGAGAGAGAGAAGGCAAAACGGCAGCUUGGAUUGUAGUUUCUCUCGUCUUUCUCUCGUUCUUCUUGAUGUUCAGCAGCACUCGUUAGUGGAUGAGAUUUCUCAUCCUUAUCAAAAUUUAUUUUUUCUUUUUAAAUAAGAUAUUCAACAUUUAGGAUCAGACUAUGGUGCAACUGUUGUACCGUGCCACAAUUGCAUCCAGCCGUUGGAUGCACUUAGAUUGGUGGGGUCUACUGGCAUCCAACGACUGGAUGCAACUGUGGCACGGUACCACAGUUGCACCACAGGUUUCCCCCAUCAUUUAAACUAUCUCUAUGAUUUCAAGACUCAAUAUUGGCAUUAAAAAAUUUUCCACCUCCAGAUUUCUAAUUCUGUCUCCAGUACUGCUUUAUCCCAAAAGACUCCUAGGUCUGUUUGUACUCAAGUCAAAGGGUGUAUAAGCAAAUAUUACCGGAGAGUGCGACAAGAUCAAAAUUAUCGUUAAGGCCAACAUUUCUGAAUCUAUCUCUGAGCCUCUCAAGACUAUUGUUCGGUCCUGGAAGAUUUUCAUUUGCAAGAGUCCUGUUUGCUGUUCUGCUGUCUCUUCUUCCCAAUAGAUUUGUCCAUGAAGGACCCCCUGACUGUUACCAAAACCACGAUCAUUAGUCAAAAGCAUCACUUGAGAGAUGCAUAAUAAACAAAUUUAACUAAAAUCAGAAAUAGACAUGCAAUUAAUCUUUCCGACUCUAUUUGGCUAAUAUUUAUGUGGUUCUUGUUGCACCCAAAAUUAGCAGUUUCCCGACGUUAUAAUUUUGAGUGAACGGUUCAACCAGACUGUAUCAUAUAAAGAAGAUUUUUUUUUUUUUUUUCAAAAUAUAUACUGGAACCCAACACGUAAAACUGAUGUGUCUUCGAUGAAUCUCAUCACUUUUUUUUUUGUCUGGGGGCGCCGGGGGGGGGGGGGGGGGGGGGGAGAAGGAUAGCCUUCCCUUUUCAGUUUUCAUACGGUAAAGUUUGUCCAGGCACUAUCACGAAGUCAACAUGGUAAUGUCGGUGGACUGUUGCCGCCUAAAACUAAGCACGUGGAUUCAUUUAGUUAAUGUACUCAGGGUCUAAAAAUUCCAACACGAAUGUAAAGUCAAACUUACUCUCUGAUACCAUAUAAAUUUAAUCACUUUUAAGCUUAAAAUAUGUAGUCGAGCAAGAUGAGGAGUUGUUAAUAGAAAUUCACUACCAGAGCAACAGAUUCUUCAGCUGCAAUAGUAAGAAUAUCAGCACAGGAAACAACGCCUGGACAGGCCCUUUCAACGGCAGCUUUCAUGUCAUCAACAACUUCAAAACCCCUCGCCGAAUUAUUAUUUGGCGCAGCAAAUUUCUCACUCUCUAUGGUAGUAGUAUUGUCCAGCAAAAUCGAUGCAUCACAGCCCUGAAAUAACAUCAAAAACUUGUUGCGAUCAACUGCUGUUGUAUCGUUAAUUUAAUAAUUAGGUAUACGAUUAAUAAAAAUAAUGCAAACUUGUGCAUUUUCUUUUUGGAUAAACGUACAUAUAUACAAAUUGUCUUACUGCAAUAUAAGUUUUUAAGACCAGGAUUCCCUCAUGACGUAAGCUUUUCUUAAGCUUAAUUGUGAUUAUUAGAAGUUAAGGAUAUAAGUGUACGUAGUUAUAUUUCAAUCAUAUAUUACUAAUAAUGGACAUGUUACACAAGAUUUUUAAAAAUACUAUGCAGAGUUCAGAUUAGGAGAGGACUUUAAUUCAUGUUUUACAAUAUUAAUUGAAGAAGAAGAAAAAUGAAAGAGUAGAGAUUGAUCACAUUAACAAAACAGUCAUGGAAAUGAAGCCUGAUGAGGCUGGCACCGAUACGAAUAUCGGACAAGAAAGCAUUCUGAAGCACCUCCCGAAUUAUGUUGGUUACAUUAGGGCAUGUGGAAGAAUAAAAAAAGGGGGAAAGUUGAGCUUGAGCUGGUGAUGAUCCCUCAAGCACAAAUGCAACUACAAGAGCAGCUGCAAGAAGAUAACGAAGAGAAGCCAUUUUGCAAUGAUGAGAAUGAGAGUUAUUUCUGAGCCUUCUAUGUACGCGACUCUUUAUUUAUAGCCAACCAAACUAAACAGGAGUAGAACUUGGCAACGUCUUCUAUAUUCGCGCCUCUUUAUUUAUAGCCAACCAAACUAAGAAGUUUCACAUUGUAUUGUAAAAGUCUACUGUUUGAAAACAAAAGCUUAACUUAUAUGAUGAGAUAAUUACAUUAUCGAUUUUCUCCCUCUAGUUUGGUGAAAGCAUAUUUUUCUCCACAUACUUUUGAGGUGGUAACGAUCAUUUAUUAGUUGCAUCUCAGUAUUCUAGAAGUAUGUCAAGUGUAGCUCGGUUGAUUGUGAACGUACUUUGUGUCUGUGAUCACCCGAGUUCUAAUAAUAAUAUAGGGCAAAGGUUGUUAUUUAGUGGAUGAGAUUUCUUAUCUCCAUUAGAACAUUUUCUUUCAUUUUUCUUAUUAGACAAAAGAAAAUGUAAUACAACAUGGAUAUUAAAAAGAUAAGCUUAUGUAAUUCAUCUCACUAUUGGAUCUAACUUUUAAAGUAGGUAAAAUAUUUUUUAUCUUACAUGUAACUUAAAAUUCAAAUAAAUCUGACAUGUUAAGGUAAAAAAGGAGAAUAAUUAAGUAAAUAAUUUUGACUAAGACAUUUAUUUUUAAAUAUUUUUUUUAAAAUACAAAGGCUAGAUAGAUAAUUGUCUCAAACCUUAAAAGGUCAAAAGAACAUUUAUCCCAAAAAAAAAAAUGUGAGGAUAUUUUCACUGCGCUUUUUAUGUAACAGCACCAUGUCUUUUUAUAUUUUUAUAAUUACGAUUUUAUCCUUUAAAAUAAACUAUUCGAAACUCGUGCACUUAUCCUUAAAUCAUAUAUGUUUAACCAAAGAGAAUGAACGGGAAUUUUCUACGAAAGAAUUAGAUUUGUCAGUUUAAGAAAAUACAAUCACUACUAGAAAAAUGGACUUUACUGACACUUCGUUACUGACACUUUGCAAAAAGUGUCAGUACUUAUGUACAUAUGCACCAUUUUCCGCUUUUGACAAAUAGGAAUCAGAGAUUAAUGAUACUAGGGUGUCAGUAAACUAAACAUCAAAAAUCACUAACACUAAAGUAUCAAUGAUAAAAAAAAUUCAUAAAAAUUUUGUUUUAGCUCCAACUCGAACCUGGGAGCUCUAAGAUUUAAAGCUUUAAUGUUUGGAGCACAGACCAUCAAAUCUCGAUGAGUCAAAGUCAUAAUAAUAUUUAAAUUAUUAAAAAAUGAAAAUAUAAAUAACAAUAACAUAAAACACACUUGUUCUCCCCAUCUAGACUAUAUCGACUGUCUCUAUCUUGCUUUCAUCGUUCACUUUCGCUUUCGUUUUUCUCUUCUCGAUCUCUUCUGUUUUGCACUAUCCAUUUACAAAUUAAAUUCAAUUAAUUUAGAUAGAUAAUGAAAACCUAAAACUCUGAUUCGUUUUUCCAUUUUCCCCAAAUUGAAACACAAACCAAAACCCUAAUCGCUUGUUAUCGAAGGGGUUUUUCUCCAACUUAACCAUCCAGUGCCUAUACUAGGCAAGCAAGUAAAAGCCAUCGACAAGGGGUGAAGUGGCACCAUCGGUUCGGUAUUCAGGUAAUCUCAUUCUCCCUGACAAGUUAAGUCCAGAGAAAGAACUGUAGAGGAGGUUAUCAGCUGGUAAUGGCAGAAUGUUUUAUUUGUUUGUGCAAUUUAAUUAUUGGGUUUGUUUUAAUUUGGCUUAUGAAUAAUAUUUUUGAAUUUUUAUUUUUGGGUUGUUUCAGAUAUUCAGAAAUUGAACAGUCGUGCAACCCUGGUGGGUUUUGUUUUCCAAAUAUUUUUUUUAUUUAUUUAUUCGUAACUUGAAAUUUUUGUUCUUAUUUUUCUAUAUCUUCACUCACAUGCAGUCCAAAAAUACAGGCAUUUUAAGUGGUGCAUUACUUAAACUCAAAACACUUGCUGCUGCGACUCUGUUUUUUCUGCCACAUUUGAGGUCAGUUUCAAACUUUUGUGCAUGUGAUUUACUGUCAUUGUUAUUUAAAACUAAGAAUGUGCAUUUUUUUUAGUUUCUGAAAUAAACUGUUAGCUCCGUUUCUUAACUUUGAGCAAUAAGUUAGUUGAUUUUGAAUGUACUAAAAUAUGAAAUUUGAUUUUAGCUUUUGCCUUUGUGAUUAGGAGAUGAUUGUUUGGGUGUUAUAUUGGCUGAAUGACUGUGUAUUUAGUGGUUACAAACUAUUUACAUCUCUGUUUCAUGUAAAGAGAGGCAAAUUUUGUUAUAUAAUCCUACUUGUUUAUUUAUUCUGUUUUGGUUGGACGAUUUGUAAUAGAGACAAUGACUAUGAUAUGAAUUAAUUAAGUUCGUGGUUGUGAGUAUUGUGAGAUUGUAUAAAGUUGAUGAUUUGUGUUUGAUUCAAUAAAGAAAUGCUUGUUUUAAAGUAGUUCUGCAUGUUGUUUUUGAAGUUAAAAAAUGAUUUAUAGAAUCUUAAAAAAUGGCUUGCAAAGUGGUAUGAAGACAUUAUUUAUUUGAACUCUUAACUUUUGUUAGUUACUUGACUUAUGAAUUAGUUCGACUACUUAAAAAGCCAUUAGCACCCAUCUUACCUAUUAAUCUCCUAUUUAAGUUUCAAAACUUAUUUUGUUUCAAUUUCAGGAUUUUGUCUAAAUUAUUAUUAUAAUUAAUGAUUUAUAGGGCUAUUAAUGAUUUUCCAGAAUUAUAAGUUUAUUAUUACAACUAUAAUCAUAAUAACAUUGAACUUUAAAUUAAUCAUGCAAUUUAAUUAAACUUAAACUAACAUUACAUAUGUGAACAGGUAAAAUAUUUGAAAUGGACAGAAGUUGGAUAACUUGUGAUAGAUUGUCUGUAGAGUAUCGUUCUGGAGUUGCUGAUUUCUUAGAUUUUGCCAUUUUGAAUGUUGAAAAUCGAAUGUCAAUUAGAUGUCCUUGCACCUUUUGUUGUAACAUGGAGUUUCAUACUCCUCAACAAGUGAAGGAUCAUUUAUUUGAAAAAGGUUUUCUCCCAAGAUAUAUUGUUUGGACUUGGCAUGGUGAGACUGACUCUAAAUCUACAUUUACAAACUGUGAAGACCAUUCACAUAGUCAAAGAUUUAGAUGUCAUGAUUACAGUAAUAUAAUUGACAUGGUCGAAGAUGCUUACGAGCAUUGUGAUAGAGAUCCUAGUUCUUUUAAGGAUAUGCUUGAAGAUGCUGAAAAGCCUUUGUACCCGGGUGCAAAACAUUCAAAGUUAUCUAGUUUAAUGAGACUUUACAAUGUGAAAGGGAACUAUGGGUGGUCCGAUACAGGGUUUUCUGCUUUGUUAGAAGUCCUUGCUGAUAUUUUUCCAAAUAAUAAUACUCUACCUAUGUCAAUGUACGAGGUUAAGAAAACAAUGAAAGUGUUAGGCUUAGAGUAUGAAAAAAUACAUGCAUGUCCAAAUGACUGCAUUUUGUAUAGGAAUGAAUUUGCUGAUCUUGCUGAAUGCCCAAAUUGUGGAGCAUCUAGGUAUAAAAAAAAAAAAGAUAGCUCAACAAAAUUUAGGAAAGGGGUUCCUAAAAAGGUAUUAUGGUAUUUUCCACCUAUUCCUAGGUUGAAAAGAUUGUUUCAAUCACCACAAACAGCUCAAAAUUUAACAUGGCAUGCUAAUAAAAGAAUUAGAGAUGGCAAACUUCGCCACCCAGCAGACUCACCAGCCUGGCAACUAAUUGACAAUAAGUGGCCAAAAUUUGCACAAGAACCUAGAAAUCUCCGUUUAGCUCUCUCAACUGAUGGGGUUAACCCACAUAGUACACUUAGCACUACUUAUAGUUGUUGGCCUGUUAUAUUAAUAACAUAUAAUCUUCCUCCAUGGUUGUGUAUGAAGAGAAAGUUUUUGAUGUUGUCACUUUUGAUAUCUGGCCCUAAACAACCUGGAAAUGAUCUAGAUGUAUACCUAGCACCUUUGAUUGAGGACUUAAAAACUCUAUGGGAUGUAGGUAUUGAUGUUUAUGAUUCUUAUAGAAAAGAAACCUUUAAUUUACGGGCUGUCUUGAUGUGGACAAUUAGUGACUUUCCAGCAUACGGAAACCUCUCUGGUUGUACUGUUAAGGGCUAUUAUGCUUGCCCAAUUUGUGGGAUAGACACUUGUGCAUGUUGGCUGCCACAUAGUAGGAAAAUGUCAUAUAUGGGCCAUCGCCGCUUUCUACCACUCGGUCACCUAUUUCGGAAACUGAAAAAGGUUUUUAAUGGGAAGCAAGAGUGGAAUGAGCCUCCUAAAACUUUGUCUGGUGAGGAAAUCUUUAAUAUGGUGGAAGAUAUAGAUAUUAAGUUCGGGAAAAAGAAGGCCAAAAAGCGGAAACAUGAUGGCGGUGGUGGUGGUGGUGGUGAUGAGAACAUAACUGAAAAAUUGUACAAAAAAAAGUCAAUCUUUUUUGAGUUAGAUUAUUGGAAGCAUUUAUUAGUUCGCCAUCAAUUAGAUGUCAUGCACAUUGAAAAAAAUGUGUGCGAAAACAUAUAUGGCACAUUACUUCAUCAACCAGGCAAAACAAAAGAUGGGAUUAAUGCUAGAAAAGAUCUUGAGUCUUUGAAGAUCAGGGGAAAACUAGUUCCUGAUGAAACAAAUAAAAAAAACAAAGUCCUACCUCCAGCUCCUUAUACUUUGAGUAAAAAAGAAAAAAAACAGUUUUGUGAAACCUUGCUGAGUGUGAAAGUCCCUGAUGGGUAUUCUUCCAAUGUCCAAAACCUUGUUUCAAUAGAUGAUUGUCGGCUUCAAGGCCUUAAGUCCCAUGACUGUCAUACUUUGAUGCAACAAUUUCUACCACUAGCCAUUCGAAACUGUUUGCCUAUAAAUGUGAGAACGGCCAUAAUCAGGAUGUGCUUCUUUUUUAAUACAUUGUGCUGUAAAGUGGUAGAUCCUAAUACUCUUGACCAAUUGCAAGAGGAACUUGUAAUCAAUUUUUACUUUGUUUAGUGCCCACUGGGUGUUAUUGGCAAUUGAUAUGGUGAGACGUACAACCUAUUACCUUGAUCCUUUGGAAGGUAGUCCUGAUGAAGAGCUAAUGCAGAUUGUCAAUCAGUUAAGUUUGUUAUUUGUAUCUUUGAUCAUGCUAUUUUAUUUUUAUGUCUUAUGCUAAUUAUUUGCUAACGUUAGCUAUGUCUCUUAAUUGUAGGGGGAUUCGAAUACAUCAGAGUUUAAAUUCUGAUACAAAGGCCAAUGUUCAAUGGAUACCUGUCAAGGUAAAAAUCAGACAAACCUAACUAAUUAUUGUUAACGUACAGUAAAAAAUUAAUGUAAUUUUGAUCUUGUAGUGUCCGAGGCAGCCGAGCAGCUUUGAAUGUGGUUACUAUGUGAUGAAAUACAUGCAAGAUAUCAUCACAAAUGUGAACGUUCUGAAAAAUAAUGUAAGUAUUGAAAAUGAUUUUUACAAUACUGUAUCAUAUUGUUUUAAUUUAUUGUGAAAUGAAUCAGCUCAAACACCUGUGUGCUUCUUUACAGUUAUCUUUUUAUUGCGUAUUGUAUGCAUUUUAUGAACUGUGAGGGUACUUAUAAUGGUGACUAUGUUGCAUACUGUUGAAUAGAUUAUAUGAAUAUCCAUAUAGACAUGAAUUAGGAUUUGGGAUAUACACAAUGUACUGCAUAUCCCAACACAAAACAAUUGUUUGGGUUGCAAAGUAGUUGUUAGUGGGGAUGUGCUAUGGUGUCGUUGCUUGUACUUUACUUUGAUGAGGAUAAGUUGUCAUCCUAAUUAAGGUUUUGUAUGUACAUCCAUAUUUGUAUUAAAUCGCGUACUGUUGGGGUUCACAAGUUGCUUCGGCUAUCAAAUAUUGUUGUUGUUGGGGUUCACAAGUUUUUUUUUUUGGAAUUACCAUGAUCAGGAUGUUCAGUAUUUACCUAUAUAAUUUUGGAUAAAACAGUAACAUUGUUGGAGUUUAUUUGUUGGCUUUAAUUGUUAACACACAAAUGUAUUUAAAUGAAUGAUAAUUAAGUAGUUUAGUCAAGGAUUUUCGGUGAAUAACUUGUUGUUUUAAAAUUAAAGUUCAAGGGAGUUGAGGAAUACACUGUCAAAGACCUCUCGCGACUUCGUGAUCAGUGGGCUACAUACGUUGCCAAGUUAAUUACAGCCUACAAUCGCGAGGUAACAUACAAGUAAUUUAUGAUUAUUUUUCCUUAAAACAAAUCUGUGAUUUAUUUUUUGUGGUGUGCUAAUUGAUUUUAUAUACUUGUAGGUGGAAAAAAAAUGAAGGCAUAUGCGGACUCCAAAAUCAGUGACAUUGUUAUUUGUUUUUUCUUCUUGGCUAAAUUCUCCGAAAUUAAUUUAGUACUUUAUCGUGUAUACUACUUGUUCAAAGCUUAAUUUUGUACUUGAACAUGUUUUUUACCCCCAAACAAUGAUGUAUUUGAACUAUUUUAAUUUAACUAAUGUAUUUGAAAUGUGUAUUAUGUGAAUUGCAUUACAAGAUUUGGUAUGUUUAAUAUAUUUUGGGUUUAUUUUAAUUGUAAAAUAAACAUGAAUAAUGUCAUUAAAAAAAAUAAAACACAACCGGUAUAGCACCGUUAAUACUGACACUAAUUAUUUAAAUGACGAUAAGAAUUUUUUAUGUUACUGAGUCAGUGGAUUCCUGAUACUGUAGUCACAUAAAUCAGUGACAUGUAAAUAGUAUCAUUAAAUGCUAACGCGAUUGAGUCACUAUCCUUGUGACUCUCUAGUGACACAAAAUACUGACAUAAAAAUAGUAUCAACUGAUACUAACAUCAUAGUAUCACUAUGGUGGUGAUACUAUAGUGACACAAAAUACUGACGCAAAAAUCACUGACACCAAAGAUUAGUGUCAGUGUGUUCUGGCUUGAGCAUUACUGACACAAUUAACAAGUGUCAGCAAAAGUAAUUACUGACACUAAAUUGGUGUCAGUAAAGCCCAUUUUUCUAGUAGUGAAUAUUUAUCUUCUUGCUUUCCUUAUAACUUUCAAGGAAUAAUUCGCUGAAUUGUGAGUAUAUAGUUUUAUGGAUGGAAAAUUAAGAUGAAUAUCCAACUUCAAUUUAAAAAUUUUUUUUAUAUACUGCUGAGCUGGUUUCAUAACUGAUGAAAAUUUUGCUUUAUUAGGCAAGAAAAGUUUAAGAUUUUACAGUUAAUAUAUAUAGUAUUUUCUAUUAUGUAUGUACAUGUUCUCCCCAGCCGUGUGUUCUCAAAGAAUUGGCAAAAAAACUAAAAUGCAUUUUGAUUCAGAAACUACUGUUUGUGCAAUUAGAUGCUGCAAUGUAUGUCAUUUAUAUAUGGACAUGUCUUUCUUUUAAAUAAAAUGAUUCAUGGCAUGGCAAUAUUGGCAGAGUAGUUUAUGUACGUCCAUUUUGAUGCCAUUGAAACUUUAUUGAGCUACAAAGCAAGAAGUGCACCAUUUUUAGGCAUUAUGUAAGUUCAUCAUGAUUGCUUCUGACUCCCCCUUCAACUUUAAUGAGUCAUGUAGAUUAUAAAAAAUGAAGUUUUACCACUAACUAAAGGGAAAAGAAAAACGUUGGGCACGUAUGCUGCCGAAAAAUGUGUAGAAAUGGAAAAUCUAUUUGCCUACCUGCAAGGGUAAUAAUUGAUUCAGGGGGGCUUAUUUACAAAAUAAUAUGUUUUCAAUGAUUGGCAUGUGUGCAAUUAUAAUUGGGGUGCUAUUUCUAAAAAGCAGGACUGGAAAUAUCAGUAAACCAAAAAAAAAAAAAGUUCAAACCAGAACCACACUAAAAGUGAAAGUGUUUUUUGGCCAAACUUUGUGCAAAACAAUACGCAAUUGGCCCCUAUUGUAGUUUUCUGGUGACUAAGGGUGAGAAAUUAAAGAACAAUAGCUCCCCAUUUGUAAUAUCCAAAAUUUCAUUUGUUUGUGAAAAAAAAAAAAACAACUUAAAUUCCGAUCGACUUAAUUAGGUUUGAAGAAUUCAGCAUUGAUAAAUGAUAAUGUUGGAUUUAGUCCAUGCCAUGCGAAUGUCGACAGUAUGUGGCGUGUGGAUUCCACAUACUCGAAAGUCGAAACCUUUCAUUUCAACCUGGUAGACUUUUAUCCUUUUUUCUUUAUUUUGAAUUAUUAUCUUGUCAGUUUAUAGAUAAUUAAUUAAUUGAUUGAAGCACAAGUAGUGUUAAAAUAAUUAAUUACGUGAUGAAUGACAUUUUGAAAAUGAUAUGUUUUUGCCAUUUUUUUUUUAGAAUGUUAUGCUGUUAAUUUUUUUCGUAUUUGUUUUAAAAAAUGAAAAUUGAUGUUUAUUUGUGAUUUCAAAUCUCGCCUCUGAUAAAGUAUUUUAAAAAUUGUAAUCUUAAUAAAUAAAUACCAAACUGGCUUUUGAUUCCCGGAUCUUUUAUUUUAAGUUAAGAGAAUUAAUAAUUGAACUGAUUUGAAAUUUUGAACGCACAAUCUAAAGAAGUUUUCAAUAAAGAAAUAUGUUUAAUAUAAUAUUUGAAGAAAGAAAAUGUUACGCAACAAGUACAAAAUCGUAAAAGCAACAUUAAUUUGUGCUGCUUAAGCUUUCAACUUUUCUUCAAGAAAGUAAAAAGUAAAAAGUAAAAACUCCAUUUCUGUCACUUUCCAUAAAUCCUUCAACAACUUACCGAAUUUUAUUCUGGCCUUAUUCUAUCUUUCCUUUUUUUUUCCUAUUUAGAUGGAAAAUGGUGUUUAGUUUAGUGAUGAGGACAAUAUCUAAUAUCUGCCAAAAAUAGAAAAAUUAUCCCAAAACUACUUUGAAAGAACUUUGGGAUAAUUAAUUAAAUGUAAUUGAUCAAUUUUCACAUCUUAAACUUUAAACCCAUAAAAAGUCAGACUCAUAUAUAAGUGAGUUUAGACUAUCUUUUUAUGUGAUAAGAACUAAAAGAAAAUGUUCGACUUACACGUGACAAUGAGUGAUGGGAAUCGAAGCAUAUCUCACAACUUUUCUAUAGCUAAUAAAACUAUAGCGUUUUUUCAUGCUCUUGUAGGUGGAGACUCAUAAAUAUUUUGAAUUCACUUGUACGAACAAAUUUGAAUUACCUUUGCAUUUCCAAAAUGAAUACUCCUAAUUGAAAAAAAGCGAAAAAGAAAAAAAAACAUAAAAAUUAUAUGUUCUUACUAAAACUUCAAAAAUUUCUUGGGAAUAGUUAAAUAAUCAAAUACAUUUGAGGCAUCAAACAACAAACUUCGACCAUAAUCGGAUUGAUUUUGCAAUUAAACACAACGGAUUUUGUUUCUAUAUAUCACCGAAAGUUUAAAGACUUAACAUAUUAUACGAGUAUUGUAAUUCAAUUAGUUAUUCUCCCACAAAAUGCAUGUCCUACGUACAUCAAGAUUUUUUUUUUUCCUUGGUCCUGCCCUUGAAUUUUGUACUGAGCUUAAAAAUGGUUCUUAAUUUUUCCUUUUGUUUCGAAACUCUCACCUCCUGCUCUUAUUAUUAUUAUUCAGCCUUCUGGUACGUAACUGAGACCAAAAAUGUCUGUGGUCUCAUUAUUUGCAGUUUAAUUAUAUUUAAAAUGAGACGAUUUAAUAACGCGUUUUCAUGAAGUGUAUAUAAUAUAAUAUGAAUAUGAUUACGACAUUACCUGAAAUUUAAGGAACUGAUAAGUACAUAACCUGUUUAAAUAAUAUUGUAUGGAAGAUUUCCGAUUAUAAUUUAAAAUAGAUGUUUCUUUCAAUCUUUGUCUAUAAUUCAUUGUUCAUAUGACCCUACGUCAAGAAAAUAAAAUACAGAAUAUCUAAUAUCUGAUAUCUCUAUCCAUAGGCAAAUAAUUUCAGGAUUUUCUGGUUAACUUGUUAUACAAAGCGUUGAGAUGUGAGUAAAUUACAUUUGGCCAUUAUGUCACCAAAAUAUGUCUUUUUUCUUUUUGGCUUAGAUUAAAAUUAUUGUGCUAAUAUUCCUAAAUGAUCUUAAAACUAAAAGUUUGUCGAAUGACAAGAUCUUAGUUAGUUGUUUGUUUGUCAAUAAAUUAGUUAACCUAUUUUGUAAUCUGAUGACUAAGCUGUAUAUUUUUUGCUCACUCAAAUACAGGCAAAUCUUCAAUGCUUGGAAACUCUUAUUAAUAAAGAAAUGCAAAUAGCUCUUCUCAAAUUAAAUAAAGACCAAUUACCCAACAAUGCUUACUAUUUUCUUAUGUAACGUGAUUGUGCUAAUAAAGUUAGGUGGGGAGAAGAUAUCUUUACACCUAUCUGGAAGCAUGCGCCUGUUUGGAGGGUAAGAAAAUGAUAGAAAUUAAAUGCCAAAGAAAUAGAUGAUGCAAAGAAAGAGGAUAUAUUGUUGAUAAUUGUAUGAGUUGACUAGCCCAUUUUACACGUGGAAAGUGGCUUCGGUUGGUGCAUGCAUGAGAUUUGUUUGAUUUUAGAUGAUGAUUUCAAUCAUUCGGUUUGAAUUUAAAAUUUUUAAUAAGUUAGAAAUAACGAUGCGGCACGGUAUAUGCGUGGAAUAUAUCUCCCUUUGGACUUUUACUUUUUCAUGAUUUAAAUUAAUCAAUCUUGCGAUUUAUUUAUAUCUUUAUGUGAGCCAAGUGUACAAGGUACUUAUAUUUUAAGAAUUUUAAAAAGGUCGGUGAAAAACAGAUUUUUAAAUUUUAAUUUUGAUAAUAAAUUUAAUCCUUAAUGCAAUUCUACCUAAGUAGUUUUGUCUGAUUUACUUUUAAAUUCCAACAAGAACAGACAAGUCUAAUUACCUACUUCAAGUGAAAAGUGCGUUGAGUGAAUUUCAACAUAAAUAAGGAUGGUUUGAAUAAUUUUUAAAAACUCAUAAGCUAAUUGCAUAAUUAGCCGAAACCUAAAAGAAUAAAAAGAGUGUUUACCCAAAAAAAGCUAAUAAUUAUUGGACUAAACUAAAAGCUCUUAAUGCUUUCCAAUCGUCAACGUUCUCCGAAUUUGCCAGUCCACGAUUAUGCAUUCUCAUUAAUUUCAAUCUUGCUAAUGAACGUGAGAAAUCAGCUUGAUAUUCAUUUUACUAUUCCAUUAUUUUAAUUAAAUUUGAUUAGAAAAGAUUUGCAUUAUAAUGAAGAUUUGGUGAUUGAAAUUCUUUGUAAAAUCUCUUUGGCGAUUUGAGUUUGUUUGUAAAUCUUGGUAUUGUUUAAUGUACAGGAAACCUAAGUUUCAUUACAAAACACCUAAAAAAGGUCAAAAUCCGUCUAAUUUUUCAUUUAGAUAAUUGAAAAUGGUGAUUCAUAUGAUUAUCCUAGAAAUUUGUUUUUUAUGUUUCCUGAUGAUACAUUGAUAGACUUAUCAUUGCAAUAUCUUGAUGAGUAUCUCCCCAGGCUUGUCGCUGGAGUCCAUCUUCUCUAUUAGUAUAUUUGGAGUUUAAUGUCACCGGGUAAGUGUUUUGCGCAACGAACCCAUACGGUACUUAGACAACUCUUGCCGAAGGUUGCUAAGUAAGCAUUUGAGCUUUUCAACUAGCUAAGCUUAGAGGUUUUCGAAGAGUUAGAGAUAAGAGAGCAAUGGAGCCGAAAGAGUGAAAUUGUAUUACUCACAAGAGAGAUUACAAGAGAGCUUACAAGAAUGCUUGAAUUGCUUACUCUAAGCUUGUAACUCAAAUGCCUAAUGACAUGCCCUAUUUAUACGGGAGGCUUGCCAAGCUCUACAAUUCUAGAGAAUUAUACCAAGUCGCUUAGAAUUCUAGAUAUUUACAUAAGUUAGAUAUGUGUAGAGAAUUCUAGAUAUGUACAAGCUUGAGUGUGCUAAAGUUGUCUAGAAAUUUCUGGAAUCGGGUCAAUCUAGCACUCUUGACCUUCUCUUGGGCUCUUGGCCUGGAAUUGUGGACAAUUGGGCUAGCAACUUGAGCAGUUCGCAACAUUAAGAUCACUUUCUUAACGAAAUCUCUUAUAUGGGCUCCAGUUUCUUCAAAAGGUUAUUGUCUUAGAAUAAAAUAUAGUAGUGGCUGCAUGUAUUCAAUGGCGGUUGUGCACGUUUCCAUUUUAGUUGUUCAUGUUCCUAUUUUCAAGCAAUUUUCCUCUUUUGUAGUUUUCAAUCUCUUGGUAUGUGUACAAGUCUAUUUAAGAGGCCUUAUUGAACUUGUACCGGGGAGAAUAAACAUUGUCUUUUUCCUUCUAAUCAAUUCAUAUUCCUUCUCUGUUUCUCUGGCUUCCCUUUCUGAACUGAAAAUUACUUAUCAAUCUCACAACUAUAGAUUACGGAAUUCUCCCACGUUAUAGAGCUACAGGUCCACCGAAAACGAACAUUUCUGCACUCGUGUUGGAUUUGAUUGAAUCCCAGACGCAAUGACUACAAGUUGGUUUCGAUUAACUCAUUUCGCUACAAAAGCACAAAUGAUGCGUGCUUGCAUUUGCAUGAAUUCUCACUUUGUACAGUAUAUAAAACCUAAGUACUAACUCUUGGAGGGAAUUAAUAUGCUUCGAAUCAAAUCAUUUUGAUAACUCUUUUAAUUCGCCGUGCAAAAGCUUGGAUGGACUUUUUACUGUUCAUCGAAUUUGAGUGAUAAUAGUAACUACGUGCCUAAUGAUUAUUUCAUUUGACAUGGCAAUGAGGUGUUCCAAGAGAUUUAGUGCCCAUUCAGUAUUGUUGGAUCACCUUUUGUGAUGAUCAAAAGGUGAUAUUAUAUGAACCGCACUUGGGCUUAGGAGGAAUGAUGUUUUUUUUUUCUUUUUUUUUUGUGUAAAAUCAGGCUCUCCAAGUGAACAGCUGCUGUUGUAUGAUCCUGAUAAGUGGUACCCAGGAAUUGAGAGAUCUUGGACUAAGAAAUUUUUCUUUUUCGGUUUAUAAAUUUAAAGAGAGUCUAAUUCCUGUCAAGGGAGAAGAUCGAUGUAUCAAAUAGACAGAUGAGGAUUCUGACAUGAUAUGAGAAAAUUAUAUCUGCUCUCCGAUGAUAAUAGGCGUGCUUUGCUCUUCAUGACGUCAAGCUUUCGAUGAAAUGAAUCAAAUAGUAACCUAUUUGGCAUCGUUAAUCCUUGAAUUUGUAUCAAAUUUUAGUGAAUUUCAAUUUAUCAAUAGUUGUUUUGUAAGUUGAUCGAACACAUCCGUUGUUUAGAUUUGAUAUUAACGAACAUGAAGUCGAAAGCUACGCUUAAUUAACAAUUUAUAUUUGCCUUUCUUUUUAACGUUACCCAUCGUGCAGCUGAAAACUCUUUGCAAGCCGGUUUGCCAAAUGGAAUAAGUUACCCGAAAACCGAAUACGAGAAGGCAAUAAAAGUUUAUAAUGUUAACCCGAACUAAUGUGACGAUUUUCUUUAGAAGUCACAUCAAGUUAAACGUACUUUAACAUACACGAAUAACAUAUUAACUUGAUGUGGCAGAUUCAGGGUUCCUCACAUUGCUAAAUUAAAAAUGGUUAUAAGGAUCUUUUAAAAGAAGUAAUUAAUUACAUGCGUGGAUACCCGAACGAAGCAAGAAAUUUCAAUCAAUGGCAACAACACAAAAUUGAGGGGAAGAGAUGCAAAUGUGAAACGAUCAAGUUAUCCGGCCCAAUUAAGGCACUGUCUCCUCUGACGAAGUAAAAAAUAAUCUGAUUUUGGUGCCAUUAAGAAUAUUGUAAAACUAGUUUUAGGAGGUGGCAAUUUGGGUUAGGAUUCAUUUAUUUAAUUUGAUUUGAUGCAAACUAAAUCGGUUUAGAUUUGAAAAUUUUGAUUCGUUUAAUAAGUAGGUGAAUUCGAUUCGAUUCGCUAAUUAAACGGGUCUAAUCCGGGUUUGAGGACAUUAAUUCGUUAACUCGUUUAGUAAAUGAGUUAUAAACGAAUCGAAUAUGAUCAAUCGUUUAAGUUCAUUUAAUUAAACUAUUUAUCUAUACUUAAAUAUGCAUGAAAAAACUUUAAAGUCUAAAGGCUAAUAUAGUAAUUAUAAAUGAUAAUAAGUUUGUAUUGUAGGAUGUUAAAUUUAUGGUCUUUUCAUAUUUUAUUUUACUUAAUUUUUGUUUAUUAAUUAUAUUUUUGUAAAUAAAUUCAUAUUCAAUUCAAUUCCUUAUAGGAUAAAACGAAUUGUAAACGAAUCUAGAUUCGAUUUGAUUCGUUUAUUAAUUUUGAAUUAAACAAAUCGAACCAAAUAUUCAUUUAAUAAAUGAAUCGAAUCCGAAUACUAAGAUUUCAAUUCGUUUAAUAAAUGAAUCGAAUCUGAAUUAGCAGAAUUUUGACCCAAUUUAUUUACAAUUCGAUUUGAAUACAAUUUGUUUAUUCAUUUUGCCAACCCUAACUAGUUUAUUGUGUUUUCAAUUAAAUAUUACAUAAACUACACACUAUCAACGUUAUAUUGUACUUAUAAUUUUUUUUAUUUUACAUUAGCUCGCUAUAUUGGUUUUGAAUGUAAAAUGAUAAAAUGCUUUGACAUACAAAUAUGGUUGGAAAAGUAUCAUAAUAAAUUACUAUUUUAAAGCAUAAUUUUGAAUGGAUCUACUUUGUGUAGGUGAAAAGUAAUAAGAUGUAUUUUUAUACUCAAAACGAAGAUAGGGUGAAUGAUAACACACAAAUUACACCAUUAAUUGCAUUGAGUAAGAGUUGGAGUUACAAAAAAUUGUAGUAGCGUUAAAUUUAAAAUUAAUUACAAAAUCAAUUCCAGAAUAUAUCACUUGUAACUGCCAUUAAUUUGGAAUUUAUAAUAGCCAAUUAAAUUUAAAUUUUAAUAUGAGAUUAAAUCCCGAAUUUAAUAUGUGGUUAAUGAAACCGCGGUUACAUUUUAAAUUUAAUUUAAGAAUUAAAUAAAAGGUUUAACGAGCAACAAUUAUACUUUUAAUUAGCUACGGUACUUAAUAAGGAAUUAAAUACAUCAAUUACAAAUUUAAGUAGUCAAAUUUGUGGAUAAAAAUGCCUCUCAUAGAAUUCUAUGUUUUGACGUUCUUCUUCAUUUCAAGAAAGUGGCUAGGAACAAUAUAAGAGAAAUUACGAUAGAAGAAUAAGAAGAGAAGAACUUCAAUACCUCUAUCAUAUAUCCAAUUUUCAUAAAGUUUAGACACUGUACAAUAACCUCUUGGUGCGCCAGAAUUAUUCAUUACCAUUGUCUGCAGGAAAAUAGGCGUUGUUUAAAUCCUAAAGCACUUGAUACCAAGAGGCGAAUCCGUUUUAAUGAAGCUAUAUUAUGCAGGCAGGGAUGGUAAAUUAUGGGCUUGGGUCAGACUUUUUCAAGCUCAGGCCUAAGUCCAUGUUAUUAGUAAUAGGUCAACACCCUCUAAAAGUCUAUACAAACUUGGACGGUCCAAGCUUGCUUCAAUUAAUUUUUUAAAUAAAUUUUUAAUAAAGUUAAAAGUUAACAAUAUUUAAAUUAAUAAUUAUUAUCCAAUACAUAAUACAUAAUAGAUAAAUAGUUAAAUACAUAAAAUACAUAAAAUACUAGCAACACAAUAUAAUAAACCACAAAUAAUAUUUAUAAAUUAUAUAUUAUAUGUUUUCAAUUUAUAAAUUAUAAAGCCCAUACGUUAUCUAUAAACAAUUAACUAAGCCCAAUCACAGUAGGCUUUAAAUUUUUUUGCCCAAAUCCUUGGCGUCACGAAGCAACCAGAGCCUAAAGCCCACAGGCCUAGGUUAGGCCGACCCUAACUUUUUUGUCCACCCUACAUUAAGGCCUUGAUUGCAUCCUAUUUUUAUGUCAUAUUUUAUGUUGUUAUCUCAUUGUUGUAAUCACUAUUUUAAUUGGUAUAUCAUUGUUUUAAUUGUAAUCAUUGUUAUUUGUAAACUCCCAAUUUAUGAUUUGUAAUUUCAGAAUACAUUCCUCCUAUUGCAUUGUAUUUCCCUUAUGAAUACUUGGAAAAAGAUAGGAGCUAUUGGACCAAAAAAAAUAACACCAAAUCCGAAUUUUGUUACUAAGAUAUAAAAAUUCUCAGUUUCCUAUAGUUACAAAACCACAAUAUAUAAGUAAAAAUUUCAAGUCCCCAAAUGUCAAAAAUUGGUAAAAAUGCGAGGAUCAUCAUUACCAAGUACGCUAUGACUUUAUUUUCAUUAGUUUGCCGAAAGCUUUGAAACAAUUUAUUUUUUUGCCAAAAUAUGAAUCCGACGGCAUGAAACAGAGCACCCUUAUCAUAUUUUCUCAGAAGAGAAUCUUGGCCUGUUUGUUCGAUACAUCAUCUUCUUCCUUAAUUGAUAUUCGACUGAACAGACUCUCUUCAAAUUUAUAAACUGACAAGUGAAAACUUCUUAGUCCAAUUCUCCAAGAUCUCUCAUUUUUCCCGGGGAGUGGAAUUGAAGAGUCGGAUUCUGAAAAAAAUCCAAUUGGCAAAUAUUUGAUAUUAACGAAUAAAAAUUCGCCCCAAAUCCUCUCUUUCAUUACCUAUAUUUCAACAUUAGCAUUAAUGGUAUUAAAAAAUAAUAAAGAUAGAUUGUCAUCGUAUAUGUCAAGUGACACAGAAAAUAAAAAUAGAAGGAUAUUGAUAAAACAACAAUAUAAAAUGAACAAUGUUGAAUAAUAUAAAUGACAUUUGGAACAAAAAUCAUAAAUGACAUUUGCGGUUUUGAUCUUGGUAUGGGCUUAAGUCCACCCAAAUUGCUAAUCUAAGGAUGCAAUUCCUUAUAAGCUGAUCAUUUACAUCCUUCCAAGCACUGUGAGAUAUUACAUAUCCUAAUUUCGUACAAAAAACAUUGGAUUGUGUGUUUCUAUUUAUAAGUGUGCAGGUUUUGUGUUUUCUGUGAUUUCUUGAAUAAGUAUGUAAUAAGACUGCAAUAAAAGAUUUUCCCAAUUUUACUUCUCAAUAUGUUCAUUAAUUGGAUCAAAUGAAAUCAUGCAUGAACUCUUAUGAUAACAUUUUUUGACCUACAUUUCUCAUUAUUGGUUUUGGCAGUCUCUUCUUUUAGCGAACACUGGCAACAAAACAAGAAAAUUAAAAAAAAGGGGGAAACUGUUAAAUUCAUAAUCGCCUAUUUGGUUAAUUUGAUGUAUUUACGUAACUUAUAUUACAGUAGUUUCUAAAUUAACCAGCCUAUCUGGUUAAAUUAAAAAAAAAUAAUGUACUUAGAUAAUUAAUAAUAUAUGUAAAAUUACUAAUAUAACCUUUUCCUAGUGCGGUUCUGGUACGCGUUUCCUACUACAGUUUUAAUUUCAUUUACGAAACUAGUUUCCUAUUCAAUUAGGGUAAUUGUUAUUACAUAUAUAUAUAUAAUGGGAAUAGGAAACUAUUCCCUAAUUCAGUACGGCAAGUUAUUGUCACAUUAUAAAUAUCCGUACAGAAAAAAAUUUGGUUCCAUAUAUCGCACUGAAAAAAAAUGGAGCAAUACGAAAAGAUCAGGGAGCUUGGGUCGGGGAGUUACGGCGACGUGUUUCAGGCUCUUGAUAAAAAGAGUGGUGAAUUUGUUGCUGUCAAGAAAUUGAAGAAGAAGAUUUUUUCUUUGGACGAGAGCAGGAACUUGAAAGAAGUUAAAUGUUUAAGGAAGAUGAAUAAUCAUCCCAACAUUGUCAAAUUGAGGAAUCUUGUCAAAGAACACGAAGACGUAUUCAUUGUGUUCGAGUACAUGGAAUCUGAUCUUCUAAAACUUAUGAAAGAAAGAGCGGGUCAAAAUUUCUCUGAAGAUGAAGUCAGAAACUUGUGUUUCCAAGUGUUUCAAGGUCUCCAUUACAUGCACCGAGAGGGUUAUUUUCACCGUGACCUAAAGCCUUCCAACUUGCUUGUUUCGAAAGGUGUGAUCAAGAUAGGGGAUCUUGGAAUGGUGAAGGAAAUCGAUUCUAAUCUGCCGUGCACUGAUUAUGUUACAACUCGCUGGUAUCGAGCUCCUGAAGUGUUGCUUUUAUCCGAGAUAUAUGGACCUGAAGUUGAUAUGUGGGCGAUGGGUGCUAUUAUGUUCGAGAUGUUGAGUUUCAGGAUUCUUUUUCCGGGAAAAAAUUCGGCUGAUCAAAUUUACAAAAUCUGCCAAGUGAUUGGAAGCCCCACCGAGGACUCUUGGCCUCUUGGAAUUCAACUCGCGAGCAAUCUCAACUGGAAGUUCCCGCAGAUGAGUGGUGUGAAUAUGCGUGAGUUGUUACCAUCAGCUAGUCGAGAAUCCAUCAGCUUGAUUUCAUGGCUUUGUUCCUGGAAUCCACACAUGAGGCCUACGGCUGCGGAAGCUUUGGAACAUCCUUUCUUCCGGAGUUGUCAUUUUGUUCCUCGAUCGGUGCCUCUUCUUUGCAAUAAUUUUGAAGCCGUUGCGUUCCCUACUGCCACAGUCACAAUGCAAGGACGUUCUUUGACAUAUUCUGAGGUACCGAAUGAUGGGCAAUUAUGUUCGUGCUUCAAAUGUGAGAUGCAAAGGACUAACAACGAUCACAUGAUCAUCAACUCUGCCAAACCGGCAACCUCCAUGAUUUAUAAAACUGGUUACGCGACUACAACUGAGAUUUUGGCUUCCCGCAUGCAACCGUUGCAGCAGCUGAUGAUGUCGAGGCCUCCCGGAUUUUGAAGAAAACGUUAAGGCUGGUUAUUGUAUUUGUACUUAGAAACCUAACCACGCACGUACUAAUUGUACAUUCAAAGAUUAUUCAAUGCAUUGAUAUUCAUCUCCUCAGGAGUGGGAAUCCUGAAGAGUGGGAAUCCUGAAGAGUGGGAAUCCUGAGAUUAGGAGUGUGGAAUGGGAGUGGGAGUAGGGUGUUUACUUAGACUAAAUGAAAAUAUGGAUUGUCAAUCAGAAUCCUAAUUAUUUGUUUACUUUGUCUUGGAUUGGGAGUAAAUUAUUUUAAAUUACAAUUUUAUCCUUAUGUAUAAAAUUAUAAUUUGUAAGUAAAAAAUAUAUUUGGAAAAUAAAAUAAAUAUUUUAUUAUAUUUAUAAAUUAAUAAUAAUUACUAAUAUUCUUAAAUAUGUAAAUCAUAAUUUUUUAUUAAUUUUAAUUUAAAUUAUGUGAAUAAAAAUUAUUAAUAAUAGCAACACAAAUGAAAUAUUAUUAUUGAUAAUAUAGUACAAAAUUAAUAUUUUUAAGAAUAAAAUAUUUAUUAUUAUUAAUUAAAUAAUUAAUUAAUAUUUAUUAAAAUUAAUGUUUAAUAUUAUUAAUUUAAAUAUAAUAUUUAUUUAUUUUUAUUUUAUUAAAUUUAAUAAAAUAAAUAUGAUGUAAUUAUUUAUUUUAUUAAAUAUGAUAUUAUUUAUUUAUUUAUUUUUAUAAGGAUAAAAUGGGAAGAGGGGGGAGUGGAUUCCCACUCUCACCUCCCCCCAUGGGAGUGGGAAUCCCACUCCCCACUCCAAAAUUGGGUGGGACCCACGGAUUCCCACUCCCACUCCCCCCUUUUUUAAGGUAAGUAAACACUGGAGUGGGAGGAAUCCACACUCCACACUCCUACUCCAGAAAGUAAACACUACCUGAAUUCAGUGAAUAUAAGUCCAUGACCAUUUUUUUUUAAUAAGUUAUGGUCAAAUGUGAGAUGCAAAGGACUAAUAAUGAUGCAAAUGAAAAUUAAGAACACCAAAAAUCUAGAAGAAGAGGUUUCUGAAUUGAAUGGGGAGGUAGAUUCCAUAGUGGAAAAAUGAUAACUAAGACUAUCAUUAAUUAUAAGUAUCCAGCACUUUGUUACCUUCACGAUAAAUAUGUGAUACAUUAUUCUAUUAAACGAAGCAAGUAAAGGCAAUUAAACCAACAAGUGUGGAGUUGCCAUGGAAGAGAGUAGCCAAAAUUCAGAAGACAUUGAGUCAUAGACAUGGCGUCACAUUCAAUCCGAAGUUUAUGCCAACCCCUUAACCAUGCUUGUCCAAUAGCAAGAAUAACUACCAUAAAUUCAGAAUAAAAAUAGGAUUCAUGACCAAUGAACGUAGAACUGCCAAGGAAGGUUCCAUGAUGAUCUCUAGAAAUUCCCCCACAAGCAGAUAACCUAGGAUUAUUCUUACUGUUGACCUUUAUCAAAGUUGGAGGGGGCGCCAUAUCACUGUAGCUAUUUUCGAAGCUUUUCCAAAGCUUGGAUCAUUACCCAACCGGGCAAAAAUUGCCAGAUCAUGAAAGUGUGCAACAGUACUCCCUAGGCAAGAUUGACAGAGUAAAUAUUAAAUUUUUACAGUAAGCCAUGGCAUUAUGAAAAGGGAGAGAUACAUCUUGAAAUCAAAUAUAUUCAUUUUUCGUUUUUAAAUUAUAGCUUAAUGGAAACCCAGAUAGCACCACGUGAGUGGAUUCAAACCCCAAAUCUAUUAUUUCAAAUCAAAAGAUUAAAAUUCACCAAUUGAUCAACUAUAUAUCUAGCGCCUAACUAUGACCAACCUCAAUCAACGGACGUCCAUCAACUAGAUUAAUUCUCAAAAACCUGAUACUUUCUGUGUGUGGAAGAAACAAAGUCCUCAAAGAAGAUAACUUCACAAUAUAUACAACUCCUUGCUAACUCAAAUUUAAGCCAACGCCAUGUUUGAUGAAAAUUUAUGAUUGCGGGUUGUGAUUCCAUUUAUGCCAUAAGAAAAUCAAAAGGGUAUGUUUCGAAUUAUGAUUGCGAAAUUCCAAUUUGCAUUGUUGUUUUGCAACAAGCGCGAUACGAGCUGCAUAUGUCAUUUUUAAUAUAGUAAAAUAAAUCUCUACAAUAAUUUGACAACUAAUAAUGGAGGGCAACUAACUGUUAUCAAAGUAAAACGUAAUAAAUCCUAAAUCAAGGUUAAUAUAUACCACAUCAAAAAUAUUUUAUUAAUUAUUUAAUUAUUUAAUAAAUUAAUAAUUUAAUUACAUAUUAAUAUUUACUAAAUUAAUAAAAUUUUUACGGUGCCAAUACUAUGUAAAUAAAUCUAAAAUGCUUAUUAAUUAAUUGAUGGGUUCAAGAUGAAGUUUUCUGUUGUGGGAUUUUUAAGUGUUGUCAAUUUGUAAGCGUUCAGGUUUCGUGGGACUCGUAAUAGGAGCAAUGAAAUAUGUUACAAAUUUCACGUCUCAAUGUAUGUAUUCAUGAAGCGUGAUUUAAUGAAAUCGAGCUUGAAUUCUCAUCAUAACAUUUUGUUUUUUAGCUACAUUCCUCUUUGUUACAACUUACAAUUGGUUUUAGUCUCUCUGUCUUGUUUUACUAACCAACAGAGAAAGAAAAAGUAAAAAGCAUUAACCGGGGGAAUUGUUAGAUUUCUCAUGGCCUAAUUUGGUCAAAUAUUGAAAUUCGAUGUAUUUACUUAACUUGCAUUACAUUUGUUAGUAAUUAAUUAAUCAACCUGUCUAUCAAAAUAAAAACUAAAACAAUUGAUGUAUUUAGAUAUUAAUCGUACAGUGUAAGUCACUAAUAAACCUUUUCCUAGUGUAGUUCUGAAAGGAAUUUUAUAAAUUCAUUUAGGGAACUAGCUAGUUCCUAUUCAAUUAAAGUAUUAUUAUUACAUGUAAUGUGAAUAGGAAACUGUUCCAUUGUUUGGGUGAUAAAAUAAGGCGAUCAGAAUCGGGAUUUUCUUAAAGCUUGACUCUGUUCACCUCGCCAUCCCAAGCAGCCUAGAGAAAGCUGGCAAGUAGGGUUAGGCAAGAAACCGAUUGAAUUAGGAUGAAACCCGGUCAAAACCACCUUCCCGUCUCAUCCGAAAAUGCAGGGAUUAGGUUUAUCAGCAAAGCUCCUAAUUCCAUGAUCCUAGGGAGCGAAAGAGAUAUGAUCGAUCUAGUCCUAUGUAUAAAUUGGUUUUUAUAUAUAUGGACCGAGAGAGAGAGAGAGAUAUUCGAAUAAAUUCAUAUCGAACAUCAAUUCCUUUCUUUAAUUAGAACAUAGCACUUCUCUUGUCCUUUAUGGCAUCUCUCUCACUAAAGUCAAAAGUGUUGGCUUUAUUGAUUCCAAUUUAAUGAGAUGCAUGCUUUAAGCAUUAUUAUUGAAAUCGUUUAAAAUUACGAAAAAGAAAGUCCAGAACAAUGAUUAUACUUGCCGUUAGAGAAAUCGUUUGACACAAUAGUACGAGAAGUACGGAAGCAAGCCCCUGUGAAUUUUAGGUGGACCUCAUGCCUUGUACCAGGCAAGAAGCAAUAACAAAGGACAAAUAUACAAAAUUGGGAUCUAAAUAAUGACAUAUGUAUAUUAAUAUAUACAAUAAAAUUAAUUGAAGUAAAUGAUUUGUUUAUUAGCCCUUUUGCCAUUUUUUUGUCCUUAAUUUGUACACAUACAAUCUAAUUUAGCACAACUAAAUUGUCUAGUAAUACAGUGUGAGUCCACUCAUAUAAAAGUUAGGAAAUUCAUUAAAAGAAAAUCUAAAACUGAAGAUUGCCAAGGCUUAGUGAUCAUAAUAGUAGCCCAAAAAUUUGAUUAACCAUGUCUUGAAUAUUCUCUUAAUUAAAUGAUACCUCUAUCAAAUGUGCACAUGCUUCAUUAUGAGGAUUUUCGUCAGCUUAUUUAAGACACCGUGCAUCGUAAUAAUAGGUCGUCAUAGUAGGUUUUACCACUUGAUAUCAUACAUACUAGAGCUUCUUGGGGAAAAAAAAAUCAACGGGUGCCUAUAGAUUUGUAAAUACUUAAAUCAAAAUAAAACUUCGAAAAAAAUAGAAACAACCACCACAAAUCUAAACCUAUAGAGAGAAAUUUGUCCUUAAAACAAAAGCAAAUUAGAAGAUAAAACUGCUAAUAAAAUAAAGAAUCAUUUGCUUUUCCGAUAAUGAGAGCCAAAGCUUCGUAAGAGGAAGCUGAGAAAGGAGGGAGAAGUUGAGAGUGAGGAAAUGAUCUGGUAGGCUUCGCACGAUUAAUAAGAAGAUUAUAUGAAUGAGAAGCUAUUAGAGAGUGACUGUUUGAAGUAAAGAUUUCUUAGAUUGAUAACUUAUACAAUACUUUCUUUAUAUAUACAACAGAGUGAUCCUUGAAAAGAAAAUUAAGAUCACAUGAAUUAAUUUGGAAUAUAAAAAAGGGACUAAUUGGGUAAUCUUUCAUUUGUAAUUUAUCUCUAUGAUUUCCUCAAUGAACUAGCCGUUUGAGGACUCUGUUGAUUUGUCUUGGUUGUCUUCUUUAAGAAUGAUUGAAAGCCCUCAGCUAAAGCAAUGCAAAAUGCCAUAUUUGAUUUACCAAGAUCGUUGCCAUGAGUGUUACUUUGAAUUCUGACGUUAUCAGCUAUUUGGCUUUUUUUUUUUUUAACAAAGAAAAUUAAAUUUCUUUGCACCCAAAUGCAUAAUUUAUGCUCUUUCAAUGUACCCUAAAUAAGUUAAAAAAACAAAAAGGAGAAAAACAAGGAAAAACUUAUAAAAGAAGCUAGUUGGCUUUGAAAAAAAAAAACAAGAGAAAGAGACGCCACACGUAUAUUUCUUGGAAUUCAUUCAACACCUGCAUUAUAAUUCGAUUGGUUAAAAGGUACUUAUGACUAGAAUUUAAAUUUGUUAAAUAUGUUUCAUUCUAAAGAAAUUCUAAUUUAAUUAAAGAUGAAUAAAUAAAUAAAUGAAAAGUGCUGAGCAAUCACAGACAGAAAAAGUAGGAGAAUAAUUUUGUUAAAAAUUUAAAAGAGAAAAAAUGUUAUUGAGAUUACAGCCUUAUUCAUAGUAGACUACAUAUUCAGACCAAUCAAUAAGGUGAAUCAACUCAAAGCCUACCAGCAUAACGAACACCAAACUGACCCAACCACCCCACCCGAAAAAAAAAAAAAAAACCACACACACACAUACAAAUACACAGACAUUAGACAUACAAUAGCUUCACCAUGGAAAAUUUGAGUACAUUCUUGUAUAAAAUCACAUCUCAGUUAAGGAAUUAACUGCCCUGCAGUUCUUCCUAAUCUCACCAUUAGUCCCAGUGAGUGGACUUAUAUUCCCCAUUUUUAUCAGAGAAUUAACAAAAUCAGCGAAGAAAAGAUUUGCGUUGCUGCUAUAGCUUUCAACAAGACUCUUAGUAGUUGAUUUGGCCUCAUCACUAGAGUAUAGAAUUUGAUCAGAACUUAGAAGGCCCUUAUUGUUGAUCAAGUUCUGGAAGUAAUGGUUGUCAAAUAGAUCAAUCGAGUUCCGAUCAAGCGGCGUCGUAUUGUUUCCGUCCCCGUUAGCACAUAGGCUCUGCAAUUCGGACACCAAGCUUGUGUCCAUUGUAGCGUCUGGAGCACCUGUUCCUGAGAAGUUGGAUAGUCUAUUGCUGAAGAAGGCACAGUUUGCGAAUCCAAUUGUAUGAGCACCUGCACAUAAACAUUAAAAUUACCAAGCUCGCACAUUAUGGGAGUUCAAAAAGGGGUCCUGGGAUUCCUAAUGCAAACUUUUGGGAUAUUUUUCAAACAUUGAGAAAAUUUCGGAUAGAUAAAUGAUAAUUUUCUUAUUUUAAUAAUUUUAAAUAAGUUAAACUAGUAGAGGAGCCAAAUUUAUAUAGAAUGUCAUUACUUUACGAUUUAAAGUGAUCCCGAACGAAGGCUAAUUAGUUAUGAGUUGAUACAAAUAUAUGGUGAUAGAGAGGUCAAAUAAAUUACCUGACAAGGACACUAGGUCUUUAAUAUUUAGACCCACGGCUGCAAACUUGGCAGUGAGAAUGUUUAGCCCCUCAAACGGUGAAGGAAGAGCAUUGGCACCUGUCUGGUUUGCCACCAGUCCAUCUCUUCUUCCCAGCAGAACUUUCCAUGUAGGUCCUCCACUCUGCAAAAUAUUGUCAUAGCAUUUGUAUAAGUAAAAGUUAACCUCAUAAAGUUCAAAUAUAAAGAGAAAAUUUUAAUUUUCUCAUACCAUUAGAAUAUGAAAAAAAAAAAUUCUUUAUCUAUUAAUUGGUAGAAUCCUGUGAACUAAGAUGACUUAGUCCCUGCUUGAUAAUUUAGUUCAACAGUUCUAUCUUUUAAGACACAAUACUAAAGUAUUUGGUAAACAAUUGUUCUAGUGACUUUAAAAUUAAGUUAAUUUUGUCUCAAAUUAUUAUGAUGAAAAUUUUAUAAUAUCUCUAUUGUUUUUGUCAAAAUUAUUAUUGAAAAUCAUAUUUACUAUACAUUAUCAACCUUUAUUCUAUAGUUGCUACUUUUUUCUAUAGUAGCUGUGGCUUAAAAAAUAUGAAAUCCCAAUAUCAAACAAGGUCUCAAGUUUCUCAUGUCUCUAUUUCUUUUAGUCCCAUGGAAUCUAUAUGAGAAGAACAAUUAAUCAACCAACUUACCAAGAGCACUGAAUCUCUUGCAGCUAUGGCUAAAAUAUCAGCACAUGAUACAACUCCACUGCAUUGACCUUCCACGGCAGUUUUUAUUGCGUCAAUAACUUCAAAUCCUCGUGCUGAGUUCCGGUUAGGCGCGGCAAACUUCUCACUGUCACUUCCAUCCAAUAACACUAAUGCAUCACAACCCUAUAACAAAGAAGGAGAUCAAGUUUAUAAUAAUUAUAAUUACCAAAUGAUGAAUAAUUUAGGGAAAAAAUGAUAGUAAAAUUAAAGAUACAUAAAUUUUAUUUAUUCAUAAACUAGUGUACAGUGUACUAUACUUUUAGCCAUGCAAUGCAAGAUUAAAGCUGCUUGAACUGAGAAUAUAUAAGUACUUAGAUCCAAAAAAGAAUAAAAAUGAAACUAUAAUAUGUUAGUCUUGACUCAUGAAUUAAACUAAAAAAUCAUUUUUGAGUUUGGUAUAUCAUUCAUUCUUUUUCACAAGUAUUCUUUAGAUAUGUCACGUGAAUUAAAUCCAAACAACUCAUACAAUUAUGUGCAAAUUAUAUUUAAUUUGUAUUCGAAAAUAUUCGAGCAGGAGACAUUUAGGUCAAAUAUAUAUGCUGUGGAUCAUACUGAACUACCAAUUUGACUUAAUAUUAGUAAAAGCUUAAAGGCAGGUGCCCAACAAUCUACAGUAACUUUUGAACACUUAAGAUAUAUGCUUGGCACAUCAAGUAGUGAUAACUCCGGAUUUAAUCGUUUUCCAAAUUUUUUUAUAAAAGACUGCUAGCAAUCCAUCAGGCCCUAGAGUCUUCGUUGGACACAUCUAUGCUAAGGCUUCAACAACUUCCUCUGUUGAGAAAGGCUUGUCCAAUUGCUCGUUCAUGUCAUUUGAGAGCCUCAGUGUUAUCCCUGAAAGAGCUGCUGCUAUUUGGUUCUAGCUCGGUCUGGAUGUGGUGAGCAGAUUUGUGAAAUAAGUGCAAAACUCAUACUCCAUUUCUUCAACAUUCUCAAUCCAUCUUCUUGUUUCAUCUUCAAUUCCCCAUAUUCUAUUCUUUUUCUUCCGCGAUGAGGCUUUAUGAUGGAGAAACUUGGUGUUCUUAUCCCCCUCUUUAAGUCGAUUCGCUCUCGAUUGUUGUUUCCAGAAAAUCUCUUCAUCGGCCAAUAUGUUAUGAAUAUGUCUUUCCACCCAUUUAAUUUCAUCCUCAAAUUCAUACUGCACCUUUUUUCCUUUAAGCUCUACAACUGUUUUUUCAACUUCUUCAGUUUCUUUUCUCUCCCUUUAAAUUCUUCCUUACUACACAGAAUCAAAGUAGCCAUGGAAUCUUUAGUCGCCUUCUGGGAUAAAUGUAUGGGAUCAUCAAUGUUCCAGCAUCCAUGUUUAUGCCAUUCUUCUUCAAUUAUACUUUUACAGGUGUCAUAUGAACUCCACAUAUCUUCAUAAUGGAUUCGUGAAGUUCUCCUUCUUUGAUAAUUCAGGUCAUUACCUCUAUCCUGAACAUCCAUCAACACUGGGUUGUGAUCGAACAUCCAACUCUCAAGAUUAGCAGCUACAGAUUUAAUAAAUCUCUCACUUCAAGCCUCAUUGCAUAAAAAUCUGUCUAAUCGUUCUUCCACAAAGUCAGGGCCAAAUAUUCCAUUAUCCUAUGUAAAUAGAUAUCUCAUGUAGCCCACAUCCUUUAGAUUACAAUCUCUUAAGGCUUCUCUGAAGUCACUAAUUUGGUUUGGAUUUCUAUCAUUGCCACCAUUCAUCUUAUAUAGGUGUAAAAUUUCAUUAAAAUCACCGAAACAUAACUAAGGUGUGGAAGAUAAACCUAAUAGCCGUCUCAACAAUGUCCAUGUGUGCUUUUUUUGCUGCAUCUCCGGAUGUCCAUACACCUCUGUACAUCGCAUUUGCUUUUCAUUGCCCAUUUGUUGUUCAGCAUCAAUGUGGUGCUUACUAAAUGACUUAAUAUGCACACAAAUUUCAAAGUUCCAAAGCAUUGUAAGACCUCCUCCCCUUCCACUACCAUCCACAGCAAAACAACUAUCAAAAUUUAGCUUACUACGAAUCGUAUCCAUUUGCAUAGAUUGUAACUUUGUCUCACUCAAAAACACAAGUUGAGGUCUAUGAAUUUGGAGAAUUUGUUGCAUUGCUAGGAACAUCCGGGAAUUCCCUAAACCCCAAACAUUCCAGCUGAGGCUUUUCAUGGCUUCUAGCAUUCUUGAUCGCCAGCCUCCACCGAUAUCUCUUCUAUGUUUGAGUCUGCAAUUUCUAUUCCCUUCAUUGCCAACGGUUCCCAGCUCAAAUUGAGUUUUGCCACUGGUGAAUUCAGCUGAUAUUGCUUUGUUUCUAAUUUGGGUAGGCUAGUCACUUUCAUCUUCUUUUGUUUUGGACUUGGCUCAGUGAGCUCACAACUUGGCCUUUUUAACACCCCUAACCUAUAUUUGUUUCCACCAUUGGAGUUUGUGCUUUGGGCUUGUAAUUUCCAUUUCCUUCUAUUGGGCCUCAUUGGAGCUCUUCGAGACCAAUUUCCUGUCUUUGCUUCAUUCGCGCCUUCUUAGCAAAGUAUCUCCUCAUAAACUUUAAUUGGUGUUACCUCCAAAAAUUCUCGCUUGUUUUUAACAUUUUUAUUUCUCGCCUGAACUCCCAUAUUUCCAGGUCCUCUUGCGUUUCCCUCUAUCUCAUGCUGCUUUUUGCCGCCUGCUUGUUGUGCCAUUGUUAUUUCCAACACACCAUUCAUUAAAUGUUUCUCACAUACUCGUUCCACCUCAUCACCUAUAGCUAAUUUAUAAUUUUGACCAAUUUCUUCCUGAUCGAGUCCUGAUUUGGUUUUGUCAAUCGGGUUACUUUGACUCUGUUGAGGUUGUUGUGAGCAGUCGUGGUGUUCUGAGUUUGCCGCAUUACUCACUGAUUUGCCACUAUCCCUAUUCCAUUUCUCCUUGAUACGGUGCUUCCUUGAGCGUCCUCCCACUGUAACUACCUUAAUCCACAUCUCAUAUGGAAGUUCCUCUUUUCAUUGGCCCUGAUACUUAGCACACUCCUUGAAUUAGUGGCCAAUAACUCCACAGUAGAAAUAAAAGUCAGGCAAUCAUUCAUAAUCUAUAUGCAUUGGAAUAUCUGUUUCAUCCUCUUGUAAGAUCUUUUCUAAUGGCUGAUUCAUAUUGAUCAAAAUUCUAAUUCUUACAAAUUCCCCAAUAUAUUCACUAUAUUCUUUUGUUUCAACCUCCUCUACUAUUUCAAUCUUCUCGCCCUAAUUCUUGGAGAAAAUAUCUUUCCAUACAACAACCGGGACAUUUUGAAUCUGCACCCAGAAUUCUGUAUGAGUGAAAGACUGUUUUGUGAUCUCCCCAAUUCUUUUCAGUUCUGUAAGGACAAUUAAGGCCCUAUCGAAGUGCCAAGGGCCUCCUGCCAUCACCCUUCUUUUAUCAGCUUCAUAUGCAAACUUGAACAAAAAGAUAUUAGCACCCAAGCUCUCUAUCAUAACUUCUUUAAUUGUCCUCUAAACUUGCAGUAAUGCCAUAUUCAACCCCUAUUUAUGAACUGCUCUCGUAAGAAGUAUCUUGCCCAUCAACUAGCCAACCAAAACCUUCUCUCUUUUUUCUUUCAUUCUCACUUCUAAAGUUACUCUAUUUUUUUCUUUCUCUUUGAUAGUUAUCGCUUUACACUUACGAAUUAAUUCCUCUGUAUCCAUAACAUUUAAAACCUUUCAGAAAUAAUUGUUGCAUUCACUGUUCUAAAAGUAACCUUGCGUUCAAACCCCUUACCUGUAACACCCUAGACAAAUCCCACAUCGGCAAAGCACAUCAGAGAUAAUGGGUUUAUAAAGGGUGGUCCACACGUUAAUUGGCAAGAUGCAUUUUGGGGUGUAUGGGCGCCGUAGAAACAAACAUGUGCGGGCCUUGUUAAGGUCCAACACAGAUAAUAUCUUACCAAGUCUGGGUUGGGUCAUAACAUUAUGGUACUAGAACGGCUCUGCAUGUCCUCUUAAGCAAUGGUGGGGCAAACCUCAGCGAGGACGCUGAGUCCCCAAUGGGGGUGUAUGUAACACCCUAGGCAAAUCUCAUAUCAGCAAAGCAUGGGAGAGAUGCUGGGAUUAUAAAAGGUGAUCCACACCUUAAUUAGUAAGACGCGUUUUGGGGUGUAUGGGUGCCCCAGAAACAAAAUCGUGCAGGCCUUAUUAAGGCCCAAACUGGACAAUAUCUUGUCAGGUCUGGGUUGGGUCAUCACAUUAUGGUAUCAGAGCGGCUCUGCGUUUCCUCUUGAGCGAUGGUGGGGCAAACCUCAGCGAGGACGCUGAGUCCCCAAGGCGGUGUAUGUAACACCCUAGGAAAAUCCUACAUCGGUAAAGCACGGGAGAGAUGUUGGGUUUAUAAGAGGUGAUCCACACUUUAAUUGGCAAUAUGCAUUUUGGGGUGUAUGCGCGCCCCAGAAAACAAACUCAUGUGGGCCUUGUUAAGAUUCAAAGCGGAUAAUAUCUUAUCAGGUCUGGGUUAGGUUAUGACAUUAUGGUAUAAGAGCGGCUCCAUGUUUCCUCUUGAGCGAUGGUGGGGCAAACCUCAGUGAGGACGCUGAGUCCCCAAGAGGGGGUGUAUGUAACACCCUAAGCAAAUCUCACAUCAGCAAAGCACAAAAGAGAUGUUGGGUUUAUAAGGGGUGAUCCACACCUUAAUUAACAAGACACGUUUUGGGCCUUCUAUAGGCGGCCCAGAAACAAACAAGCACAUCUAUUUUUUCAAAAUUAAUAGUUUAGUCUUAAAUGUGAACUUAUUUGGUGGCUGCAAAUUAUGAACCCAUUUUUUAUUUCGGUGAAAACGAAAAUGUAAAAUGCAAAACAGAAAAUGUAAAAUUAUAUAAUGAAAUAAUGAAAUAAUUAAUGUUUUCCCUAAGAUAUAGUAAAAGCAUAUGUUUCACCACAAAAUUUUGAAGCCGCACCGGUCCUCCCAGCCGUUUUAUUUAUUUAUUUAUAGUCUUCACAGAAAUGAAACUAAAACUCUCCUCACCCACGAGUGGUUGAAUCUAAGCCACUUAAAGUUAAUAAUUCAUGAAAUGGUGCCUUUGUUUGGUGGCGGUCGCGGGGCCUUGGCCUCUGAUUAAUAUUAUUCUUUUAGCGUGUGAAUUCCACAAAUCAAAACCCUUCGGAAUUUUAAUUAUUAUUUACCGAAAUAUCAUUUUCCCUAUGGCUUCUACAUAUUAUGCCUAUAGCUAGUGAUUGUUUUGUAAUUCAUAUAAAAAUUUAAUUUUAGAAUUGUAACUAUUUUAAUUAACUGAUGUAAGGUAAAUUCCUUAACAGAUAAAUUCAUCUAUGUUCUCUUAGAUUAUAAAAGAUAAAAGUAGCGUAAUUAAGUUCAAGAGAAAACUGAUUUUAUUAAAUUUCAAGGACGAAACGAAAAAAAAUAAUAAGAGAGAUAAAAGAAUUUCUAAGAGAACAAGAUUAUCAUUCGACAAAUAAAUUUAAAUUCAUAAAUUUUUCUGCCCGAUCUAAUAUUAAUUCUUAGCAGCAAGCCUACGGCACAAGCCACAUAUAUGCAUAAUUUUUAUUGGUUAAAACGUGACAUUGAUGAUGUUGAAAGAACAAAUAAUAAACAAUAAUACAGUAAAACCUCCAAAUAGAAAUACUUUAUAUAUGAAUAAUUUCUUUAUAGUAAUAAAAAACCGUGGCCCCAAUUUGGGACCAGUUAUAAUUAAAAAUAAAUUUCACAUUGUAAUAAGUUAUAUUUUUUUAUAGGUUCCGACUUAAUAAACUUACUUUCACAUAGUAAUAAUAUUUCAAAAAUAUAUGUCAUGUUACAUUAAAUAAUUAUUAAUUUAUUAAUACAUGACAUAAUUUACCCCUAUAUCACUUGCAUUAGUGAUAAUUAAGUAAAGACAAUAAUUUUUGUACUAUACUUUUAUUGAGUUAUAAUCUCUUUAUAAGAAUAAAUUUAUCCGGUCUCAACAAUAUGACUAUAUAGAGAAUUUACUGUACCAGGCUUUUUUAUGCGUAUAGAAGCAGGACGUGAACACAAAGACACAAGUUUAAUUAAUUUAUUUGAAAAUACAUAACAUGUUUCAGACAAGAAAAUUAGAUUAAACUCAACUUUGAUAGUUAAUUUAUUUGAAAAUACAUAACAUGUUUCAAACAAAGCGAAGAUUAAAUUCGAGUUUGUUAAGCACAAAAACUCUCUCGCAUAUGCCGCAAGCUAGCUUUUUAGAAAGAGCUGACCAAAUCACCCUCCGAUGAUGAUGAUCUUGUUGCAAUAUUACUGUUUCCAUUGACCCUCCUGCAGUUCAAUCUAAUCUCCCCUUGAUUUCCUGUCAGUGGUUUCAAAUUGCCCAUUCUUAUCAUUGAGGUCACAAAGUUUUUAAAGAAAGCAUUCUGGUUCCUCCCAAAGUCCUCGACAAUGGCAGCGGUAUCGGCACCAGGAGUCGAAAACAACUCUUGAUCACUCUGCAGAAGGCCUUUGCGGAGUCUAAGAUUGGAGAAGUAUUUGUUGUCGAAAACAUCAGGUGUUUUGACAUCAAAAUUAGCAAGAACGCCGCCGUUUCCACCUUGUGG